rnacentral:lncRNA from 1 species
GAUUUUAUACUGAUGGUUUUGUACAAAUUCGGUUGAUUUAGUGAUGGCCAACAUUUGUGUAUUGAGGACUUUCGUUAUCGUUAUCAAAUUAAUGUACAUUCAUGGAGGUUAGUGGUUAAAAUUAAUUAGAUUAUUUUAAUUGUAGUUAUCGACUUAAAACGAACAUUCAAAACUAUAUGUGAUUAUAUAUGUAAUACUUUCCAAAACUUUAUCAAAUCCUUACAUGAACAACGUAAGGAAAAUUUACUAUCCUUCUGUUCUUCUCGGACUUGGACGUUGUCGCUGUUAAAAUUUCCACGUAAUUAUACUUUUGAGUUGUUUCUAUUUGUUCCGAUGAUUGACAAGGUUUAAUUCAGUAUUUAUGAACCUUCUUUUCUUGAAUUUGCCAUUCAGUUCGGUAUUUUUUAUAGACACUUGUGUACAUUAAUAGUACCACUGUAUGCACUUCCGAAAGAGAAAAUUUAAAUAUUGUUGAUUGUUUUUAUCGGCUUUUAUAUAUAAUAAUUAUUUGCAUUCCAAGUUUUAUAUGAUAAAGUUUAAUCCAGCAACAUUUAACAUACAAACAAAAUAUGAAUAUUUCAAAAUACGUAAAGCUAACAAGAAACAUGGAUCAGUAAUUAAGUUUAUCUGGAAUAGCCUGAAUUUUGGAUUAAUAUCUGAUUGUUUAAUUUCCUUCACGAUUUCCCUUAAUUUAAUAUUUGCAAUCGUACAAAACGUUUGAUGAUUAUCCUAUAAAGUUGACGUUUAAAAAUAUAUGAUCUGUAAAUAUUACAAUAAAUUCGCAAUUACAUGUAAUUGAUUUUCUUUUUUUUCUUCUAAAGGAUCAUUGUCAGAUAUUGCCGUCACUUGUCGUUCGUUGUCGUACAUGGACUUUUUACUGCUUCCGUUGAUUGAUAAUUUUUUAUUUUGUCCUUUUUUAUAGAUAUUAUCUUUUGAAAUUUACCUUGGAGUUCGGUAUUUAGCUUUAUUUUUUACAAAAUAUCUUUUCCUUUGAAACUACAAAAACCAGCUUGACCACAAUGCUCUAUCUUAGAUUAUCUACUUUGAACAUUACCACUUAUAAAUGACUAUGAUAGAAAUUUGUUUAAAUUGUUUUACAUUUGUCAUUUCGGGGCCUGUUAUAGCCAACUAUGCGGUAUGGUGUUUGCUCAUUGAAUGCUGCACGGUGACCUAUAGUUGUUAAUUUCUAUUUUCUCGUGUGAAGAGUUGUCUCAUUCGCAAUCUUACCACAGCUUCUUAUUUUAUGUUUAAGAAGAAUGUUCUUACAUAAAAAUAAAAAUAAAAAGUUGCAACACUGUAGUAAUUUCUUUAAAUGUUGUUGUAAUCGAUACUAAAAUUAAUAUUGUUUUUGAUGAAUUACAACAUAACUUAAUAUGAAUUGCUGCACAAUCAUGAUUUCACAUCAAUUUGAUACAGUCAGGGUCGUGCUUUUGAAUUGAUACUCAUCUGUCUGUAAAAUUCCAUCCUCAACGUCCUCGCUCUUUGUUUAAUUGAGAAUUUCUUAAACCAAGAAACUAACAUUCCUUAGCAUUUUUAUGAAAGUGUUUCUAACAAUUAAUAUUUUUAGGUUUCAAAAUAUAAAUCAAAGGGGCCAAUAAAAAAGUACAAGGUAACGUCACAAAUAUAAGACGUAAAAUACGGGAAACAUAACGUUUUUAAUUUGCACUUUAAUCUCAAUAAGAACAGAAUUCAAUCUUAAUUGAGAAAAGGGAUGGACCCUAGAAUUGAGUACAGGAGACUUGCUUUCUAAUGAGUAUUUAUUGUGCAUAAUCGAUUACAUUUGUACACUCGAACAUCAUUUUUAAAACAAAUAAUCGGAUCCUCACUGAGAAUAUAAAAACAAUAUAAUAUAUGAGUAUUCAUUUCUAGAUGCUUGAGGAUAAAGGCAUAGCAAAAAUUAAUAGGAAAACAUUCGAUGCAUAUACUUUAUUUAAACUUGCAAACACGUAAACCACCCUUUCCGAUCCCAUUCACCACGGUUGAAUGAAACAUUUUUUUUAAAUCCAAGGCUAUGUCAUUGCAAUUAUAAUGUCCGUUCUUGAAUUAACUACAUAAACAUCAUUAUGUUUAAUUUGUUUCCUCCAUGACUUACAAUCCAGCUAUUUACAAAUAGUAUAUGAUUUUUUAAUUUUUUAAUGUAUUAACACACCUACAACAAAGAAGAUUAAAAACAUAAUAUUCUUAAUUAUAAAUAAUGAUAAGUUUUCAUCCGCAACUCCCUCGUACUUUAUUAAAAUUUUUAAUUGUGAAUUUUUUCAUUCAAGGAACUAAUAAUCUCUAGCUUUUCGGUUUUUUCUUCAAUCUUCAAAUCCUACUCCUCGUUUGAUUUUCUCAAUAGUCUUGUUACAUACAUCACGUGUAUGUCCUUCUAUUACCUCUUCCAGUUUACUUUCCAUGGUGUCACAGUACAAAAAUGUAUUGAAAUAAACGAAUAAGUCUCUAUACUGUCCCUCUGGUAUCUUUCGUUCCUCUCUUGCAUUGAGUUACUUUUAUGUUCAAAAUCUAAAUCUAAGGUGCCUAUAAAAAGGUACCAAGUUACGUCAUAAACUUAGACAACAAAAAUUUGGACCCUCACUGAGAAUUUCCAAAAUUAUUAUAUGAGUAUUCAUUCCUUGAUGCUCAAGGAUAAAGGUAAAUCACAAAUUAAUAGGAAAACAUUUGAUGUACCUACUUUAUUUAGAGUUGUAAAUACUUAAACCACCAUUCACCACGGUUGAAUAAAAAACAAUGUUUUAUUUAAAAUCAAAGGCUCGGUCAUUGCAAUUAUAAUGUCCGUUAUUGAAUUAACUACAGAAACAUCAUUAUGUUUAAUUUGUUUCCUCCAUGACUUAUUAUCUAGUUAUUUACAAUAGUAUAUGAUUUUUAAUAUAUAUUAACCCACCUACAACAAAGAAGAUUAAGAACAUAAUAUUCUUAAUUAUAAAUAAUGAUAAAUUAUUUAUAGAAUAAUAAUAUGCUUAUUGGUAUAAAGAUUCAUUGUUUUAUUAAAUUAUCGCCACGUGUUUAACAUAACACAUUCUCAGUCAUAUUAAAAGAAUAGCGUAUAUUUAAACUAACAUUUAAGGUAGCACAAUAUAAAAGCAACUAAAUUUUAUCAAAAUUUCAUUUUCAGCUGUUUUCGUUACUUCUUAAUAUUCCAAAACCACAGAAGAAAAAUUUGUUUACAUAUCUUGCACUGUUAAUGAGUUUUGAUGAUAAUUAGUUUUAUAAACAAAUGCACGUGUCUGACUGAUACAAGAUAAAAACAUGUGGGCAGUACUUUGUGGUUAAUCAAUAGAAUCAUUUGAUAGCUUUAUGAUCACUGGCCAGCAAUAAAAAUAACAGUUGCAUUAGAGAUUUAUUGAAAAAUGAAGUUAUUGAAUUCCAGAUAAAAAUACAUUUCUUUAUUGGAGCUGCUAGGAGAAAAAAAAAACCCAACUAUUUGGAGAUAUAGAGGGAAUCAACAUAUAAAUGUACAGAUAUUAAACAAAUAUAAUCCUACAACAAUUAAUGUUUCUGAUGUUUAUACUAGAAUAUCUUAAGGAGAAUGUUGGAAUAUGAAUUCUUUUUAAAAGAAAAUACAAAUUGAAUAUUGCAUUAAUAAACUGCAAAAAUGAAAAAAAUGUACUUGUGUGAAACACCAUAUUGUCAUAGUAUACAAUUGCAAUUUUAGAAAUCCCCCAUAUAGAUUCUCUAGACAGGCCAACUGAUGAUUUUGUGUACAAAUGCAUAACUUACUUUUUGUAACAAUGCAAAAAUCAAAACAUAUUAUUUUAUGUACUAAAUGAAUAGAAUCCAUAUUGAAGAAAGUAAAUGCAAUGUGUAAUUAAACUUCUGAGAUCAUUAAUAGUAAAGGUUUAUCAUGGGGGGCGGUGUUUUGGCCAUAUCUGUAGCAACUGACUUCCAGCAAGGUCACUAAUGAUAUAACAUCUCCCGCCAGAUCUGAUUUUUGUUGCAUAAGGUGUGCAUUUUCUUUAUAUAUUUAGAAUUGCUGAAAUGGAAUGCUUUCUUACUGGUCAAAACCUAAUUGAUUUAUGAUUAAAGGCCAAUCCUGAAGUAUCCCCAUGGUACAUGUGUGAAUUAUAUUGAAGUUAAUGGGGUACAAGUAGGAAAAUUCUUAUUUAUUUAAUUGUGACACAUUCAUUUUUGUCAUGAAAAUGUUGUUUUAAAUAAAAUUAGCUCCUAGAUGGGUGCCCCUAUAUGCCUGAUUUUCACACAUGUUGUUCCUUGACCAGAUAUCUUCCAAACCGUGUCUCAGAUUUCCAAAACAUCAAUAGAACAAAUUUUAUACCCAAAUUGAAUUUAGUGAUCUCUUAUGAAUUGAGGUCUCAAACUUCAUUGGAGGUUUAUGAGAGAAUGAAAUACAGUAGGAAAAAUUUGAGACACGGUUUUAGAGGAAAAACUGUGUUGUACAAGAAUCUAUAAAAUAUUUUGGGAUGCUAUACAUAACAAAGAAGUUAAUUUCAUUCAAGUGUGGACAUCACAAUAUAGCAACUAAUUACAUAAUAAUUAAUUAUGUAAUAAUUAUCUCAUAAUGAAAUUAUCACCAUUUGAAAGAUUAAUCUUUCGUCUUUCUUUUGGUACCUCAUUUAUAAAAUUCAAAGUUGAAAUGAAGAAAUUACAUUAGUUUAUAGUUGUCUGAUUGGGGGUGAAAAAAUCUUUGUAUUGUGCUACCUUAAAUAUCGUUACAUGUAGUUAAUACGAUAUACACGUGUUAUUCCACGAAGAAUUGAGAAUUAUAAGUGGCUACUAAUAUUAGUUAUUAUUCUUCCUUUCUAAAAAAAAGUGUUUUAUCCGAACAUGUCAAAAUACUAGAAAUUCUAAGGAUUCGAAAUACUAAGAAUUGUUUAUCCUGUGCAUAGAUGACCUUAGCCGUAUUUUGCUCAACUUUUUUUACUUUUGGGUCCUCGAUGCUCCUCAAUUCUAUAUUUGUUUAGCUUUCUUUCUCUUUUGAUCUGAACGUCACUGGUGGGUCUUAUGUAGACGAAACGCACGUCUGGCGUAUCAAAUUAUAAACCUGAUAACUAUUUAUACUAUUUUUUCUCCAGCCGAUGUCACUGUAAUUACAUCGUUUAGUGAUUACUUUUUAACACCCAUAAAAAAGAACUUUUAACAUAUCCUAUACUUGAAAUUUCACAAAAUAGAUUCGACACAAGAAUGUCCAACUUAGAUCGUCUCCUCCUUUACAAUAGCUAUGUUGUGACCAGCAUUAACAUAAUAAUUACGGAAAGGCAAAAAUUGAUGGACUUUCACUUAUCAUACCAGAGAAUACCAUUUUUGGUGCUAUCAAAAAUUGUAAGCUGAACACAACACUACAGGUAUAUCGAAUUUAAUUUGAGCCAUAUAAUUAUGCACCCUUGAGAUAAAUAAUAAAUCGUCGGUGUUGCUCGAAACCAAUUAUUGGAAUUCCAAAUAUAGUAAAUCAUAGUCAAGCAAUUAAUUAAAUUAAUACUGCACCAAACACACGACUAAAGUAUAUCUGCGCAUCGGUCUGUUAUAGCCUUGAGAUAUGUUUUACUGACCAACUUUACUAAAUAAUAUUUUAUGUUUUUUUUAGAAAUAUGUGGUGGUAUUCUUAAAAAGUCUUCAGGGUAUAUAUCGCCACCAUUGAUAAACAACACCUAUCAGUCUAACAGUUUCUGUCGAUGGGAAAUACAUAGCAAUAGAAAUAACAGCAUUAUUUUAACAUCAACAGAUUUUUCCGUAGAAGAAUCACCCGGAUGUAUGUAAGUAGAGAGGGUUGGAAAGUAUAACCCGAUGUGUAUCCCAAUUUUUGACAUUAUGCAUGUUUGUUUUGUUCACACUGUGUCAAUAUGUUUGAAUUUCAUGCAACUGUCAUACAAGUGAGAAGUUUAGCUUGCUAUAAUAUUAGGUUUAAACCACCCUUUUCUACAUAAGUAAAUGUAUGUGUCAAGUCUGGAAUAUGACAAUUGUUUUCCAUUCGUUUGAAAUGUUUUGCUUUUGAUUUUCCCCCAUUUGAUAGGGUACUUUCCGAUUUAAACUUUCAUUGGAUAUAAGCAUUUUUUUUUUAAUUUUAAUCAUUGCAGCAAUUAUUUAAUUGAAUACAAAAUGUUAAUAUACAUUUAGUAUCAUCAUUAUCCUACAGUUUUACUUUUUUCAUAUACGUGUGUUUGCUCAAAAGUUGUGACACAUUCAAUCAAUAUUUGAAAAGCUUAUAGACGAAUUUCUAUUUUGCGAUAAAGAUCGUCAUAUUUUGUAUCGAAAUCGUUCUCAUAAAACCAAACAUUUUAUGAUAAAGUUUGACGUUUUUGUGCUUUCCCACGGAUUACAUACGUACCCAUUUUUAUUUUGCUGAUAAUAUCAAGAGAUACUUAUUCGUUUUCGAAGAAACAUACUAUUGCUAGUAUUAAAACAAAACGGAAUUCUAUUGUUAUAAAUCAUCACAUCAAGGGAAUAGGGUUCAACGUUACAUUAUAUUCAAAGGAAAAGUAAAUUUACUUUUAGAAAUCGAUUCCUAUUUCGAUAGUCAAUCAAUAGAAAUCGGGAGAAAAUCAUCAACAUUAUCAUCAAAAUCAGUCGAAACACACCGAUAUAUCGCAAGAAUUACGAGUUAUCUUUAGACUGAUAACCUAUCAUUUUUCAGUUCGUCACAAGAAAUUAACUUUGAAUUUACAUGCAAGGAGGUAUUCAUAAUAUCUGAAAAGUGUAUUGUUUUCAAUCAUUGAAAUUUGUAAAGUACACUGUGUUGAUAAACAUUACGUUUGUCGUGUCUCUGUGACGUCAUUAUCUUCCAUUACAUAUUAGCCUUAGAUGGUUAUGUGAAUUGCAAAAUGUGAUUAUAAGCAAUAGACUUUUUACAGUAAUUAUAUAUUGUACACACAUAAAUUCUAAAAGACAUAUCGUUGUGAAAUGUGUUGUGGGUGUGCAAGAAGCUGUUGUUAAUGUUAAUUUAACACUUGUAAGAUAUAAUCAAAUCUGUUUGAUAGACUAAUGUCUUGUGGGUAGUUGAAAGACGUUAAUGUACCAAUUAUCUCCGAUUGCUUUAAACAUUGGUGUUUUGAUCCUUCAUGUAAGUUGUAUUAAGCAAUAACGAUCCCCAAAGAAUACACUUGAUAAAAUAGGGAUGAGUACAUUAAAUUCGUUUUUUGAAAGCAUCAUAGUACAUACGGUUUCCAUUUAUAUCAUUAGUUAUUGUGUACAUCUUCAAGAGAAAAGAAACAAAAUUGGAUUGACACUUGCAACAGUGACACAAAAGUCGCGAAAUACAUUAUGUUAAAAAUAAUUAAUACACCAAAUCGAUAUUUCGGUUAAUGGACAUCGUCUUUUUCUAUAAACAACAAAUAUGAAUAUACAUUUAUAAAAUUACCGAUUUUUAUAUCCAAUUUCGCAGGAAAAGUUUUGUUGUUAUUGCUGUGUGUUUGUUUAUUGUAUAUUGGCUAGAGGUAUAGAGAGAGGAUUAAUAUCUUUUAAAAAAAACAUGCUCAACCAGGCCGCAGUUUUUAACCUGUUCAAAGUCAGGUGCCUCUGGCAUUAUCUUGUCAUGUAAUUUUUAAAUUUAGUUCACUUAUAUGUUUCGAUGUUUAUAUUAGUGCGACGUCAAUUUUCACUCGGGUGCGAAAUUUUCUCGCUCUGUUUAAAUACCCAUUGGUGACCUUCGGCUGUGUUUUACUCAUUAGUUCUUUCCACUUUUCCGUGGAAAGACCUAUUGGUUUUCUUCUGAUUAUUAUUUUUUUUUCUUCCGCCUAAUUUUCUUUCCUUCGCUAACUUUUUGUUUCACAAGAUGUCACUUAGAUAUUUUGUAUAUGAUAUCGAAGAGUUCAUACGCUUUUGAAACUGACACCGCGUAACAAAAAUCUUUUCCAUGUAAGAGUUAUCAACCCGAACACUGUUUUUCUUGUUAUCACUUAUAUGUCGCAACCGUAUAAGAAACCGACAAAUUUAUUUUACCAAAUUGCUCGUUAUAUCCUCAGGAUGAAAUGAAUAAUUUUAGGCGAAGCUAUCUGGAGACUCCAUAUGAGAGUUAUCCCCCCUUUUGUAUAUGAUAUAACUGAUUUGCAUUUCUAACUGGUAAACGAUAAGUGACAUAGGCCUAGGGUCUUUUGAUUUGAGGUCCUUGGUUCAAAAAAAUGAAAAUGAGGUCAAGGUCAAAGGUCAAGGUCAUGUUCAAAAUUUUGACUUUGGCUUGUUAUCGCUCAUUUUCAGAAAUCUUAUAAGAUAUCGACAAAAUAUUUUCACACAAUUGUUAGUCGCGACAUGUAGUUACACAUAAAUUUUAGUCAAAAGGGUACGUAAACUUUUGAUGUUAGUUUCCCCCCCCCUUUUAUAUCUAAUAUCAGUCGUAUGGUAAUAUAACUCAUUAACAAUAUAAAGUAAAGUAAAGACCUAGAGUCUUUUGAUUUGAGGUCCUUGGUUUAUGACCUUGAAAUUGAGCUCAAGGUCAUAUGUUAAUUUAACAUUCAAGAUUUUGACCUUUGCUUUUAUCUCAUAUGUAUGAUUACUUUAAAGAAAAGUUAUCUAAUGUAAUUGAUUUCAUUUGAAAUAAGGUGUAAUUGUAAUGUAAUCGAUUACAUUUUUAGCAAAGUAAUUGUAAUGUAAUCGAUUACAUUUUUUAGCAAAGUAAUUGUAAUUAAAUCGAUUACAUUUUUAAGUAAUCGACCCCAUCCCUGAUUAAAAGUCGGGAGAAAUGAAUCCAAAAUAUCAACAAAACCAGUUAUAAUACACCGAGAGAAUAACCAAUAAAUAUCAGAAUGUUCGUCACAAGAAAUUAACUUUACAGUUACUAAUGCUAGGAAGGAGGUGUCCAUGAAUAACAGAAAACUAUACUUUUUUCAAUCAUUAUAAUUUGUAAAGUACACUGUGUUUAUGAACAUCAAGUUUGUCGUGUCUCUGUGACGUCAUUAACUUUCAUUACAUGUCAGUCAGUCUUAUAUGGCUAUGUAAAUUGCAAAAUGUUAUUAAAGGCAACAGCCUCCCUUUAGCAAAAAUUACACAAUUUUAAAAGACAUAUUGUGGUGAAUAGUUUAGUGGAUGUACAAGAAUCUGUUGCUGACACAUUUACAAUGUUUAAGUCAUAGUACCAUUACUCUUUCUAAAAGUAAGUAACUGUUGAUUUUGAUGUAGAAAAAAAGAGAGGGAAGAUAGCAAUAAAACAAUCAAAAUUAAGUGUGGAAGAACACACCUGUACUGGAACCCCUGGGCUAAGGUCAUUAAUUAAAUUUAAACAUGUUAAUAGAUUUGUCAUACAUUGUGUCCAUUAGAAGCACCAAAGAAGGGUUCCUGUAUGAUGUUAUGAUAGUAGCAAUACGUUAAAACACAUUUCAAUUACCCUCCCUAAGAAAUAAGCUUAUUUUGGUACAAUGAUCACCAUGUUGGAUUUUACCGGAAGUAGGGUUUUUGAAGUUUGAAGACAUCUAAUCUAUAUAAUAUGUUCAAAAGUAGUACCUAACAAAUUUGUACCAAAUAUUAUGAUAGUAGCAUGAUAAUAACACCUUUUUCAAAUACAAACCUUUGAUAUUGGGCUGAUUAAGUAUGAAUUCCGCCAUUUUAGAUUUUACCGGAAGUAUACAUUUUUUUUCAAAUUCCCUUUCUAAAAUAAAAGAGUAAUAGUUGAGGAAGGUCUAUGCCAAAUUUCAGGCUUGUAGCAGGACGUGCACAAUUCGUCUGGAAUAUGCUUGUAGCCGCCGGACUAGUAUGUAUAUGAGCAUUUGAAAUUAGUUGUAUACUGUUAUACCAUACCAUAUGUAUGCUCAUAUAUUUCUUGCACUACUACUGUGGAUUCAUUUAUUUUUGUGGGUAUCAAUUUUCGUGGAUUGAGAAAAAUUACAUUUUCGUGGAUAUUUGAAUUCAUUGUUUGCCGAUUUCUGUGUACAAAGCCUAUAGAAAAUUUGUAAUUUGUUGAACAUAUGAAUUCAUGGUUCACUUGUACCCACGAAAACCAUGAAAAUUGGUAUCCAACGAAUAAUAAUGAAUCCACAGGAUCACUAUAUCAAUAAUAAUGUUUUAACUAUACUUAAUCCAUAGAUUUCUAAGAGAUGGUUCAUAGAAUGCGUAUUAUGCUUAUUGAUUUCAUUUGCUUGCUUAUUGUGCCACAAGGAUAAAUAUAUGUUGAUACUUGUAAAUUCAUGAUGAAAAAAAAAAUAAAAAAUAAAAAAAUAAUAAAUAAAACAAUCAAAAGAGACAAGGAGCUCUAGAGUCUGCGUUUUUUACAAAAUAUAUUACUUUUUCCCUCAUCAAAAACAUCAUGUAUCAGAUCAUAAAAAGUCAUGACCACUAUAUUGUUUUUCACACAGUAUUUGGAAUACAAAUGCUGUCCUUUAGUUUGUCGGUUUGUAGGUCAGCACUUUGCUUGUCGAACGAUUAAGAAUCUUAUUUACUUUUACAGAUCAAACGUUUUAAGACACAAUGUUAAGAGGUGAAGACAAAAAAAAACUUACGAUUCUUAAGUUUUGUAGUUUGUAUUUCGUGAUUUAUUGGUAUUUACAAGUCGAAAACUACUUUGCUCUCUAUAGAUUAAAUUUUUGCUUUAUGGAUUUUCGUAAUAUUUACAUACAAUAAAAUACAUCUAGUUCCAUUUUGAAGUUUCCCUCUAGAGCUAAAAUAAAAAUAAUUAUAAAUUUUCUACGUUACAAAAGAUCCUGUUGUGAAUUAUGAACGUUCAAAUUUGUAUAUAUGUCGUGUACAUUUUAUUAUUUAGUACAGGUUAAUACUUGUACAAAAACUUUGUAUGAGUAAUUACUUGUAUGAUGCCAUCAUACAAGUUAUUACCUGUACAAAUAUAACUGUACCUGUAAUUACUUGUACAAUUUUUGUUCAGAAAAAAGAAUAAUUGUAAACACAAUACUUUAACGGUGUAUGUCUUCUUCUUUUGCUUUAAACAAAAUGUUUCCUUAAAAAACACUUUUCUUUGAGUUAAUACAAUGUAAGUCUGGGAUUGUGUUCUCAAUUGUGGAGUAUUAUUUUUCUUUAACUGUUUUCCUCGUAUUUAUUUAUUUGUUUGUUUAUUUUUGUCGAGCCUUCGUUUUUAGUCGAAAAAACGCGACAUGUCAAUCCUACAUUACGACGGCGGCGUUGUCGUCGUUGACGGCGGCGUCCACAAAUAUUCGUUCUGUGGUUAAAAUUUUUGAAAUUUUAAUCAUUUUCUUAAACUAUGCUGGAGUUCUACCAAACAUGGACAGAAACUUGUAUAUGAUCAUAUGAUAGUACCCAGAAGUAAAUUUUAUAAAAAUAAAAUUGCUGUUUUUCCAUAUUUUACUUGUAAAUGGACUUAGUUGUUGUUCCCAGAAAACAAUACAUUCACUCUGUGGUUAAACUUUUUAAAAUUCUAAUAUCUUUCUUAAACUAUCCUGGAUUUUUACCAAACUUGGACAGAAGCUUCUUGCAAACAAAAGAUAGUAUCAAGGGGAAUAUUUUUGUUGAUGUUUUUAACUCAUUUUUGUUGAGCCUGCCAUUAACAGCAAAAGUAGGCGAGACUCUGGGUUCCGUAGAACCCUUGCGAAUUUUUCUUAUCAUAGGGCAUAUGUUUUUUCUGAUUGUAUCAAUCUGAUGAGUUAAGCCUCUUUCAACUGAUUUUUAUAAUUCGUUCUUAUGUUGUAAUGUUACACCACUGUCCAAGGUUAGGGGGAAUUGGGAUCCUGAUAACAUGUUUAACCCCGCCACAUUACGUAUAUAUGUGCCUGUCCCGGCCAAGCUUGUCAUUCACUGGUUGUCGCUUGUCCAUGUGUAACAUAUUUUUUUCCAUUCAUUUUUGUACAUGAACAAGGCCGUUAGUUUUCUCGUUUGAAUUGUUUUAGAUUUACCAUUUUAGGGCCUUUUAAAGCUGGCUAUGCGUUGUGGGCUUUGCUCAUUGUUGAAAGCCGUGUGGUGAUCUAUAGUUUUUAAUUUCUGUGUCAUUUGGGUUCUUGUGCAGAGUUAUCUAAUUGGCACUUAUAUCACAUUUUCUUUUUUACAUUAGUACCAUUUUUGAAAUGUUAGAAGAAUUUAGACACACGAGGAACACGGAGUAACAACAUCACAUACAUGUAGCAUGAAAUUGAGCAAAUUAAGCUUAACAGCUUGUUGCUGCUUAAAUACUGAUUACUGGUGUAAAGUGACAAAGUCGUUAAAAGCAAAAAUAAAAUAAACCAUUCUACAAUUUAUUUUCAAAAAUAAAUCAUGAUAAAAAAUUACAUAUAUGUUAUACCAUAUAUUGGAAUUAAAGGUUAAACCUAAUAGAUAAUUAGUACACAUACAACUCAAUAUAAUGUGUUGUAAAGUUUUAUCUUUUUUCUCAUCAAAAUUGUACAAGUAAGUACUGGUACAAUUAUAUUUUGUCAGGUAAUAACGUAUGAUGGCAUCAUACAAGUAAUUACUCAUACAAAGUUUUUGUACAAGUAAUAACCUGUACAAAAUAAUAACAUGUACACGACAUAUACACUGUAUUGGGCAUAGCAAACUUCCUUUAAGUUGGAAGCUCUUGAACAUUAAGUUGAAUAUUCAUGGGUUUCUUUAAGAGUUGUAAAAACUAUAUAUAGAAUUAUUUUCAAGACGAUGCUAUAUAGAGCAUAUGAUGACAUAUUUGUAUACGUCUUACACAACGCAACAAACCUAUGUGUGUACAUGUACAAUUAAGAAUUUCUGAUCAUUUUCGCUAUUAUUUACAGUUUUAAAGAUAAUUGCCAAAAAUGAAGUAAAAAGUUAAAACUGUAAGACGAUUCCAUAAAUGUUGCCAUACUUGUAGAUCUUUAUUUUAUUUUGUUUAUCAAUUUUGUCUGUUACGUUUUGGUUUUAUCUACAACAUUUUCAACCCAAAACGCACAAAGUCGUAAAAUCUUCAUUCAAGGACAACAUUUUGAAUAAGGAAAAGAUCGAGAACUUCGGUCCUCCUUACAUGUUCCUGUUUUAAGAGCUUGCCUUGUUGAUAUUUUGCGCUUAUUAAAGUUUCCCCUUAUUAUCGUUUUAUUCAAGAUGAUAGCACACAUAAAAAGUUUACAUAUGGCUGAAAUCUACAAUAAAAAAUUCAUAUAAACUUGAAUGAAAAUAAUAGUACAUUAGCGUUUCUUGAAUGAAAUAUAAACAUUGAUAUACAUUUCAGUGUUCAUAGAAUCAGCAAGUCUUUUAAAUAUAUGUUUAUACUUAAAUAAUCGGAUUCCUCUAAGUUUCUUUCAGAUUUUGCCAUGCACGUUUAACAAAACAAGGAAAAUGUUACAUACCGUCCCCUAUUUCUGUCUCCCUUAGUAUAUCAAUUAAUAUAUAUACUAAUUUUGCGAUAUUGUUGUCUUGCAAUGAACUUGUACUUUGUGUUUGAUUUGGCUUUGAGCCCCUUUUAUCCGAGCGCCACUAAAGGAUUUUAUGUAGCCAAAACGCAAGUUACCAAUUCAAAGACUUAUAUGUUGCUUACUUUUCAUAUCUAACAUCUUUUUAAAAGACAGAUUUAAAAUAAAACUGCGUAAACAUGAAGUAUCUUAUAUAAAGAAAAUAUUACCUUAUUCUGAUUCUGUAGUACCAGUUUUUGUUUUCACCAAAGUUUUAUAAAAAGAUAUUUAUUUGACGUAUUUCGAGUCCAAGUCUGCAUGUGUUAUCUAUUUAUCUAUUAAAAUCCUGAUUGUGACAUAGGUUCAAUCAUAUAGAACUAUUUACAUAAUAUAUCACUGUUAUCAAACUAAUUAUCAAUCAAUUUUAUGAAUAACUUGAAAAUUUAUCACAUGCUCUUGGUACAAUAAUUAACAAAAUAUGAAAAUAUGUAAAUAAGUAAAUUACAUCGCCAUUUACUUGUCAUUAUUUUAUAACAAACAAACUGUUUUAUCUGAAUUCCGUUUAUUUAUUAGAUACCUAAUGGGAUAAUUUUUAUCAAUAUUGUUUUUUUGUACUCAAUGAUGUUCAAUUGUUAUUUAAAUUGGUUUUGUUUAUUAUGCACAUUUGAUACCCGCGGGACAGAAUUGUUAAUAUAAAAAAUCUAUAGCCUGUGAAGGUCGAUCACUUAAAACUUAAAAAAUACAUCACAAACCAUUUACCAUACACCAUACCUGCACUGCUUCUCUUCUUCUUUUUUUUUGGUAGAGGUAGAUACUAGCGUUGUUGAUUAUCUCAAUUGCUUGUUAUAUUGUUAUUUUUAAUUGUCUGAGUACAUUUUAAACCUAUAUUUUUUAGUUCAUUGUGAUAUUGUGCACUAAUUACUUGUUAUAUUUUUUUCCAUGGAGUUUAGUAUUUUUUUAAAUUAACUUGUAAGCACUGAUUCCGAGGUAAAACUUAGAACUUGAUUUAUUCUACAUUAUAUAUAGUUUAAAACAUCAAAAAAUGUGUUUCAAUCUUGGUUUGAUUUAUUCUAGUUAAGACACAUCAGUGACGCUCAGAUCAAAAUUGUUAGAGAUCAAACAAGUAUAAAGUUAAAGAGCAUUCAGGACCCAAAAUUCUGAAAAGUUGUACAAUAUACGACUAAGGUGAUCUAUGCCUUGAAUAAAUUUGUAUUCGAAAUUGUAUUAAAAUCUUCAGUUAUUGUGCUUCUUUUUUCGGGGGCGCAUUGUCAAUUUAUUAAAUUUUAUCAAAACAACUUGUAAGGGUAUAAUUUCUAGUGGCUAUCAAACAUUGUUUUUUACUCAACAUUUUUAUUUUUCGAUUUCCGUUUCUGUAGAACUUUCAGAUUUGUGCUUUCAUUAUUUCAACAUAUUUCAAUAGAGAUUCUUUCAGUUGUAUAACUUAAAUUCAAUAAUAAGUCGACUUAAAAAGCAAUAAAAGGUUUAAACUACGACAACAAGAAAAAGUCGUAAUUGAAGUUUUCAGUCUUUGAACAUCCAAUCAGUAGGAUAUUACAGCAAGUUUAAUUCAUCAUCAAUUUCCUUACUUAAACUAUUUGAAAAUAUCACAAUUACUAGAAUUUGUGGAUUUUACAAUUCUUUAAUUUAGAGAUAAGGAAGUUUGGGUCCUUAGAUUUUGAAACGAACUGUUAAGAUUUGUAUUUUAUGACCCGAUAGUUGACGAGCGAAACCUUUGUUUUUUCUUAUGCUAACAAUAAAAUGUUGCAGACUACAGGAAAUUAGUUUCUUGGAAUAAUUUGAAUAAUGUUUUGCCCUUGAUACAUUUAAGCUUUUGAUUUUGUCAUUUGAUUGUGGACUCCCCGUUUCAAAUUUUCCUCGGAUUUCGGUAUUUUUUUUAUACUUUAUUCAUGUUACAAAUAUCGGUUAUCUUGUGUGCUGACUUUAGGGUUGGAAUUAUGACAGCUAGAAACUACUACAGCCGAUACCCCUGAAUAAAUUAACUUAAUUAACCUAGUUAUUAGUAUAUCAAACACGUAAACUUGUAAAUGAACAGUGAAUACCGUGUCACUGAUGUGGUCGAUUCUUUUGAUAACCACCGCUGAUUUUGGAAUUGUUGAUAAUGAAAAACAUAUCAGUAAUUCGUUUUACCAUGAUACGCGUCUAUUGCAUGUAAUGUUCUGUUUUGAAAGGUUAACAAUAGUUAAUGACGCCAUAAUAUAGAGAAAUAAGGAAGUAAAAAAAUAAAUGGCUUCAAGAGCGCAACUAAAAAUGCAAAAAUUGAACUAUUAACAAUGUUGUUAAAUAAACUACAAGAUAAAUCCAUAAAAUUGUAAUGCAAUGAUUGCGUAAUAUUAUCCAAAAACCGGAAUAUAAACAAUCAAAUUACGUCAAUAAAAAGCAAAAUAUUCUGAUUGUUCUAUUAAUUAGAUAAUAUCUUUCAAGUCUUAAUAGAUAAAACAGUUAAUUGCAUGAUAUAACGUUUUGAUAGAUUCGGAAAUUGUUUAUUUUUAUCACUUUUCAUUUCACGUGAUCACUUUGAUUCAGUAUUGGUAUGAUUGUUCUUUCAUUUAAUUGACAAACAUUUUAAGAUGAGCAUCGUAAAACGCUGGAAUAGACCCAUAUAUUUUUGUUGAGGUUGUAAGUUGUAGUCGACGUAAAUAUAUCUUUACUGUUUGCUUAUGGAUCAUAAUAUUAGUAUUUAUAGUGCAGAGUUUUUCAUAUAUAUCGUAAAAUUUUAGAAUUUCAAAGACAAAUGCUUAAUUCGUUAGUAUACUAUGAUAUUCCUAAAAAAUGUAUGAUUUCAAAACGACAAAUGUAAAAAAUAUAGAAGAUGAUUGUAGCAGAGGUAUAUUUUUAAAAGUGUUUUUGCAUGUGACAUUUUUUCCAAUAAAUAAACAUAUGUAGUAGAUGCACGAUCAUCCGCAAUAGAUUUGAAAUAAUAAUAAUAAUAAUUCGUGGAAAGAAUUAGGACUUAAUAAUAAAUAGUAUCUAGGCAUGUACAUGAAUGAUAAGACAAAAAAAAACUUUUACUGAGGUUACAGUACAUUUCACUGACAUAUGAAGUCAUGUUUUAAUUUUAAAAACAAGCAUAUGCUCUGUCUAUGAAUAUAUUCCUAUAGUAAAAGAAACGAGAAGAAAUUUGCAUGAAAACUAAUAGAAUCAAAAUAAGAGCAACAGUGAUUUACCCAUGUCCAAAUGUCAUUAAUCUAUUUAGAAAAUACCAAAUCAUGUUAAACAACAAAAAAUGAGGGAAUCGAAUUUACUCCAGAAGGUACCAGAUAGGAUGUGUGGAUAUAUUAAGCGUUUUUUGCCAUGAAGGCAUCAUAACAUCAGUGAGCUAUUGAAAUAGUUAAUUAUACGUUAAUGUUAAGUACUUUCAGCUGAAAAUUUAAACGUGAUAUAAACAAGUAUACUAUGCAGUACCUGGGAUUACUAUACUUACCUGUUCUGUCACAGGUAGUACAAGAAACGUAUAUAGUACUAUAUACAUGUAAUUUUCUGGUAAUCUUUUUGGACAUAUUCGAAGCUUUUUACGUCUUGUAUAUGGUGUGUACAAGUUGUACUGUUGUACAAAUUAUAAUUUAUACAUAUUGUUUGUACAAGUUAUCAGUGUUUUAUGAACCGCUUAACACAGUCUUUUGUUUCACAUAUUUAUGUCAUAUUUUUACAACUACAUGAUACAGUCUAAUACUGAGCAUUGAUACAAAAACAUUAUAAAAACACAAAACGUCUUUUAAUGGAUAUGAUUUUGGUAUAAGGAGAAAACACAAAUUAGAAUUUAAACCAUUCAGGUAGCCUUAAUUCAUGUUUCAGGACAAAAGCAAUAGCAUUAAAUGUUUGGUUGACAUAUAUACAAUUGAAUUUAAGACAUUUAACUGAUACAUUUAGAAGAUAAACUUGUAUCAUUAGUUGCAAGAAGCUAAGUGUCAAAAGACUUAUAACUUGUACAAAAACCCUGUACAAAUUAUAAUUUGAACAAACUUACUUUUAUACACAUCAUAAUAUAUAUAUAUAUAGAUGAUAAAGUAUCGACAUUAGCAAUCUUCAGACUGUUUUACUAUUUUCGUUUUAUACAAUAACAUCUUCAGGUCAGACGUUUUAUUUCAGAAGCAAUAAGCUUCAUUUUAUUUAUUAAUGGACUGUUCAAUCGUGAUCUUUGCUACUAGAGAUUCAUUCUUAAUGCGAAUAUUUUUCUUAACGGAAAAUCACAUCACACGAUGUCUCUACGUUAUGUGGCAAGCAGUCAGAUUGACAUCAUUUCAUAAUCUUAUUACAUUGAUUCAAAAUAUAUUUAUAGCAAAAUCUAAUAACUUGUCACUGUAUUUGGUAGCAACAGCAAGCCAAUUCUACAUUGAUGCUACGUUUUCUGGUAAAGUGUGAUUGAAUGUAUAUUUAUAUCAAUGGUAUGACGCCAAAUCGUCUAUUUAGAAUAUUGCUGCGAUUUUCAAAUGCAAAAACGAAAUGUUUUCUUUAAAGGCUUUGAAUUUUUGCAGUCACCUUAUACAUAAUCCUGACAUCUAGAUUUUUUUUCAUGUCGGGGAACGUUUUGCUUGGUUAGCACCCAACAUUAAAAAAAAAAGUAAAUAGAAUUGAUCGCAAUAUAUCAUACACAUAUUGUUGAUAAAUCUUAUUAUGAAAAUAACAAAUUUGUCGACUCCGCUGUUGUAUACAGUACAAUACAUUCUCCAAUGUUUGGCUGUGUAGAGUAUUAAAUAAGUACAUCCUCUUUCGGUAUUAAAUGGGAUGUUAUUUCUGAUUUCAUUAGUAGCUAGAUUGCUACGUUUAAACCCUCUGCACAUUUAGGAUCCUUUCAAAAACUCUAAGUGUUGUCGUAUGUAAUCCAAAUAAAGGCAAACAUUCUGCUUUCAUACAGAAACCCUAAUAUUACAUAGGCAGGUUACAGUUUCCGAUUCUUUAUCUCAUAACCAUUUCUUCAACUUUACUGCUUAUUUGUUGUCGUCUUGACACCUAUCAAUCAGUUAUAUAAGAGUGAUAAAUUUCCAAAGAUCGUGUCUUUGGUGCGAAGUAACAUUAGGAAGACACUAUAUAACUAAAAUUGUGCAUAACAGACUUUUUUCUUGCACUGUGUGAUAUUUAGAAGUACAGAUUUUUACGCUUAAUUGGAACAUAUGUUUGAAAAGUCAAAAGUUUAAGAUAGAAAAUUACAUUUGCGUUGCAAAUUUAACAGUUUGUAUUCACAUUGAUUCUGACAGGUCUCAGCGAAAACGUAAAAACGUUAACAAUACCAUAUUUCUUCUUGAUUGAUAAUGGGAAGUAAAAUUAUCAGUCAACUUAAUGAGCAUAUGUCUGCAUCGGUAACGAACUAAUCGAGAAGAUACUAGGCCUCGUUGUGAAUAAUACGACAAAAAAAGUAUUGGGAAUUUUUCAAUUUUACAGUUGGCUAUAUUUUGUCAUUAUUGUAUUAUUCAUACAUUUCAACUUGUCAAUGAUGAAGAAGAUUUAUCGACGAAUAUGUUCGCUGAUGUACAAAUUAAAUGUCCUAUAAGCCCUGGGUCAAUGUCGUGUUUACCAAAAACAACUUAAACAUUGUUUUCGGUUUUCACUGUGCUAUUUACAAUAGAAAGUUUUAUCGAGACACCAGCUUUGAUUAUAAGCUAAAUUGAGUAAAUUGGUCUAAUUGUAUAACUUAAAUCAUAAGUCAAAACACCCAAACAAUACUAAUGGAUGAUCAACAGGGGCAUGUUUAGUGGGUCAGACGAAAAUUACAGGCUCCUCUCUUAGGUCAGACACAUACAUGAUUUUGAGGGUUUUAACAGAACAACAAGGAAUAAGAAAAAACUAUAAAAAUCAGUAAACAUGGGAUUGACUCGUCAGACAAAGUUCAAACACUAAACACAAAGGAAGAAUUUAUAUAAAACGUCCAAAUAAUCGUUCACUCAAUAAUACUUACUACAGCAAUGACUUCAGAAAGUAAAGACAUCUUGUUUGAAACCAGUAUUCUCUAACAGACCUUAUUUUAAUCGACUGUAUUUUUUAUAUAAAAGCUAUGAUAGAUAAUAGAAGAUACAAAUUUGUUGUAAAAGCAAGUAUGUUUUUCUAUUUAAUACUCAAUGUAUAUGAUUAUUCGUUUUAUUAGAAAGGGUUCUUAGAUCAUAUACUAAAGUGUAGUUACAUAGUACCAAUGUUCUCAAAAUAUAAUUGAAGUCUCGCUCGUGAUCUGAAAUUAAUAUUUUGAUGUGUAUUUGUUCUCGUUAAAUUCCGAUUAAAAUAUAAAAUAUAAAUUUCAAUUGAAGCAACUUGUAUGAAAAAUAGCGACAAAAGACCUAUUAGAAAUAAAAUACUGUUCAGGAAGAUUUUAAUAUGAUAAUGAAUCAUUAAACCUAUCCAUCAUUGUUAAGCACAUUUUGUUUAUUUAUUACGUUAGGGACGUUCGUCUAUAUACCGGGUGAAAACACUAAUAUGCAUUAUGAAUUUGGUGGGCAAAUGCAAACAGGGAGAAAGUGUGAAAUGCUGAAUAAAACGGCAUGUAUGUAUAAUUGUUUUUUUUUUUUUCAAACUUUGGAGUUUAAUGUAUAACUAUAAAUGCUUUUGAUUUUGAAAGAAAAUUAUUCAAAUGAAAUAUUGUCUCGACUGAUUUUUAAUAAACCUACGUUGAAGAGGUUUUAAUAAUUCAUUUUUAUUUAUAAUUAAAUGGAGUUUUUGGAAUAUUGCACCUAUAUUUCUUCUGUAUAGUUUAUAACCCCAACAUUUAAAGUUUAUGAUAGAUGUGCAUUUUGAUCAUUAUAGGUUCAAUAACAUGUGAAAAUUGGAGUACUCUUCAAAUCAACUAGAGAUUAUUUUAAAACCAAUAGAAUAAUAAACAAGCCAUUGGCGAGUACUGAGUAUCAAGAUCCACUUUUCAAGAAUUAUGAAACUUUUUUUUAAAAUUAAAUUUUAGUGAAAUAUUUUCGAUUUCGAAAGUGUUAAAUCAGACGUCUUCAAGCUUGUAGUACGCUUCAGAAUUAAUUCAAAUUAACCAAAGUUCUAUUUUUGAGUAAAACAUGCCAGUAUUUUAUCCAUUAGUUCGAUGCGUUUGAGCUUUUGAUUUUGCCAUUUGAUUAAAAACGUUCUGUUUUGAAUAUUCCUCGAAGUUCAGUAUUUUUGUGAUUUAACCUUUUUAUAUAUAAUUGAAAGCACCACACUUCGUUGCCAUCGUUCACCGAACAAAUAGCCAAAGGAAAUGCCACAAGUUCGUAACCAAUUGUUGAACAGGGCAUAUUAAAAUAUUUUUCUUAUCACUCAUUUAAAUCACACAGGUUCAGUAAAAAUAUCUCUUCGUUAGGGAAAUUGAUGACCGACAAGUCAUAAAAGAAAAAUGAUACAGUUUUGCUUUGCUUUAAUGAUUUUCAAGUGAUUUUAUUUCAUUAUUUCGGACAAUAAAGAUUCAGUAGUAAUUGUUAAAUUAUCACAAACGUUUGAAGUGUAUUAAAAAAGGCUUAAUCGGUAUACAUACAUGUCACACAUGUUUUAAAACCCGGGUGACAUGUUAGCGUACCCUUUUUUAAAAAUAGUUUGGCUCAACCUUCCUCAUGCAAAAUUAGAUUAGACAGUUUUGCUAUUCGUUAAAGUCCCUAUAGGUUUUUCAUAUACAAGAGGUAUGUCCACGUUAAUAAAAAAAAAAACCUCAUCAAAGAUACCAGAUUUUCAAACACUGAAUGUACAUUGCCACAAACUAUAAAAUACCUUUUGAAGGUUGAAAGCUGUUAUUGGUUAAUUCAGUUCUGAAGUCUAAUGGAUCCGGAUCCAUGACGCAAGAAUCCACUAAUAGUUGAUAAGAUUCACAUUCUGAUAGUGAUACAGGAAGAGUGAGCCUAUUUCUCUUCAUUUUUAAAGCAAUAAAUGGGGCAAUUGAGUUUUAUGUUGUAUUCAAUUAUUUUUACUUUGACCCAGACAUUUACGUUUGAACGAGUUUUAUGCUUCCGACUAAAAUUAUUUUCAACUAUUAUUAGCAUUUUUUUAGCGAAUGAAUGUGGGAAAUUUUUUUUUAUUGUGAUAGCUUUUUCGUGGAAGUAAACUGACUCUUCGGAUACCAAAUUAGUGCAUAGUUUAUUUCAUUCGGAGUACUUUAUAUUUUCCUAGACAUAGAUGACAAUUGCUGGAGUUUUGGGGGGUUUGGUGUUCAAUUAUAUUUGACUGGGUAGGGUUUUUGCCUACCCAGUUAACUUGUUUCGAGUGUAACUGAUGUGCCUUAUGUAGACCGAACACGCACCUGACCUACUAUAAGAAUCUUUAUAUCGUUUAUGUGUUUUUAGACAUGGAAUUAUUUAAGGUUUGUCAUGCUCUGUUGCUUCUUAGUUGAAGAACAUAUUAUAAUAUCAAGACAUCUGUUUAUUUUAUUGACGGAGUGUUGUUUAACUAUGCUAAUUCUGAUUUGUCAUGCUCGGCGGUAAGAUCAGUAAUAAGAGCCAUCCCUUUGAUUGUGAUGGCUGCAUGAAUAAACUCAUCAUAAGUACCAGGAAAUUUUUUGUAUAUACGCCAGACGCGCGUUUCGUCUACAAAAGACUUAUCAGUGACGCUCGAAUCCAAAAAAGUUUAAAAGGCCAAAUAAAGUACGAAGUUGAAGAGCAUUGUGGACCACAAUUCCUAAAAGUUUUGCCAAAUCCAGCUAAGGUAAUCUAUGCCUGAGGUAGAAAAGCCUUAGUAUAGAUAAUUCAUGUCAGCACAAAAAGUGAUGACUACUGAAUAAUAAGCUACAUCAAGCUGGAAUUAGUAUGUCAAAUAAAAUGCUCUCUGUUUGGAGAGUGUCAUAUUCUGUGCAAAUGAAUUUUUCGCUAGCUUUACCCAAAAAAAUAUGCCCAAUUUUGCCUACAUUUAGUUUUCAUGAUGAACGCUUUGCUUUUUGUUGACUAUUGCUUUUUUAGUUUUGUCUUCUCGGCGUGGUGAUUAUGAUCCUAUUUGAUUUAUAAGUUCAAGUGUCACCAACUCAAUCAGUCUCUCAAUUUUUUUACAAUCAUGAUACUAUAAAAAAAAAUAAAAAUAAAAAGGUUAUGUCAAUUUGACCUUCAUUCACUUAAUUAAACACACAUUAUUAUUAAAAUGAUAAAUUAGUUGUUUCAUUCAGUGUCUGAAUUCUACAAGACAAAAACUGGAAUAUAAUUAGGUAAUAGUGUCCAUGUAGAGAAGAGGGUCGCCUAUCUAUUUUCCCUGACAUGUUCUUACAUCAAGUACACUUUAUAGGUCGUUCUUUUGCUUUGCUAAACGUGGAUUUCAAUAUAGGUCAAAGCUUACUAUGUUUGCCGAAAAAAAGAAACCAAACGCAUACUAGUAUUCAAUACAUCAAUAGAUAGUCUCAGUCACUACCCAAACUUUAAAAAGGAAAUACCUAUGCCAUUUUGAUCGUCAUGGAAUUGACUUAAAAUAAUUCCUUACAUUCCUUGAAUAUAAUUUCUUAUUGAUGCGUACAUUUGUUAUUAUGUUAAUAUCGUUACGUAAUUCUUGUCUGAAACAUGACACAUAAACGGAAAGUCGGUCUUCUAAACAAAGCAAGAUAGAGUACAUAAAAUAUUUGUGUUUGAGUGCCGUUGAAUUCAUUUCAACCGAUAUAAACAUGAAAAAACUCAUCAAAGAUUCUUCAAAACACAGUCAAAGAUACAAAAGACUUCUAUUGAUGAAGCAAACAUGCUAUAAUAAAUUACAAUUGGAAGUAAUUAAAAGGACUUAGUUUGAAAGUUCGAAAAUAAGAUACUAGUAACAGUUUGUCAAUAACUUUCAUGAAUGUAAAAAGACAGGACCAUUAGUUAAAUAUCCAUUCAAAACAUUGGUACGGUAGAAAUUUCGAAAAUAGUAGUUUAAUUCGAGUAUAAUAUUCAGCAUAGCUGGACCAUUGAAUAUAAAUCUGGUAACAUAUUAUUAAGCCACAAAUACAAAAGUUGUCUACGCCUUAUUGACGGAUAUGACGACAAUGUCCACAAUUAACCUCAUCACAUUAUGUAUGUGUCAAUCCAAAUUCAUCAGUUAGUUGUUUAUUACUGUAUGCCAAUUUUGCGUUUGUUUUGUACUUUGAUUUUUUUAUUAUGUGAAACACUUCAAUUUGUAAUUAGUAUCAUCAUUCCUUGAUAGAGAAUUAGUCAUCACAAGUAAGCUAUUAAACAAUGAGUUCCAAGUGGUGAAGUUGAAGUCAACCCUCUUGGUCUUUUUUUUUGUUUCAGCCAUGCUAGUUUAUGUUACACUUAUGAAUUUAAAUGGAUGUUCCAAUUCAAGAGUAUGCCAGUUGUUAUUCAUUCGUUUGAUAUGUUUCGGCUUUCGAUUUUGCCAUUGAUAUGCCAUUUUCCGUUCUGAAUUUUCCUGGCACUUCGUUUUAUUCUAUUUUAUUUUAUUUUUUGGUACCUUUCGCCUCUCAUUUUAUUUGUCGGGGCUCUUCAUAGGUUUCUAUGCGAUGUGAUUUUUGCUUAAUAUAUUUACAGUCACACGGCGACCUUAAGUUACUGACAUCUCUGACGGAGAGUGGUAUAAUGGCAAUCUUACAUCAUCUUCUUAGUCUAAAAAGGUGAAGUUGCAUUGUUCAAUUUCUGAUACUGUGAUCAGCCGUCAUACGAUAAUUGGUUCCUUUUUUCCUGGUUUAUUUGGAACAUUUGUAUUUCAGAACCAGAUCAGGAUUCUAAAUAAUUACUUACGGUAGUAUGAUCGAAAACAAAUAAAAGUACAUGUUGUAUAUAUAUAAUUGACCGAUAAAUUCAAAUGUUUUAAAUACGAGUAAAUAAUUUGCACUGUUAAGGCAGGGAAAUAGCCAACGAUCGUAAUUAACAAUGGAUAUAGCUUCAACAAAAAUUCGAUUUACAAUUGAUAACCUUUAAAACAUACAUUCAGAUACACUAAAUUAAAUACAGAAAGGUAUAUCUUUUCAAUUCUAAAAGACAGUUGGACUACGAAAGAUAAGCUUAUCAUUUGAUCAUUAUGAAUAAAACGCAAUAUUGGAUUAACGGUAUUGUCUUUAUAUUUAGAUAUUGUUAUAUGGUUUCAGGAAAAUUGAGCACAUCAACUAUAGAAAACACUUACUUUUAAAAGGACACUUUAGACUAUUUACUGGGUUUGUAAUAACAUGCGCAACACGACGGGUGCCACAUGUGGCAGGAUCUGCUUACCUUUCCGGAUAAUCCCCAGUUUUUGUUGGGGUUCGUGUUGCUAAGUCUUUAGUUUUCUAUGUUUUUUCGUGUGUACUAUUAUUUGUCUGUUUGUCUUUUUCAUUUUUAGCCAUGGCGUUGUCAGUUUAUUUUCGAUUUAUGAGUUUGACUGUUCCUCUGUUGUCCUUCGCCUUUCUUUCAGAGAUGCUGUUUUUAUUUCUGAUUUUAAAUUUUAGUUUUUGGCUUAGAGGAAAAAUUUCCUUACGAAAAUUAUACAUAUAUGAAUAUAUAGGUUGGCUUUAAAUGGUACGGUGCGAAAAAGACCGUUCGAAUGGACUUUUCUUUCUUUUUGUUGAUCCUCAAUCACGACAUGCGAUGCAUUGAUAAAAAUAAUAUCAAUGUUUCCACAUAGAAAUAAAUCCAGCGAAAAUACAAUUGAUUUUUCCAAAUAAAAAUAAUUGUAUUGCUUGAAAUUUACAAACAAAUUGACGCUGGAUGAAAAUAUCACUUCGUUUAUUAUAGAUAAAAUUAAAAUUGAAAAUCUAUUAUUGCAGAACACCAAACUGGAAUCGUUUUCUAAAGAUUUAAUCAUAUUUUGGAAAUACCCCUGGAGUACCAUCUGUGGAAAUUCAACGCUCACAAUAAAUAAUCUUUGCAUUUAGCUAUCUCAUAAUUACAAUUUUCAUGUUGUUUUUUUUUAAUUUCCAUCAAAUAAUGCCAUAUUAUUGAACUUUUUUCCGAGGUGCUAAGACUGUAAACUCAUAUAUUCAACUAUUUUAACAAUAAAAAUUGAAAAUGUAGUUGACUUUAUAAUAUAGAAGUCAAUAUUAACUAAUAAGAAAACGUAGAAACUACAGGUGCAUGCUUGCCACACACAAAUUAUCCCAGAGUUAUGAGCUAACCGGAAUCAGUAAGUUAAGAAGAAUAUGAAACAAGUGCUUGUAUUUAUAUUGCUAUCAAAAUUAUUGAACCUUAUGCAUUCAUAUACACUAAAAUAAGUCCAAUUUGAACAACUUGUAUAUCUAUUAAGAAUCUAUCACGUAUUUUCGACAUAUAUUUCAUACAGAGAUUUUUGGUCGUAGGCUAAAAUACUUUCGAUUGUGUUACCGAAGUUUAACGGAUAGUCACAUUAGUAAAUACUCAAUACUGAGCCCAGGAGUCACGUGAAAAAUAAGCGAAUAAGAGCUAAGAUAUUCUUUUUUUUUUAAAUUUCUAUGCUUUCCUAUUUGUAAGUUAAACUUUUCCCAAACAGUUUUGUUUAAUAUUCAAUUAAGAUUUUUUUCCAAAUAUAGCUAAGGUAGUGUAUUCCUGGGGCAAUUUCAAAGGUUGGUUAACAGUUAUUUUAUGAAUAUGAUCAUAUAAAUGAUAAUUCAUGCCAAUACAGAAGUGCUUGAAAAUAUAACAGUAAUAUUAAAUAUAGUCUAUAAAGUCUGCAUGGGAUGCCAGGCUGACUAGUACAGUCUAUGAAUAUCAACAUACAAAAUAAUGCUAUAUAAUUUAACAUUUGCUUUGGCAGGGCACCUAUUGACUAUAAAUUACUAGGUUGUAAAAUUUUAUUUAUUCAUAGUGGUAUAUCAAAGUGCCGCAAUUUGUGAUGUGUACAUUAUAUUUUUUAUUAAUAUCUUUUAAUAUAUUAUCAAAGACAUUUUAAACCCUUAUUUAAUUCACUAUUAACUAACUAAUUUUAUUUUCAAAAUAUUUUUCAUAUCGAAAAUAUAAAAAUUUCCCAUUUCGGUUAAGUAUUUAAAAUUUUAAUACUCAUUCGACAAGUGGAGUGCUCCGACAGAACGGAGGUAUAUACCAGAACAGAACAGAACAGCUAGAUACUGAGAGUGUAAUACCCUCAGGGAGGAAAAAUACACCAGCAAUGUCAUCGUCCUAUUGGUUGUAUAUAAACUUAUCAUUCAUACCAGGAUAAAAUGUUAGUACGCCAGACGCGCGUUAUAUCUACAAAAUACUCACAAGUAACACUGAAAUCAACAACACAUUUCCCAGAAUAAUUUAAAUCAAUGUUAAUAAAAAACGUUAUAUUUGAAAUGAAUAAUGGCGCGGUUCGAUUAAAGUGAAUAAAGGAGAAUAUAAAUUUUGCACGAAAAAAACAGCAAGAGUUCCAGUAAAACACUAUGAAAAUAUCAUAUAAUGGUUAUAUAUUAUAUUAACUUAGUAACACGCUAUGUCAGCAAGAAAUUGUUUCUGGAAACGAGUUUUCCUGUUACAGCGUACAGGUUUCCUAGUGGCAAGGUUACUUUAAAGUUCAUCAAAAGGACACAUAUGACCGUGUUUACAUGGCAAGAUUUAAUCGAGUACAAAUAAAUCUUUGCACCAGGAAUUUUUUUUAUAUCUAGUUAUAUAUAUUCAGGCAUUUAUGAUUGUUCUUGACUCUCUAUUGACAAUUUUACGCUAAAUAAAUUAACUAAAUUAAUUAUACGAGAGUAAGAAUUCUAAAAAGAAAAUCAACUAAAACUUGAAGAAUUUGUGACAACAAAAAAGAAUUUCAAGAGCCAUAAUAAACAUUUAUUUUCAUAAGAUGAAAUGCAUUGUUAUCUUCUUUUCUUCCCUCCCAGUCUUGAAACUUUUUCUUUUGUUACGUUAAUACUGGCGUAUGUCUCCUUUGGAUGAACAGUAAUGCGACUUUGCCUCUAGAAAAGACUGUAGGCGCUAACAGGAAAACGCGUUGCUUAUCUAAUAUGUUGCUGCCCAUAGAGUGAACUAUCAUUGUUUAUCAAGGUUUAAAGAGACAGCGAAUCGUCACAACAUUUCGGUGUUAUUGAAUAUACACAAUUUAUGAUCUUCGAAGGUUUCAACAUACACAUAAACGGUUUAUGAAAUUGGUUGUGAAUAAAUCUUAGAAAGGUAGGAACUAUCAAUGAAACACCUUCUCAAUCUGAACAAUAUCCCUCUCUCAAACUAGCAAAUAUAAAUUGAUAUACUAUUUGAUACAGACCAAGCAUACUAUUGCGAAUCGUAUAAUAAAUGGAAGACAACUUUAAAUUCACUACAUAUGUAUAAUCAAUCUAUGAAAUCAAGAAGGAGCAUACUAAGCUCACCUGUUGCCCUUAGUAUAUGAUCGUUUAUGAAAAUGAAGGAAACAGUUUUAAGGAUAAUAUGUAUUUUCUCUAUAUAAAUCGUAUUUACUUGUGUUACUGUCUGCAUGCUCUGAAUUGGUUAUAACUUUUUAAGUUUGUUUGACAUUAUUAGUAAUUAUGUUCACUACAUAUGUAUUCCUCAAUCUAUGAAAUCAAGAUGGAGCAUACUAAGCUCACCCGUUGCCCUUAGUAUAUGAUCGUUUAUAAAAAUGAAGGAAACAGUUUACGGCUGGAAUAUGAUUGUAAUGCAAACCUCGUGUCUUUGCUGCGAUUAAAUAUUUAAUGUAACAUUUAAUAACUUAAACGACAGAUAUGCGUGGCACAAUAAUUUCAAUUGCAAGGACAUUAUUGAAUUUAUUCUCUACAAAAUUAAAAUUCGCUAUAACAAUAUAUUCAUUUGGAUAAUUGUUAAAACUUCUUAGCUGCACCAGCUGUGAAUUCAUUGAUUAAAAUGUAUUAUGAAUGAGCUGCACUUUUCUUUGCACAAAUUGCAUUAAUUUACCCAAGGCAAAUCAUUUUAAAUACAUCUAGUACAGCUAAUUCCCGCUAAAUUGAAACCUAAUUGCAAAGAUUUUCAAAAAGUUAUGCAGAUUUCCUUUACAUUUGAUCCAGCGUUAUCACAUUUUGGACGAACACUUUGAUAUUGACCCAAAUGGAAUUUAUUGCAGGUUUUGGAACUUUUUAAAAAAUCGAAACUAAAUUUACAGUUAAAGUUACAUGUAAACAAAUGUGGGAUAAUGAAUAGAACGAACAUUUGUUAUCUUUAUCAAGAAGAGGACCAAAAGGUAAAAUCACAAAAAUACUGAACUUAGAGGAAAAUCAAUUCGGAAAGUCCAUAAUCACAUGGCAAAAUCAAAUAACAAAACGUAUCAAAAACGAAUGGACAAAAAGGUCUUGUUUUAUGAUGGGUAACGUUUCUAUAAGCACUCGGUUUACAUAGAAUAACCAUACAUUGUCUCAAAAUUGUCUCAACAUGUAAAUUUUAUUUGUACAAAGCUAAGAAAUAUUUAGAGUUAACGCCUUCAUUUUUCAAUAAGGAGUGGACGAAGUAAAAUUUCCGCGAACCUGUAUUGUUUAUCGACGUCAUUAAUAAAACUCUACGGAAAUGCAUUGCCAACGUCAUAAACAAGACGAUAUAUGGUCAGUGACAAUAUAUCACAAAUGAAUAUACGGUCAAUUCAAUUUGACUGCACAAAUACCAAGGAUGCAGUCUAUACUAUGUAUUACCAAUGUUACACAAAUGGACAGGACUGAAUCGUUCAUAAUGUCAAUAUUUCUCAAUGGGGACAGCUUUCAGUUCCAUUUUACGGUAAUCAUAUUUUCAAAAUCAAUCAGUAAUCAUUCGUCUUCAGCUAGAUAUAAUAGGUACUAUUAAAUCUGUGUUUAUCUAUUUCACAAUAGUACUUAUUACCAGUACAAUACCUGCAAAAACAACAAAACUGAAAGCAGAAAUUAUCUUUUUAUUUUGUGGAAAGCUCGUAAUUACAUAAAAAAGAAGACAUUCAGGUAGAAUGAAAUUGUAACACGAUAUAUCAUUACUCACCAUAGGACACCAUAUGAUAGCAAAAGCUUAAGACGUGAAAAGAAUAUGACUUCAAUCAAAAUUGUUUAUGAAAUUUUAUUUUUACCCUAAAGCCAUCUGUCAAACACAGUUUUAUUAUUACCCUUCAACUCGGCACAAAUCUCAAAAGACUAUAAAAAGUGUGCCCCGAGUUAUAACCAAAGAAAACGAAAUAUUCCGAGAUAAGGAUUGACUUAGGUCAUUCACCUGAUACUCUUUGAAACGUAAUUGGGAAUAUUGUAGUAUUAACUUUUUUGUACGUAGCUAGAAACGUGCAGAUAAUAUACUGUAAGCAAAGUAAAACGCUAAGAAACAGAGUUUGUCUAAACAGAUAUAUUGUUUUGAUGCCUUCCUCUUUUACCUCCGAAAUCAACAUCAUCAUGUUUCCUUCCAAAUUCAUUGUAACGUAAACAAAGCACUAUGUAGUAUCAUUAUCUGCAAUCAGUCAUCUAUUGUACAAACAACAGGUACACAAGUAACCAUUAAUGUACUUGUGACUUUGCUUCCAUAUUGAUAAGGCGGUAAUGUCAAUAUUUCUUUUUGUGUUACGGUUCAUGUUGGGGUCCUCUUCGAGCCCACCAUCUAAACUUUGAUAUUUUUUUUUUAAAUCACAGUCAACUACUUGAUUUUAAACUUCUAACCCCUAAAGUGUCAGCUAGAAGAUAAAUCAAAUUAUGUACAUUGUCAGAAAUAUCAAAUUUAUUUGUUUGUGCUAUGAAAUUAUUUGUUUAAAAGCUUGUAUGCAUACUUUUUUUUCUUAAAAUGUACUUGCCAAGUCCGGAAUAUGACAGUUGUUAUCAAAUAGUCAAUUUCUAUGUAUGUUUGCGGGUUUGUUUUUGUUGCACGUCCUUUGUUGUGUUUCUGUUAUUCCGUUGUUUUCCUGUUAUGGUUGAUGUAUUUCCCUCGGAUAUAGUUUGUCUUCUGGAUUUGUUUUCUUUAAAACGAUUGAUGACUUUUGAACAGCAACCCACUACUAUUGCCUUUAUUGUAUGAUUGUAACAUUUAUUUGACAUCAAAUUCCUACUACCGAACUAUAACAUUACCAGUAUGAGAUAUUCAUUAAUGCCACCAUUUUGUUUCUUCCAUUAGUCCUUGUUUGAUCCACAAAAUGUAUUUUUGUUUCAAAUAAAGAAAAACUUCGCAUGAAAAAAGUUGUAAACUGUCAAGUACUGUAAUUUUCACACAACAUUUCAUUGUGUAUAAGAAAAUACAGUUAUCGCAUAUAAAAUAAGCAACUUUUCACCCUCUACGCCUAUUAUCAAGCUGUAGUAAGCUAAUUACCUCAAUUUUCUUAAACAAUUGUUGGAACACAAAAUUAAAAAAUGCUUAAAAACACCCAAGAUAUAUCUUUAUGAUUUCAAAAACAUUUUCUGCAAGUGAAGCAUGGUUAAUUUCCUAACUGUCAAAUUCUAGGAACUACUUUUUUCGAUGCUUUUUUAUUUUUGAACUUUAAACUGGGUAUGACACACUAUGCUUUGGUGUUGUUACACCCAAAUAUAACGCAGUUUCAUAAAACGUCUUUUUUGCUUUCUUUGAUUCUACCUAUUGCUUGGGUAUCUUCUUAUAAUUGAAGACUGUAUGCCUACCUGAUGUUUUCGUUCAUAUAUUUCAUUGACGCAUAUUUAUUCCCAGACCUCCCUUUGUUCAUUUAAUAACCAUUAUCAUUUCAUAUACCAUUUUGCAAUUUUACAGGUUGACAUUACAAAGUGUUUACACAUAUUUACUACCAAACAGUAUGCAAUUUAUCUCUUCGAUAAAUAGAAGCAUCAAUGUCAAGACAACGAAUGCAACAUGCGAGUUUGCAAAUAGAACGCCACAUUGAUCAAUCGAUUAAAAAAACAUGCACAUUAGCGUUACAGUAACGUGACUUUCCACACCUCUUUUCACUAUAAAAAAUAAAGGAUGGUUAACUUAAAGUACAGUGUUAACGUUAACAUGCUUCGUUUGGUGUAAUUUUAUUUUUUUUUCUGUUACGAUCCAUUAAUUGUGAAAGUGUUUGUCGAAUAAUAACAUUAAAAAUAAAAUAUAAACAAUUUAACAUUAACAAAUUGACCCACCCACACUAUACUAUAUUAGACUAAUAAAAAAAGAUAAGAUACUUGUGGGAGAUUUUGUUGACUCAGAUAUAUUGCCGACUGUAUUUUCUUAACUAAAACAUAGUUGUCUUUGAAUUGAAUCGUUUUAAUGUUGCAUUAAAAUUAAAGUAUUAUUUGAAUGGAAGCAACUUGUAAUCAAAUCCUACAAAACGCAUUUAAUUGAAUGUAAAAGUGUGAAUAACACUUUUUUGUAUAUUUUUCAUGAUGAAACAUGUGGAAUUACAUAAGCAAAUAUUAGACACAAUUGUAAGAUUGAUCAAGUCAAAAUGAAAUAGAAUAAACAAUAUAUAUUACAAUUGUUAAGAAUAACACUAGAACUAGUUUUGAUUUGAAAUAAAACUUAACAUACUAAUUGGAAUUGUUUAUUUCUUUUGCGAUGGUGUUACCAAUCAAUUUUUUAAAUAAAAAAAGAGACGUGAGGGCGUCAAGGCAUAUGUAAAUUAAUCAACAGCCCAAUUGCAAAUGCAACUAAAAGUGGUCUGCAGGUCAACAUACAGCGUCCUGUUCUUGUAAACAAAAAUUCUGUUUUUCUUUUCAACUGAAACACUAAACCAGGCAAUACAACAUUAUAAUACAUAGCCGUAGUUAAAAGAUAUAUACAAUAACCAUUAUAUUUCUUGAAAAAGACAUUAAAAUUUUUCAGCUUAACAACACACGUAAUACUGGAAAUGCAGAUCGUUUACUUAUAAUUUUCUUCUUUCAAAAAUUGAAAUAUGGAUUCUACGACUGCACCAGGUAUGUUAAGAUAUUUCUUCACUCGAGACAGUUAAAUUUUAAUAUUUAAAACACGAGGCUUACCUAUUUUGUUUAAAUUCGACCAAUCAUUUGCCGAGAAACCAUUUGUGGUAGAAAAAAAUGUCUCACACCGAUAAAAACAUAUGAAAAUAGCACAAAAAAUAAGAAAAAAAAAUCAUAUUACGAAGAAUCUUUUGUUUGGACAACUUUCUAAGUCAUCAUGAAAAUAGAACUAUUUUUUUUUUUCAGUUGGGACUACCUAGAUAUAAGAGAUGGUGAGGACAAUGCUACCUUCUCAGUGGGCAGGUUUUGUGGUUAUGAUGAUAUAUACUUCAUAUCAGAGUCACCUGCUGUGUACAUUUAUUUCGUUACAGACCAACUUCAAAAUUAUCAGGGGUUUACACUUCAGUAUCGUGAGACAGGUAAGUAUUGAUAUACUAUGAUCAUCACAGUGAUAUCUCCUUGCUCAUACAUGAAAUAGUUUGCAUCUUUAAUUAUGGAAAUAUAAGAAACAAUUUCUGUAUUUAAACGUAUUCAAAUUAUUCAAAUGUAUGCGUCAUUAAAAUUAGAAGAUAUGAUUUCUAAUGAGAUAACUCUGCAAAAAUUCCAAAUGGCACAGAAAUUACCAACUGUAAGUCAUCAUAUGACCUUCACCAAUAAGGAAAGCCCAUACCGCAUUGUCAAAUAUUAAAAGCCUAAAAAUGAGAAAUGAAAAAUAAUUAAAAAAGUUUAACCACAUCAAUACUGAACUCCGAGGAAAAUUCAAAAUGGAAAGUACUUAAUGAAAUGGCAAAAUCAUACGCUCAAUUAAACGAACGAAAAAAAAUGUCAAAAUCCUGAAAUGGUGGAUUGAACCUGAUUUUAUAGCUAUCCACAUCUCUCACUUGUAUGAUAGUCACAUCAAAUUUCAUUAUAUUGACAACGACGCGGGAACAAAACACUAGUAACCCGAAUUUUGCUUGAACGGUUAAAAGGGUAUUAACGGCAUUUAGAAAAGAUUGAUUAUCAUUAGAUAACGAUUGACAAAAAUUAAAAAUUGUUUUUAAUGCAUUUCAAUCCAUAUUGAAUUAUUUUAAUACCAACAAACAGACAUAAUAGGUAAAAAUGUCAAAAAUACAGCAGUCAUCAUGGUGUUAUCAUCUUAAUCACUGAAACAUAAAAAUAUGUCACAAAGAAGCACAAAAGAGAAAUCUAACAGCCUCAUAUAUGUACUAAAUACUGCACGAAAAUGACGACUUAUUAUAAAAAAUGGAAAAUAACACGUUUAAUAAUUUAUUGCGUCCGAAGCGCUUUUCUGGAUUUAUCUUCAUCAGGAACGCUCAAAACCAAACAUUUGAAAUCCGAAGAUGGAUAAGUACCGAAAAUCGUUUAAGAGCUAUAUGUCAAAAAUACCUAAAAUAAAUAAAUUCAUCUGAAGCCAACGUUGCCUGAGGGAGUUGAAACCUCAGUUUAAUAAUUAUUUCAAAAUUCAUAAACGGACAAUUUAGGUAAGGUUUGUUAGAUCAUGUGAGUACCGAAGCACUGAUUACUGAGCUGAUGAUACCCUCAGGGACUGAUAGUCCACCAGCAGAGGUAUCUACUCAGUGAUGUUAAAAAUAGAAAACAACACGUUUAAUAAUGUAUUGCGUCCGAUGCGCUUUUCUGGAUUUACCUUCAACAGGAAUAUAAAAAUACCAUGGUUAUGAUGUGAAUGAUAUUGUUAUUAACUUGAUUAUUUAUUUUAGAAAUAUGUUUAUGUUUUGAACCCAUAUUCAUAAUAGUACGAAAGAAUAUUUGUAAUUGUCUAAUACUAAAUUGAAUGAAUAAUUUUUAGACGCAGACUUUCUUUGUUGUCUAUGUUUGAUUUAGUCAAGAUGUUGUCGGUCUUUUUUCUACGUGAUUUAAAUUUCCUUCUUUGUAUCUUCUAUUUUGACCAGAACAUGUGUAAUGCUAACGUAUCAGUUUAAAGCAUGUAGUCUUUGCAUAUGAUUGCAUUUGCUCUAUAAGUAAUGCUACUUUGAAUAUUAAAACAACAUACAGAUAUUUAAAAUGUGUAGUCUGUCACAUAAUUAGCGUUAACUCUUCUCUUAACUUGUGUCUCAAAUGCCGACAAUAUUUUGACAUGGUUACCUUUUGAAAAAUAUAGUCUUUGUUAUUGUCAGGCAAACAGGAAACACCCCAUUAUAUUAAAAAAAAAAAGAAGAAUGUUCCAAAAUAGUCGACAAAAGGUUAUUUAGUACAAGAGAGCACGUUUACUUUCAUUAUAGCAAUUAUUUAUAAUGGUGAUAGCUCUUUCCGGGCUCGAUACUUAAUCCAGAGCUAUGACAUUGUCAUUUCACAAGUAUUUUUUCUCCAAUCUGGAAUUUAUUAAUGAUAAUCAAAUUGAUGCGUCUGCCAAAAAAUAUCCACGAAACCUAUUUUCAAAUUACUAAUAGUAAUCUGUCUGCAACCUGCAUCAUAAUUACGACGAGACUGACUAGCUCACUAGGGGCUGUUAUUUCAUAUAUAUUUAUACUUAAAACGUCCAAAUAUCAAUUAGUGUACCGACAAUAAAUAUAUCUCUUUUUGUGAUAUAGUAUCAAACAAAUUACGAUCUCAUCUUUUUUACACAAGUAUUCUUCGUUUCAGACUAAUAGAGAAAUUGAAAAAAUGCCAACGAUAUUUCAUAAAAGAGGGAUGAAACAUGCCAGAGGGACAGUUUUAUUUAUUUUUUAUUUUUUUUUACAAUUUCUAACUUGACGUCACUUGGCGUUGAGGUUUAAACUUAUUCGGAUGUGUUGCAUUUUGUCGUGUUAUGUAAUGCAUUUCGGUUGUUUCCUGUAAUUAGCUAAUACUUCAGUUUUAUCAUGUACAACUUUUGUAUAGUCAUUUUAUAUAAUUUACUGUUUGCAAAAGUAUAAAUGAUUCUAAAUAAUAGGGAUGUUCUGGUACCUAACAGAAAACCCUGGCCGUUUUUGGCACAACUUUUAUGAACUUUUGAUCCUCGAUGCUGUUCAACUUUGUACUUGUUUCGGCUUACAAACUUUUGUAUUUGGGCGUCAGUAGUAGUAGUCCUGUAAUGUUGCGUUGUCAUUUUAAUGUUAUAUUUCACAUGGCCAUAAAGAAGGAGGUUUGGCAUGCCACAAAACCAGGUUCAACCCACCAUUUUUUUCCUUUAAAAAUGUCCUGUACCAAGUCAGGAAUAUGGCCAUUGUUAUAUUAUAGUUCGUUUCUGUGUGUGUUACAUUUUAACGUUGUGUUUCCGUUGUGUCGUUUGUUUUCUUUUAUUUUUUAGUGUGAAUUCACAUUACUAUAAGACAUGCCACGGUACUUAUCUAUCCCAAAUUAAUCGAAACAAGUAUAACAAACCAUUAAUAAUCUAGAUAAUUUUAUAUAUCUGACAGACUUGUUAUAUUGGAAAAGGCAAUAGACAAUGAUGAAUCCAAACAUAAAUACCACAUUUUUAAAAACAAAUACAAGGAUGUGAAGUAGUAUUGAAAAAUGAGCUUAUUAUUCAGCAUAGAACAACAAACAUUGAUGUAAAUAUAUACAGGUCGUCGAACGACCUUCAAUGAUUAACCAUUCAAUAUGGUAACCUAUAAAAGGUCACUGAAUAUCAAUAAGUGAAAUAAUUCACCAGGCUCCACAAACGGCCUGACUUAAACCAAUAAGCGAAAACAAUUAAGACAGAUGAUACCCUUUUGUUUUGUAAAAAUUGAUAAGGUAUACGCGAUAAGAAAAAGAUUGACAUUUGUUGAUGGAAGAAAGCAUAUUUUCUAAGGCUAUCUAUUAACGUAUUUACAACGGUCAAUGCUAAACGAAACUAUAUAAAACCCAGAGAAAAGUAAAGAAACAAAAGAUAAGAAUUAUUGUAUCCUUAAUACAUUUUUGAAAAUAAAGAUAAAACAUACAAACAAACACUAAAACAUUAACAGAGAACAUCUAUCAAUCGGUAAUGAAACGUCAAAACUACAUUUGUACAGACUGUUAUGCAUUAAAACUAUGGAGAAAUAAUAACUUGUUAUCAAAGUAUUAUUUUUAUGAUGUGAAUAUUAUUGUUAUUAAUUGUAAUGUAUUUUUCCUUUAUCGUUUAAGGAGAGGAAGAUUCUUCACAGUGUAAUACUAUGAUCAGUAGUGAGAGUUAUAUUACAUCUCCAGGAUAUCCUGAUAAUUAUCCUAGAUCAACAACAUGUUUGUAUAGAAUAGUUGUAAGUAAACAUUUCAAUUGCAACUGCCUUUCCACGUGUUUGAUGUUGAACAACAUGUUUAUAUUGAAUGUUUGAGAGUUUACAUUUCAAUUGCAACUGCCUUUCCACGUGUCAGAUGUUUAAUAACAUGUUUGGUAAAUGAUUGAAAACCGGAUGCAGAACUUCAUUAAACGUUUAACGUAUCAAUAUGAACUUUAAAAGUCUACUUGCAUCAAACAAAUAAGAAAUCUUAUGAAUUAACUGCUACUGGCUCUAUAAAAAAAACCUGAACGCGUUUUUUUCCAUAGACUUGACAAAAAAUCCACAUGGAUGUUUCUAAAUUUCUUUUUUGCAUUUAUAAUCUUGAUUUUAUAAAAAAAAAAAAAAACACACAUGUUUCUCCCUAUUGUGAAAUUGAAUUAAAUUUCACAAUGUGUCGUUCUGGUACGAAAUGUUUAAGCUACCAUAUCAUUUGUAAAAAAAGAUCAAAUCAAAAUGACGAUUAUCAUAUUUACAUGUUGGUCAUAUCUAAAUAUCAAGGAGUAUAUCUCCAAAUGAAGCUAAUAUGGCCGUGUACGUAUUUCCAUACAAGUUUCCAGAAGUUUUUACCCAAAUACGCAUAUAUGCAAUAAAGAAUUAGAAAAUAUGAAAACUUAUGUUUUGUGAUCUAAUGAACUAUUUGGUAGACAUUUGUAAUUUUUUUUGUUUUAGAACUAUAAGAAGAGAAAUAUAUCUAGCAACAACAAAAAAUGAAAUCAAACGAAAACAGGUUGUACGUUUCAAAUUGUGUUCUUUGAAAAAAUUUUAAAAAAAUAAAAAUAUAUAUAUUUAGACACAGUUAUCUUAUCCAAUCAUAUCUUGAACAAACGUUUAGACAAAUUUUCCCAUAAAAUAUUGAAUCUAAUAGUUUUUACAAGAUAUUAAUUAAAUUAUACGAUAUUUGAUAAACACAAAACUACGAUAAAAACAGAAACAAGUUUAAUUUGAAAUGUUUAUUGUGUUAAAUAGCAGUACCACGCUUCAUGCAAAUAUUUAUCACCAAAUUUACAUUGCAGAAGGUUACAUGUACUAAUAUUAAACAAUAACAAGUAACGUAUUUAUUCCAUCAAGAAUGCUCGUGUAGAAAAAUCGAAAACUAUAAAGUCAAAGUAAUUUGUCAGAAAAGAUAGUUAAUUCGUUAAAAUGUUUUGUACUGUUAUAUGAAAAUCUCGAAGGAGAAAGUUAAUAGUGAUUUGAAGUCAGGAUUCAUAUUUAGAAAUCUUUAACAAUUAUGCAACAUAUUAGAUUUACAAAAAUUUUUGAAAAGACUUGAACAUUUCUUGAGCAGAUCAAAAAAAUAUAUAGUUUGUAGUUCUUUGAUAUCAGGAAGAUGAUUAGUUGCUUCCGUAUCAUAAACAAGUGGAAGUUAUAGCAAAGGGCAAGGUCAUUUAAUUGUAGAUAUUUCUCGACUACCGGUAUAUGAAACGUUCCUUCUUGUGUAAUAUGAAUGUUAAUUUAUACUUAUUCCCAAAAUAAAUGGUUUGAAAGUUUUCAUAUAAAAUGUUAGAUCAUUGGUAACUCACGUUUUCCAGAAGGUCAUUAAGGGUAUCAUGAGACUAUAAAAAAAGACCCGAUGACACUAUCAUGAUUAAAAUUGAAGUAGUUAUCAUGAAUGCUCUAUUUCAGGGGCAAUAACUCCUAUAAUUUGCCUUUUGAUCGUAUCGAACCAAUGUACAAUAACUACUUAACAACCAAACAUUCUGCGCCAGUGCUUGUAAGUCUAUCUUUUACCAAUUGCAAGGAGAUUCGAACAUAAGCAAAGGUUAUAAAUGAGUUUGUACUAGAUCUUCAACACUAUUUCGAAGUUAUUGUCAAAAGAAUUCAAGACAAACAACCCUAGAUUACGGUUAACGAGUUAUAAGAACAUAUUACAUGGAAAAUAUUCAAGAGUAGGUUAGAAUGGUAAAAUGUUACCGGAUCGAUUUGGCAAAAAUAAAGGAACGAACAAUUCAAAACAUGAUUUUUUACGCCAAUCACAGUAUAAAAGAAGAUAACUCUAGCAUUUUGAUUUGGGACUUUCUGUUUUUAAUUUUUCUCGGAGUUCGGUGUUUUUGUUACUUAAUUGUUACUUAGAAAAGAGUUCAGUUAACAGACUGAGUUUCAAACGUGCAAUGGAUAUUCUAAAUCAUUACAAACAAAAAUGAAAGCAGAAUUUUAGAAAUUUCAUUCGACCGAAGCGCUUUUCUGGAUUCUUCUUCAUCAAAACACGCUUAAAGUAAAAUAUGUGAAUGCCAGGUAUGUAAAAAAAAGUAAGAGUUAAAGAGCUAUAUGUUUUUGAAGUCUUUCAAAACAAAUAUAUUACUCUCGAACGAAAUGUCAAAAAAGAAAUUAACCAAAGCAAUUUUUAAAGGUCUUUAUUAAGAAAUUAAGAAAAACAUGAAUAAAACAACUUCUUAAACUGAUCAGUUAAAAUUAAGUACAUAAUCAUACAUUGUAACACCGUUCUCAUUCUGGUUUUUUUUUCUACAAAUUUUUAAAGCAGAAUUUCAUUGAUGUAAGCGGGAGUUUUGAUUUCAAUAUGACUUUAAAACACAGAUAAUGUGAUCUUUUAAACUAAUCAACAUUUUUUUAAGUUUCCUUGUUACAUAAAAGCCUUGUGAAAUGAUUACCCCGCGUUAUUUACACCCACAUAUCAAUUAAAAGCGGACAAUUUCUACAAAUCCUGAAAGCAGGAAUCAGUAGCUAAACAUAUCAUGCGGUUACAAUUUUGUAAUCAAAUGUUCCCAGUUAAAGGGAAAAGCAAAUUAUUAUUUCACUUUUUUCACUUUCAUUAAUGAUUGAACAAAAAAAUCAUACUUUUGAUUUUUUAUAUAUCUCGUAGCUAGUGCCCCUUUAAGACACAUGAGUUACAUGAUUACUGAUAAUUGAUAAAAAGAAAUAUAUGUCAGUUCUUUAUCUUAUGUCAAUUCUGAAUUAAGAACAAUAACUAGAGAUGUAACGAAAAUAAGUCGAUGAAAGGCAAAAUCAACAGCUGUAAAAAAAAAAAAAAAAAAUCAUUCCAUAACAGUGACAUUUUUUGUGAAUUGAAGAUUCAAUUUGCACCCAAUGCCAGAUAUAGUCGAAUAUCAAAGGAGAAACAUUUAUUGUCAAAAUGCGCAUCUUGUGUUUUAAUGUUUUGUAACGGGGUUGUUUUUUUCAUCAACGCUCAUUUUGAAUAAGCGUAUUUUAUACCAUCAGGAUUGGUAUAGACGUAAAAUUAUUGUAACUACCGUUUUACAAAGGAACUAAUAUUUCAGAAAAUGAAAGAAGAUACAACAGGGGAAAUCUAAAAUUACUAGUUAAAGAAGAUAAAACAAUGAUCAAUAGAAAAAUGAGAGUUUAAAAAACAAUUGACAACAUUUUAAAUUAACAGUCUACUCUAGACAUAAACAAACAGCCCAAAAAAGUUUUUUUUUAGAAAAAAAAUAAUGAAUAAAUGGUAACGCAUGGAAAAAAUGAAAAGAAUAAAUGACAUAACUGUAUCAAUUCCUUCCGUUUUCACGCGAUCUACGAUUCUGCCUUGAUAUGGUAUCAACAUUACGAUCAAAACAUCGGCAACGUUCUCAAACGUUAACUGAAUUGCGAUCAACAAUCACUGAAUGAUAUAUUAUUUGUAUAUGAUAUAAUUUUCGAUGUAACGCGUCUUCUGAUUGGUGGACGGUGUAUUUGUAUCAGCUCAUAGACAUCAAUUUAUCAUGUGACCAUGGGUGCCUCCACGUUUUUCAUGAUUUAAUCCGAUUUAAAAAGGAAUUUAGAAUUAAAUCAUAAGGAAUGACUGUAUAUUUUAUGCUAGCUCGCCAUCAAAGAUGUUAGACUGAAAACGGAAAUAUAUACCGGUCACAACACGUUUCGCGAAUAUAGUUCAAUUGAGGCAAUAGUAAUUAAAUUUAUUAUAAAUCGAUAAAUAAAACUAAGGGCAUCGCAUGAAAUAAAAACGAAACAAGACCAGAUGCUGCUAAGAAUGCAUGACCCGCCAUGCUUAGUCAGAAUGUCAAUUCCGAUAAAACAAGUUAAAACUUCACAAAAUGGUUUUACAUACAAAGAGUCUUUACUAUUAUUCAAAAUCUAACUAUCAUGGACGAAUUUUAGAUAACUAUAAUGAGACUUGUAAAGAUUUUAUCAAAAGAUUGAAGGUUUUUGAUCUGAUUUUUAAAUGUGUCUGUGUAAAAGUGUUACAGAACUGACAACAUACCCUAAUCAAAUUCGUGUCUUCAUCACUAAGAUUUAUAUGCUCAUGCACUUGUAUUUCACAGACAAUGUUAGUGACCUAUUCGACAUUAAUUUAUUGCUAUUAUGCGAUCGAAAUCAUGUUUGUCCGAGAUUGUUUAUAUUAACUAAUCACACCAUUAUAGGAUUGGACCAUUUAUAGAAAAAGAAAAACUGCUGGUGAUAUCCUAGGGUUUUAGUUGGACUGGUAAAGAUUUAAUUAAAAGCCGAUUUAUAGAUUUCAAUCUGAUUUUUCAAUUUGUCUGUUGAUAACUGUUACAAAACUGAUAUCUAACCCUUAUUUAAUUCGUGUUAAAAUCAGUCAAAUUCAUAUGUACAUGCACGUGUAUUUCAAUUACAAUUAAUGUUAGUGACCUUUUUGACAUUAAUUAAUUGCUAUUAUGCGAUCGAAAUCAUUUUAAAAAAAAAAGGAAAAUCUACCGGUUACAUCCUAGUUUUAGCACAUAUCUAUAAGUAUAAUCACCCGUAUAAUUCGUUUUUUUUUCGCGAAACAAGCAAUUUCAAUGUCUGCAUGACUUUGAUCAGUACUGUAGUAAAAACUAAACUAACAAAACUUAUUCUAUUUUUAUUUUAAAAAAAAUGAAAAUCGAACUUAAUUUUCCAAACGUCCAAAUAUUAUAAUCUUAAAAAAACAUUUUUGCACCACCCUUUUUUCGAAGUUGAAUGACUACUCUGUCUCAUUUUUCGAAUUAAUUGAAUACAGAUGUUGAAAAUGUACAUGUACAUACAUCAAUUUCGGCAUGCGUUUUAAACGUAGCUAAUUAAACUUAUUGUGCACGUUUUUGAUACGAGUGACAAAAUUGAAUGCAUUAUUUGAUUCCAAUUUGGAAACCCCCUGGUAAUGUAAUUCAUAUUCAAACAAACCAACAUGAUAGUUUGGAUAACAUAAUUGUAUAAAAUGUAUUAAAUUUUAAAAUUUUCAUAUUGACAAAGAAUAAUUUUACGAUAAUGAAAUAAUUUCAUUGCUUUUUUUACAAAUUGUAAAUCCUCAAUUGAUGUUGUUACGCUAAACAAGUAAUCAUAAUGGAGAAAUAAUAUGUUUAACUAAAAAUUUUUUUAAUCAUAUACGGCAUAUGAACGAAUUGACGAUCAAAAGUUGUAUGUGUUAGCGAACAAAGUUUAUUAUUCUGAUUUUAAACCGACAAGUAUUUAGUUUGCUGACGAUGUUCGGUUUAUCUAUAUUUGUUUUAUCGAGUUGUAAUAUCACAACUGGGAUCCCCUUUACCAACAUUAGGUUUUUUUUCAUAAAAUAUAAAACGUUAUGAAACACAAUGCUUGAUGCUUGAUAUAAAGGUAAAUUGUGUAUGAAUAAAAUGUCCUUGCUCACAGACUAUUUUUAAAAGAUUUGAAGACGACCAUUGCAAUCUGUAUAGUGUUCCAAAGAUUAUUUAAUCAAUGUCAAUGUUUUCUUUUUGUAUUUUUUUUUCUACUGAUCUGGAUUUCCAAAAUGAAAUUGAUGCGGUUAAAAAAAACCACAUAAAACGGGCGAAUUCGUUUCUGACUUAAUCAUAAAAGUUUACCAAAUAUGAGCUUCAGCUAUUAUUUCAGUUACCAGCUAACACAAAAGUAAAUGUGUAAGAAAUUUGUUAUACAUUUAUAAUUUGAAAGCAAAACAUGAAUAUAAAUCAAAAUCUAUUUUGUAUAUCUGUGCAAUAAGGAAAGACGAAAAUUAAAAUUAUUAAAAUUUACAAAUAUUGUAAAAAGGAAUAUAGAAAUAAAAACUUUAAAAACAAAAAACUACAGCAAAACGAUGUAUCUAUAAAUCUGUAAGAACUACUGUAAAUGGAACGAUAGACAAGUAAAAAUGCCAACAGUCAAAUACGAGCGAAAACGUUAGUAUUACAGUCCAUUUUGUCGCAGAAAAGUAUUAACAUACGCUCAUGUCGUCAGUGACGAACAAGAAAUACAUGAAAAGUAAAGUAACAUCACAAAAAAACUGAACUCUGAAAAAUUUUUCUAAACAGAAUAUUCCUUGUGAAAUGUCAAAAUCAAAAGCUCGAACACAUCAAACGAACGAAUAAUAAAUGUCAUGUUCCUUGGUACAGAUAUUUCAUAUGUACAAAAUGGUGUAUUCGGUAUCUUUGAAAUGAACGUAUGAAGGCCGUACGUUGACCUAAAGGUGUAAAUUUCUGCGUUAUUUGGUAUCUUGUGGAAAUUUGUCUUAUUGGCAAUCAUACCACAUCUUCUUUUUUAUCAAAUUCUAAAUAAUUUCAAAAUGUAAUUUGUCAAUAUAUGUAACGUUGUUCAUUUCUCGGAUUGUUAUCAAGGUUAUUAUCUGUCACAGUUGUUGGAUACACCAAAUAGAUGCCAGCUUUAUUUAGUUCACGACAUGGAACAUAGUCUAAUAUGCACUGGAAGGCAUCUAGAAUCUUCUUUUAAUUUAAUUAAUUUGAAUAAUAUAGCAUACAAAAAACGCUAGAUUAGGAUGCCGUUUGAUCUUCAAAGCAAUUAUGUACUUAGCUUCAGCAUAUUUGAAUUUUAAAGCAAAUUUAAGACUAAAUAUUCUCCUGGACAAAUUAGAUUUUAUAAAUCCUAUCGAUUACAUAAAGAGCAAGAGAGGAAGCUUAUUACAAUUUGAGUGGGUUACCACUGACAUGAUUAUUUUCAUCAAACACUAAUUAUUUUUUUAUUCACCUAAUUGCAUAGUUAAUUAAAAGUAUAAUUACAACUGCAGAGUAGAAAAAACAGCAAGUACCAAAAAUUAGCAUACAAAUCAUUACAAAAUCAACACAUUAAAAAUUGCAAAUAGGCAAUACACUUUAUACAAAUGUGCAUUCAAAUACAAAAAAAAAACUUAUUUGAAUUUUCUUUGAUAUAAAAAUGGACAAACAAAGAGAUGAAUGUAUUAUAUGGACCCAGAUAUGUAUUGUUUAUUUUCCUUAGAUCAAUUGCGGACUUUAGUUUCCUUUCAAUCUUUUAUUUCACUUUUCCAAAAGCCGCUGAUAAGACGUCUGUUGUGAAUUCAAAUGAAACGUUUAGUCCAUGUUUAUUUUGUUUUACAUUUGAAGUCAGAUUACUUUUAUGAUUUCUUAUAUACAUCAAUAUAUGUCUUUGAUAGUAUUCUCUACAAAAUGAUAACUUAUUAAUUCAAUUCAUGAUUUUAUCAUAAAAAUUAAAAGAUUUGUUAAAAUAACCAAUGAGAAAACUCUCCACAAGAGACCAAAUGACGCUUUAGGUCAACGUACGGCCUUAAACAAUGAACAGCCCAUACCACAUAGAAAGAUAUCAAAGGCCAAGAAAUGACAAAUGUAAAACAAUACGAACGAGAAAAAACUAAGGGCCUAAUAUAUAAACAUAGUAUAGAAGAAACGAAGUAUCGUACUGUAGGUGUCAUUUGUAAAAGCUAUCUCGUUGAACAAAAGUACUAUCCAAUUCCAACGUUAAUCUUACGCAAUUUUCAGGGAGUUUUAAAAAACUAAACAAUCAUCAUUUCGCUUAUACAGUUUGAUAGUUCGUAAUUAAUUUCAUUAUUUAUUUUCUUUUAUUAGACUCCUGCGCAACAACGUGUCCAGCUGAACAUUUUAAAGAUGUCAAUUUCGGAUGAUAGUUGCAUGUUUGAUCGACUUGAAAUAUUUGACGGAACAACCAGUCGUAUGUAUUUAACAAUAAUGAAACAAAGAAACUACAGAAAUAGGCAAACAUGUAAAUGAAGAAAUUGAAAAUGAAACAAAAAGAUCAAAACCAUUAAGAUAAGACAGGGGAUGUUUUCCAUUUUUUAGAAACAAAAAUUUGAAAUAUGAAAAUUAAAAAGAUGUGGUAGGAUUGACAAUGAAACAAUUUCUAUCAGAGACCUAAUAAUGUACACGCUUAUUACUUGUGGUCAUCGAUGAAAUCAGAGUCAGCAUAAAAAUAAACUAAUGUGGUAUGAUUACCAAUGAGACAACCCUUCAGAAGAGACUAAAUGACAAAGAAAUCAACAACUAUAGGUCAGAUUACAGCCUUCAACAACGAGUAAAAUCAAUAUCGCAUAUUCAGUGAUUAAAGACCAUAGAAUGACAAAUGCAAAACAAUUCAAACGAGAAACUAAUGGCCUGAUUAAUGAACAAAAUAAUAAUAAAAAUAACAAUUUGCCGCAAAAAAACGAAAUCCACUGCAUCACAGACUGCACAGUAGGAAAGGCAAAUACUUACAAUAAAAACAUGGAAAAGUAUUUAAUCGUGACAAGUAAUACAUGUUUUGGAAGUUAUGAAAAGCGACCAGCAAACAACAAGUUAUUAAAAGAAAUCAAAACAGUUGGGUUAUAAUGACAGAUAAUGAUAGGUUUCCUGACUAGGGACAAGAACUUUUUUAUGGUGGCCUUUAACACUAUUUUAUAUUUCCUGACUAAGGACAAGCACUUUUUUAUGGUAACCUUUAACACUAUUUUAUAUUUCCUGACUAGGGACAAGAGCUUUUUAUGGUGGCCUUUAACACUAUUUUAUAUUUCCUGACUAGGGACAAGAACUUUUUGGUGGUGGCCUUUAACACUAUUUUAUAUUUCCUGACUAAGGACAAACACUUUUUUAUGUUGGCCUUUAACACUAUUUUAUAUUUCCUGACUAAGGGACAAGAAUGGCCUCACUUUUUUAUGGUGGCCUUUACACUAUUUUAUUUCCUGAUAGGGACAAAACUUUUUUGGUGGCCUUUAACACUAUUUUAUAUUUCCGACUAGGGACAAGAACUUUUUAUGGUAACCUUUAACACUAUUUUAUAUUUCCUGACUAAGGACAAGCACUUUUUUAUGGUGGCCUUUAACACUAUUUUAUAUUUCCUGACUAAGGACAAAGCACUUUUUAUGUUGCCUUUAACACUAUUUUAUAUUUCCUGAAUAGGACAAGCACUUUUUUAUGGUGGCCUUUAACACUAUUUUUAUUUUUCUGACAGGACAAGCACUUUUUUAUUGGUGCCUUUAACACUAUUUUAAAUUUCCUGACUAGGGACAAGAACUUUUUUAUGGUGGCCUUUAACACUAUUUUAUAUUUCCUGACUAGGGACAUGCACUUUUUUAUGGUGGCCUUUAACACUAUUUUAUAUUUCCUGACUAGGGACAAGCACUUUUUUAUGGUAACCUUUAACACUAUUUUAUAUUUCCUGACUAAGGACAAGCACUUUUUUAUGGUGGCCUUUAACACUAUUUUAUAUUUCCUGACUAAGGACAAACACUUUUUUAUGUUGGCCUUUAACACUAUUUUAUAUUUCCUGACUAAGAACAAGCACCUUUUUAUGGUGGCCUUUAACACUAUUUUAUAUUUCCUGACUAAGGACAAACACUUUUUAUGUUGCCUUUACACAUUUUAUAUUUCCUGACUAAGGACAAGCACUUUUUAUGGUGGCCUUUAACACUAUUUUAAUUUCCUGACUAGGGACAAGCACUUUUUUAUGGUGGCCUUUAACACUAUUUUAUUUCCUGACUAAGACAAGCCUUUUAUGGUGCCUUUAACACUAUUUUAUAUUUCCUGACUAAGGACAAGCACUUUUUUAUGAUGGCCUUUAACACUAUUUUAUUGCAAUCUGCACCUACUUUUUGUCGAUCAAUUUAAUAACAAAAGAUAUCGAAACAUUUUUUACAAUGUAAUUGAUGUAUAAAUUUAAGUGAAGUUUUACAUAUUGUGUGAUUAUCUAAUAUUUCUGAAAACUCUAAAAUGUUCAAUGCUUGUAGUUAUUGAUUUCAACUAAAUUUUUACAUGUAUAAUACUAGCAGCCGACUAAUUUAUUGUCCGAAUUAUUUAAUUUAGAGUCCAGAAGACUGAUGACAUUAUGUGGUACCACAUCGCUUGAUAUCAUGUCAACCGGUGAUAGUUUGUUGGUAAUAUUUAUUUCGGACUACAUGUUAGAAAGCAGAGGAUUUCUAGCUGAAAUUAAAUUCAUCACAGAAGUCAAAGAGAACGAUGAGCAGAUUGUGGAGAACAGAUCAACUCAACGUAAGUAAAUUCUUCAGCUGUAAGUAACACUAAAAAGUGAAAUAGAAGCAGUAUAUCAAAGUCGAAUUUCAAACUCAUUAUGCACGAUGUAUGUAAAUUAAUAUUUCCUUUCGACAUGAAACUUAUGCUUUUCUUGAAACUUUUAUCAAUAAUUUACAUUUCUAAAAGCUUUAUAUUUAAAGUAUUGUAUUAUCCAUUACGUUUUUAAUCGUCAAGUACUAUUUUAUAAUAUGGAACAUUAUUUUUUCAUGUAUAUAAAUAUAUACGUCGUCCAAGUAUUUGACCUAUAGCAGUUAAAAAUUGAAGUAUGAUGAAAUUAAAAGAAAAAUAUCUACUACUAAACACUAGUGUGUGGGCUGUUUAUAAUGAAUUAUUAUUGAAGGGGUAAAAAAAACUAUUCACCCUGACAAUACUUUCAGCAUUUUAUAUUUUGUUAGAACCGAAAUUUGUAAAUAUCUUUAUACGUUUCAUAAGUUAGAACGUCAAUGCUGGUCAUACUGGUUGCGAAAGUAGGUUAUUGAACAUAAUUUAUUGAAAACGAUGUUACAGCUUAGAAAAAAAGGACAAGACAAUUGGAAAAUGUAUAAUUAUCUUAGAUUCAGUUCAAAGACUUUUAUUUGUGUCAAUAAAAUCUAAAAUCUUAAGUAUGCAUUUUAUAAGUUUCAGUAGUAUUCUUAAUUCUAAAUUAUAAGAUAAAUGAGAUUCAAAAACUCUUUGAAACGACGGUUUUCGAGAUAUAUAAAAUCAUCAAUAUACAUGAAAGUGAAAUUAAAGAUCUUUGUCCAAUGCCUUUUCUUUUUGGUUUGAGAAGGUUUUGUGUGAAUUCUGCUUCAUCUGAUUGAAAAAAAAAUAGCAUUAACCAUGCCCAACAUUCGAAAUGAUUGUCCCAUCUUCCAUCUCAAGAUAUGUGGACUUGAAUUUAAUAAACAGUAAAUGAUUUAGUACUUUGUAAAAUCUAUAAUACUAAAAUUACGAGGUCCAAUUUGUCAGCCGUCAUCACGUAAAAACGACGAAUCAAAAAAUUCAACUUUAUAUAUAACUAAUAUAGUACAAAGGUGUAGAUUAAAAAUUACACCACUCCAGGCCCUUUUGCUUUCCACGUAAUUAAUAUUGCCAAUAAUUAAGAAGUUCCGGGUCGAGUCCGAUACCGAUACCAAUAGUAUAUUCACCUGUUACCGAUUACCUUAUCUGUACGUUUCGCAUCUGACAGGCGCACCACCAAAAGAUGUAUUCAGGAUUAAUAUGCUAUAUAGUAUUACACGGGUCAUAAUCACAGGGUUGACACUACUUAAUUGUCAAAUUGUUACCUAUUGUAGUAUUUUAAUCAGUUAGACUUUCUAAGAUAACAAUACGAAUACUAAAAAUCUGGACUAAAAUAAGGCGUAUAGGUACAGUUUUCAAUUUGUUAGCGGGCAUGCCGUAAAACAGCGAAUCAAAGAAUUCAACUUUAUUUAUAACUAAUAUAGGACAAUGCUGUUGAUUAAAAAAUACUCCAUUCCAGGACCUUUUGUUUUCCAAAUAAUAAAUAUUAUCAAUAAUUGAUAAGUUCCAGUUCGACGGGUUCAAACAGAAAGAUUUGAAAGCAGAGAAAACUGUGUAUCUUAUAAUCGGCAUGAUUUUAUCAGAUGACAAUACUAAUACUAAAAUAAGGCUUGCGCAUAGUUAUAUACUUUAAUUCAGUCACGGACCCGGCGAUAUCACGGGUGUGUUCUAGUAUUACAAAAACAUGCCUUUCACAUUAAUAGAUAUAAAAUUUUGAUAGUAAAAAAACAUGAAAAACGUGUUUAAAAGUUUCUGAAUCAAUUGCUAUGAACUCUUUAGUUUUCAGAUUUUAGUAAAGAUUUCAUCACUGUGAGUGAAACAACCAGAGAAUUGAUGAUCAAAUCCAUUAUACACUUUGCGUUUAACAAUGUGAAGUACGUCUGAGCCAGUGACAUCUCAGUAGCAUAGGUUCGAAUCCCGGCGACAAAAAACCAAAAAUUUGCCAAAGGAAAUUUACAGAUCUAACAUUGUUGGGUUGAUGUUUAGACGAGUUGUAUAUACAUAAUGUACACUGCCAUGUAUCACCAUCACUGCUGGUGAUCCGAUGGAUAAAUCUGUUGUAGAGUUGUCACUGGCUCAGACGUACUUAAAAAUAUCAUUAUUUUCUAUGACUGUAUCUUACAUUAAUUUAUAGGAUCCUAUAAACAAUGCCUAUAUGCCUAUUGCUAUAGACAAUUUAGCAGAUCUGUAAGAAUAACAUCUUCAUGCCUUGUAUAUCAUGUACUGUAGUACGACGCUAGAUUAAAACUGACAUGGAAAGGUAACACCCAGCCACCGAAAGCUUCAUAUUUUAUGAAGCCCAGGUGGUCGUGUGGUCUAGCGCACCGGUUACAGUGCAGGCGAUUUGGUGUUACGAUAUCUCAGUAGCAUGGGUUCGAAUCACGGCGAGGGAAGAACCAAAAAUUUACGAAAGCAAAUUUUCAGAUCUAACAUUGUUGGGUUGAUGUUUAGACGUGUUGUAUAUACAUGGAACUGUUAAUUUGUUACUUAUUUUACUAAUUAUUUUAUGAAUAUAUAUAUUCAAUAUAUAUGUGUGUGUGUGUGUGUUUUAGGAUGUGGAGUUAAAAUCGAAGGUUCUAUGAAGGGAACUAUAACUAGUUCAGGAUACCCGGAUGUGUAUGAUAACAAUAUCAAUUGUUCUAUGACAAUCAUAGCUCCUCUACCAGAUCAUCAAAUUAUGAUACAGUUUACACACAUGGAGAUUGAGGAAUCAGAUAACUGCUCAUUUGAUAGAGUUUCACUUUUUCUCGACUCUUAUUCAGGUAAAAAUAAAGUAAUAAAAAUGUCCGUUUGAGUAGCUAUUUAGAAACUUUUUAAUUUUUUUAAGAAAAAUAUAUCAAAUUAAUUCAAAACACGUUUUCAUUUUCUGAUGUUCUUAUUCUGAUUUGAAACGAUACAAAAUUGUAACGUAUUAUAUAUCGAAAUCAUAGUUGAUUCCCUUUUAUCUGGUGCAAAUUUGCUACCUUUCGUCAUAGUUAUAAUUUUGGGGACACUAUAUGUUUCUAGCCUUAUUGCGAUGCAGAAAAAAAACAAACAUUGCUCCUGUCAAAACAUGGAUGAGAGAUUCGAACCACACAUAAUCAUAAAUCAAAAAUAAGUUGUUAAAGGACUAAAAUUAAGCUGUAAUGAAUAUCAAUCAUAACGAUUUGUAUUUGUAUAAUUGAUAUAACAGGAUUUCUUUUUCCAUAACUGAUUCUUGAAGUCGUCUUAAUAUAUUAGCGGGGUUUUUUUCUUCACAAUUAUCAAAAAUAAAAGGAAAUGGGUGUUGUUGUUUUCUUGUUUUUGGUUUGUGUUUUGAUUUUUGUUGGUUUUUUUCUGAAAAUUUUGUACCACACAAUUAUUGUUGAACAAUACUGUUUACAGUGACAAAAGCAGGUAAACAUAAUUAGCAGUAUUUCCUAAGGCACUGACAACAUAGUUUUUAAAUUAUGAUUUAUUCAUUAAAGUUGGUUUAUUCGUGUUGACAUGCAAUUCUUCAAUCUUAAUUUGCAAGUUGACAUGAUCAAGUCAAAAUAUUGAAAUAUUUGUAAAAGUAUUAACAAAUUUGAUACUUUUAUACUAUUUUGAUCUCGAAGAUUUGUUAAUUGAUUAAAACUUAAAUGUGCAAGAACUCAUACGAAAGAGCAAAUUGCCAAUGUCGAAAGAGUAAUGAGUUGUAUUAUAUUUCUACAAGAUUAUAAAUUUCAAUUCAAAGCAAUUGAAGUGAUAUUAAAUGAAAACAAAAGCUACACAGACACAUUCGUAACGAUGACAUCAGUUUUCACUUCCUUGUGUUCAAAGUAUAAAAUAUGUUAUUGAUGAGAAAUUGAUAGCAAUACAAAUCGUUAUCAUUCCUACGCUUUUACAAGUUACGUAACAAUAUUCAGAAAUAGAAAAAAAGAGAAAACCAAAUAAAUGCAAUUGCACCGUGUAACUUUCAAUGUUUCAUAUUUAUCCAAUCGAUUACAAAGGCAUUGAGAUCGUUACAAAGUUAAACAUACUACUAAUAGUAAACGUCGUAGUAAAGCUGAACUUUUUUGUCUUAUAUUGGUUUCUUGGUAAGGUAUGAUACUUUACUUCUUUUAGUCCUUAUAUUUCUCCAUAUCACAAUGCGUUUAAGGUUUACACCGACAUGUUAUUCAAAGUUAAGAAAGACCCUUGGAAAAUGAAGUUGUAAGAAUUAUUAUAAUAUUUAUCAAAGGUACCAGGCUUGUAUUUAAUACAGAAGACACGCGUUUCGUCUACAUAAUUCUCAUCAGUGACGGCUAAGGUUAUCUAUGUCUGGGAUAUGAAAAUCCUUAGUAUUUCGAAUAAUUCAUACCUUUGCAAACAGUAAAUAAAUAAAUAAUAAUGACCAUAUAAUUAUUAUUCAUGUCAACACCGAAGUGCUGACUACAGGGCUGGUGAUAACAUCGAGGAAGAAAUGUCCACCAGCAGUGGUAUCGACCCAGUGGUGUAAAUAGUUAUCAAAAGUACCAGGCUAAUAAUUUAAUACCCCAGACGAGCGUUUCGUCUACAUGAGACUCACCAGUGACGCUCAGUCUAAAUAGUAAUCGUUGGAUGCACAAAUAAACAUAGAUUGAAGUAAUCGACGAAGAACUGAACAAGCAGUCAGUUUAUCUAUAUUUUCAUACCUUACAUAAGACAUUUAAAAAGUAGAAAAAAGUCUCAUGUAAAUUUUCACGAAGAUGCAUUGGUCAAACAUACGGAUUUCAAUGACAAACACAUAUCUAUACACAAUGUCAAGCUCCUAAUGAUUCCGUGUAUGUUCUAAAUGUCACGGAGUCUAUCAAAGAUCUGUUAUCAACACACGUUUCUCCUUCAAUUGUUAGCUCAGUUGAUAUUUGGUUGGGUUAUUAUCCAAUUGACUUAUACUCAAGAUCUGUUUUAUUCAUAUAUAUAUACAUAGCAAAAUACCACAUGAAUUUCCCGUAUGAAAAUCCUAAUAUCAAUGUCGUGUUCUUGAAGUUUUAUGCCAUGUCAGUUUGUAACAAAUGCCGGCUGACUAUAAAGAACACAAAUCCUAUUGUUAAAGUUCAAUUAGUUGAUUAAAGAUCUGGUGAUAUGUCCAUGUUUAUCUUCAGUGUCUUUUAUAAAUGAUUGAUUCGAACAACUGAAUAUUUUUUUCCAGACUGAAUUCGUAGUGAUUCAGAAAAACUCUUUUAUAAAGCUUCUCAAUAUUCUAUAUAAAUGUUCCGUGACAAUAAACUUAAAUAUUCCAAACCAUAGCAACAACUUUAUUGCAUCAACAUUUUAAACUUUUGUAUAUCAGUAAAGUGAUUCUAAGUCAUAGAAAGUCAACUGACAACAAUACUGAACUCCGAGGAAAAUUCAAAACUGAAAUUCCCUAAUCAAAUAGCAAAAUCAAAUGAGAAAACACUUCAAAAGAAUGAACAACAACUGUCAUAUUCCGGACUUAGUACAGGCAUUUUCAAAUGUAGAAAAUGAUGGAUUAAACCAGGUUUUAUAGCCCUAAACCUCUAACUUGUAUGAAAGUCGCAUCAGAUUCCAUUAUAUUUAAAACGAUGCGUGAACGAAACAAACAUACUAAGUAAAAUUGUCAAAAUAUAGUUACAGCAGUCAAAAAAGUAUUUGUCACCAUGAGAUCAAUUAGUUGAUCUUUUUUGUCCAAAGUUAAGAAAUAUAUUUUAGACAUUGUGUUGCUUCAAAUAUAUUUUUUUUACUUCUUCAAAUUUGUCUUUAGAUUCACCAGAAGUUAUGCUAUGUGCACAAUCAGCAUCAGAUAAGUUGUACUUUUCAAGGGAUGGCUUACUGAAAAUAAGGUUUACAACAGACAACUUAAUAACAUGGACAGGAUUCUCUGCAAAUUAUACUGUAAUUCCACGUCAAGGUAAAAGUCUUUAUUCAGAUAGAGAUUUUCAAUAGACAACACAAUCGUUGAUUCUAAAAGAGAGUUAAUAGGUGUACAUAUCUAAACUGCGUAUCAGAAAUGGAUGCUGGCUUAAGUUUUGUUGCAGUUCAAUGUUUCUUAUGUUUUGCUAUUUUCUUAAUAUUGAUGAAUUUCCCUCAAUUUGUUUUUCGCUUAAUCAAUAUAAGACUUUUGAACAGUGAUAUACUACUGUUACUGCUACCAAAUAAAGUAUCCAUGAACUUAUACGGACCACAUGGGUCAUUGUCUGGAGGGUUCACAAAAUCACUAGACACGAAAUCAAUUUCAAAAUUAAAGAUCUAGUUAAACUUUGAGACUCCAUACCAAAAUGAAGACAUCUUGAUAGGGAAUACUAAACUGUUGCUAAAACUGUUGUUGGGCUAUACAUACUUUGAUUAAAACCUUUCAAUUUAACCACAUGACACAAUUAAUCUUGUGUGUCCUUAUCCUUGGAAAAUUCUAGUAAAACAACCCCUUCCGAAACACACAUUGCAUUUCAGUGAAGACUUUGUCCAAGGUUAUUAUUUAAUACACGAUACUUUGAUAAUCUCCAACCAUAUAAGUUUAAGAAAAUGGUAUGUGUUAGGGACGACAUCAAAAGUUCAAUGUAGGAUAAAAAAAAACUUAAUUCAUAUAGUUUUUUUCACUGACCCCUACCCCCCUCUUAACUUAAUUUGGGAAAAUUGUAUAAAAUCGAUGUAAAUUAAACAAAACUACAGCAAUUUUGACCACAACCCUCCCCCCCCCCAAACCCAAGCUAUUUGAAUUAAAUUUUUUCUCCUUCAUUGAUUUUUUGGUGUCGUCCCUUACUAUCAAGUUAUUAUACCAAACGUUCGACCAUAUGUCUCUUCUUAACAAUCUGAAAUUUAUAACAAUUGUAUACCAAAUGCAAGUUAUACGAUUACAUUUUUUAAAGAAAAAAAUAUCUGCGAUUUAGAAAUAUGCAGAAAAGAAAUAAAUUGACCGGUUUUUUUGUUGCAUUUUACUGGACGUAUUCUCUACGUGUAAUUCUGUUGUUGUCGUUUGUUUAUGUGUUACAUUUUUUUUUUUUUCGUUCAUUUUUGGACAUAAAUAAGGCCGUUAGUUUUCUCGUUUGAAUUGUUUUACAUUGACAUUUCGGGGCCUUUUAUAGCUGCCUAUGCGGUAUGGGCUUUGUUCUUUGUUGAAUGCCGUAUGGUGACCUAUAGUUGUUAAUUUCUGUGUCAUUUAGGUCUCUUUUGGAGAGUUGUCUCAUUGGCAAUCAUACCAUAUCUUCUUUUUAUAUUUAGUGUUGUAGAGACAUGACAGUUCUGAAAAUUACACCAAACAGUGUUAGAGUUAGAUUUUAUACUGACAAAUUUUUGUCCGUCCCUCAGCGGGAUUCGAACUCACACCUUUGAUACACUACAGCACCAAUCGCUUAGCCUCAUGUCCAGCGCUCUAGACCACUCGACCACAUCCGCUAUAUAAAAAUAUAACUUCAAUAGUCGUAGUGUUACCUUGUCACGGAAGGUGAAUCUAGAGAUAGACAUGAGACACGUGUUUUUUUAAGCGUGUGUAGAUGUUAUAUUAUUAUUUUCAUACACAAUGUAUUUAUUAUUUGUCAGCAAUCUAACUCAACAAUUUUUAUAUAUCAUAUAGGAUAAUGAUUCAUUUCAUUAUACAGUCACUAGAAAUAAGUAUAUUUUACAAACAAGUCUAAACAAGUGACAAACCAUACAAUAUACAUGUCCACUGGAUCUAAGAGUGAUAUAGAUAUAUAUAUAUAUAUAUUACUUUAAAAUCAUGUUUACUUGUUUUCAUUUAUUUUGAAAAAUUCUCAUUUGAACACAUUAUAAACUGACUUUUUGCUCUGUUUAAGUAUUCAAAGUUUUUUGAUACCAAGAGAAUCUUAAUAUGAACAAUCCUGAUUUUCCUUUUUGAACGAUUAAUCGACAUCUUAACUUAUAUUCAUGAAUUUUAAAUUUUAAAAUAUGAUAAACUGAUGUAAUGGAUCAAUUUCGAAUUAUUAAUCAGAACCCUCAAUAUUUUUUGACGUAAUAAGGCUGUGAAUGUCCUGUUCCAUUUUCCAGAUCAUACAUAAUAACUAAGUGCACAAACCAUUAAUUGAAAAUUCAUAGACAUAUUUUUAGAUCGUAUUUUUAUUUUCAUCUCUUAAUUCCAUGUAUGUGAAUUUUGUUUUAGUGUGCUAUCCAAGAUGUCAAAACAACAGUGUCUGUAUCAAAGAUGGACGAAACUACAGGUAAUUGAUAAUAUUUCACUUUGUAUGUUUUCAAUAGAUUAUCCAAACUACCACAGUAUAAACGAGAAACUUGUGACAAUCUUUUUUACUUUAGAAAUUUGUGUCAGAUGUUCUGUCUCGAAAAUGCAGGCUAAAAUUAAUUUUGCCCCAUAACACCCAUUUUCAUUUUUAUGAUAUGCAGCAAUAGAUCUUAAAAAUGUCAUUUGCAAAGAUGUGAGCAGAUUCUAGCUUUCUUUUCUUUCGAUUUGAGACCCAAUUAAUACCAAUGCAAAAAGAAAGCCAUUUAUUUUAAAUUUAUAUCGAAAAGGAACUCUAACCUAACAAUAUGUUUAGCUUAUUCUGUUCUUUAACUAAUGUUCUUCUUACUUAAAGUGUCAAUUUCAAUUUUUUUAAACUUUCAAUUUCAAAUAAGUACAUCUCUAAGUGAAGUUAUCACGGGAAUAGAGAUGUACUAUAGUACAUAUGGCGUCGUUAUCUAUUCUUCGCGUUAUAAAAAAAUAUAACUUAGUUCAUGAUUCUAGUCUCUAUAUAGGUUAAUAAGGAUAAUAAUUGUUUAUCGUAACAGUACUUUUUAUAAGGCUUGAAUUUUCUCAGUGUAAUGACUUUUCUAAUAAUAAAAAAACAACUGGUAUGAUUUUUGUUCAUGUAAUAUAUGAAUAUCAGAGCUUAUCUACAGAGAUAAAGCUUCCUCUGUACAUGUUAUACAUGAAAAUUCAAUGCUAUCGAAUAGAACUUUUAUAAUAAAGAUUGUAACAAAUCAUAACUUCACUUGAUCAAUUUUAUGCAACCAAAUUACUUUUCUUGAUUUGUCUUUAUUUGGAAUGACGAAAGUUGAUUAUUUGAAAUCAACAGAUGUAUUAUCACCGAAACGAUUUAAAGGCUAAUUUCCUAAACAGAUCCAAAUGUUGAUAUCUUUAAUAAGAUUUGUUCACUAUUGUAACUAUUAUCUUAAACAUAUAACUAAAUCAGCUGCAUGCAAAUGUUGUAAAAUACCUUGCGUUCUAUUUUUAAAUUUUGCACAGAAAAAUUUACAGAACAAGGCAUUAUUUAUUUGUAUAUUAUUUUAAAUUACAUAUACACGGUUUUAAAUGGUCUUCGCUGGGUUUUUACGCGUGCUUCUUGUGAAUCUUAUGAAGAAGAAACGCGCGUCUGCCAUACCAUAUUUUAAACUGGUAUAUUUAAAAGGUUAUUUUGGUACAUUUUUUGUUUGGGUAUUGAAACCGCUUUCUUCUCUUGUUAACCGAUACACAUUCAACAUUGUCAUUUUUAUUGACAUUUUAAUAGCUUCGACCGAUCUUUCAGCGGUCAGACUACUUUUGAUAUAUAGCAUGAUUUGUCAUUCUUAAAGUACACACUAGAGGAUUGAAACCUUUAAAAGAUCCAAAGCCUAUAAGACUGACCUGAUUUUAAAUGAAUACAGACUGUCUUCCUGGUUAUAAAAUAUAGCUACCAAAUGUUUGUCUGACAGAAAGAACACAGAAAAGAGAACAAUGCAAUAAAAAAUAUAACAUUUGCUAGGAAUAAAUUUGAUUUUUUUUUAUGUGCCUUUGUUAUACUUUCUUUGUUGUGGCUUAUUUAAGAACCCCUGAAUUGUAGCUAAAAGCUUUACAAAUUGAACAAAACAGAUAAAAAAACAGUAAAGAUCCAUCUCUGGUGCAUUUUUUGGUCCUGAGUGUUUUUACAUUUAUUUGCAUUGUCACGAAGUGUUGUCCUUUUAGUAUUAUUUUUAACAUUGCCAUGUAAACUAAAGGUUUGGUUAGCGAUAAAACAUGGUUCAGUCCAUCAUUUUUAUCAAAGGUAACCUGUAAAGAAAUAUGACAGUUGUUAUCACAUAAUCCGUUUCUAUGUAUGUAGCAUUAGCGUUUAUUGUAUUUCACUUCAUUGUUUUCUGUUGUUCCGUUGUUAUCCUCUUAUAGUUGAUGUGUUUCCCUCGGUUUAAGUUUGUAUACUACUAUUGCCUUUAUUUGAUGGAUACUGAAAAAGAACUUUGUAUCUGAGGUUCAUUUGGUCAAAAUUACAGCAGUAUUUCAUAGACUUAGUUUGGACAAUUGUUAUGUUUCCAAUCAUUGUUCGUUCACUGCCAUCUUUAAAGUCCAGUGUUUAAGUUAGGAUUUUAGCGUUUUAGUCACAAGAAGAAUUAGUAAAAUAGGACGUGUGCAGUAUAAAACUAAGGUGAUUUCUGAAAUUGCUUGUUACUAUAUAAAACAAAUGUAUUGUUGUAUACUUCCAAUGAGACAGCAAUCGCCAAAAAAGUACAGUUAAUAUGCUAUUGUUCAGAAAAGCUAUUAUUGAUUCAAAUUCAAAUAAAGCUUAUCUUCAAUGGACCCGUAGGUUUAAAAAAAAAUCAACAUAACUUCAAAUGAUAUAUAGAAUGAGAUGAACGGAAUAUCCAACCCUUUUAUUAUUGAAAAAAAGAAAAAUACAUCACAUCAUGAAUAAUUACAGAACAAUAGUGUAUGUCUAUUUUUGAAAAACAUGUUAAAUUAUUUACUUAUUACACUAAUAUUUGGAAGGAAAAAAGAUCUUUAUAAUGUACAAAAAAUCAGAAAUGCCUCUGCAAUAUAAAAUAUAUCAUUUAUACAUUUUUUGAAUUCUAGAUGUAUUAAAGGACAAAAAUGUGCAACCAACUUGUGCAACCAUGGUCACUGCAUUAAAAAGGGACUUGCCGACGUACAAUGCUUUUGCCAUGAAGGAUAUAAUGGUUUAUUCUGUACAGACGAAAUGAAAAUCGUAAGUCGUAUUUGUAUAUUAAAUCUUCUUAUUAUAUACAUUGUAUUUAAUUUGUGUUGCAAAUUAUAAGGUAUUGCUAUUCUUUUCAUUUGAUAUUUUUUCUCUAGAAACGCAUUGAAGUUCUCAAAUACAAAUAUUAUUUGAUACAUUUUUGUAUUUCAUGUGUCGUUGAUUUGGAAAUUAGUAGGUCUGUUAACUUUGUGUUUUAGGCUGAAUAAAUCUAACAUGUAUGUAUUAAGGUAUGUAUGUAAGUAUGUAAGUCUGUAGCUGUGAAGGUACAUGUUUUGUUCAUUUGAGAUGAUGUGAAAGGAGGUACCAAAAUUGUUUUUUUUUUUACUUUUUUUUCCACUUUUCGGAUGUUUUCUUAAAUUGUUUGAAAGUUAGGUUGUCAAUUUUGCCAAAAAAAUGUAUUACGUUUAACUCGAUUUAAUAAAAUAAAAAGUGUCAAAUGUAACUUUUUUCAAUAAACUUCAAAUGUCCAAAAGUAACUUGUUUCAAUAAACUAAAAAUUGCAAAAGUGCUGAAAGUUUAUGAGUAAAUUAUACAGCCGCUUUCUCACCAAUCUGAAAGUAAGCAACAUAAAUUCUUUUUAUAAGGGUUAAUCUUAAAAGUUUGCAUAAGUGCAUAUGAAGAUAGCCAGAAUGCACAUAAAUUUUGCUCAACAGAAAAAGUAUUUUUCAAGCUAUUUUCAAUUCACUUUAUCAUCGUGUUCAUAAAUGAUUUCAAAGUUGACUGCAUAUUAUGUUCAAUUAGUACAAAUUCCUAGAUCAAAGAACAUGGUUAACCAAUUAUGCAAUAACACGUAAACGAUUAAUUAUCAGACACAGUGUACUCAAGAUGUAAUUAAUCAAGAUUCUAUAUGGGUUCUAUGCGUUCAUGUAUCAAAAUCCAGUGCUAAUAGUUAACUAACAAUUAAGAAUAAGAUGUGACACGAUUGAAAUAUUACCUUUUGCUCAUUUUAGACUGAAAAGAAGAGAUUUUUAAAAAUUUUGUUAUGGAGAAGGAAAUCAAACGCAGGAAAGGAGUAGGUCCAGUAAGAACCCUUUUCGGCCCCAAAAUAUAAUUGUUUUGCCAAAUUGUUAAAAUGUAAACUUUUAGUUAUUUAUUAUAAAGUAGAAUACUUCUGCCACAUAAAUAUGUGCUGUUUUUGACAAUACAAUAAACAUAUAUCAGGUACUAGCAUCACUAUGUCGUGCUAAAUUACUAAAAUCUUCACAAUUUCAGCAUUUGAGUUAAAUUUUAGACGGUAUCCGUCUUAAAUUGAAGGUAGCCGCAUUUGUGUUCAUUCUUAAUAUUUAAAUGUUAGUUUUAUUUGUUGAGAAUGAACACGGAUGCGGCCACUUUCAUUUUUGGGAAACAACAGCUGAAAAGUGAUAUAUUAUGGUAUAUGUGAUAGAUUUUUCAUAUUAAAGCUUGAAUUUGAACGUCUGAAAUGACUAAAUCAGUUAAAGUCUUUCCAAUGAACUAUUUAAAUCGACUUAAGUAGACACUAAGGUGUUUAAAAAGUGUUCAAAAUCUUUCAUCCGAUGAACCUGAAAUUUGAGGUUUGGACUUUACCGGAACUACUACUUUAUAAAAUGUCGUUUUCAUUUUUUUCCAGCACUGCGUCGAUAUCGCUUCUGGACUAUCAAUCCCCGAGGUAUUAUCAGCUCAGUAAUUUCAUUUUAUUUUUAUAUAUACCUCUAAACUUGGAAGAAUAAAAUAAAAACUUGCCCCUGUUACGUCUGAUUUUGUUUACAAAGGGCAAAAAUAAUCUGUUUUUUAGAGAAAAAAAUCGAAAUUUAAGUUAUUUUGUUUAAACUAAUGGCAAAAAUGCCAAAAUAUAAUUCUAGAUGUAAGUGGACAAGUUGAUGGUUUGUGGUGGGCUUCGUGUGGUUUAUUCUUUAGUUUUCUCUCUUGUGUCAUGUGUACUAUUGGUUGUCUCUUUGUCUUUUUAUUUUUUAGCCAUGGCGUUGUCAGUUUAUUUUCAAUCUAUGAGUUUGACUGUUCCUCUGGUAUCUUUCGCCCCUCUUUUAUGUAUAUAUAAAACGUCGCCUGAAGAUUGCCAGAAGGCAUGAAAGCGCUAGUGACAAUAUUUUAACGAACUGUUAUUAUUUGAUGUGAAAUGUAAUUUGCAAAUUUAAAAAAUUAUUAUAUAUAUAUAUAUAUAUAUAUAUAUAUAUAUAUUAUUAUAUUAUAUAUAUAUAUAUAUAUAUAUAUAUAUAUAUAUAUAUAUAUAUAUAUAUAUAUGUGUGUGUCUACGGAAAGGAAAGUGUUGACUUGUAAAUAAAUGAUUAACAGACUAAAGCACUUAAUUUUCGAAUUAAAUAAUUAGAAGAAUAAGAAGUAGCUAGUAUUAUACUUAAACAUCACUUUUUUCUAUAAAGAUAGUGUCUUCUUACUAAGUAAUUAAAAGUUUAAUGAAUAUGUGUAACGCAUCAAUCUUAUCGAACUUAAACAGAUACAGUUAAGUUUUCCAACUUUUUAGAAUUUUUAAAAAGCUUGUAUACCGUCUUUGUAAAACGUCAUAAGUGUCUAACCAGAAAGUUAAUGAACCUGCAGGAGAAUGUCAAAGACCGUGUUUUUCUAAAAAAAAAAAAAAAAAAAGUUCAUCAGAAGAUACUAAAACCUUGUCAAAUAUUCCGUUUAACUUCACAUAUAUUGAACGAUUUUAUUGAAGUAUAGAUUAUGGGAGCUAACAUUGUUUAUCGUCUUAAGAACGUGUUAUAUCAUUCUUUUAUUUGUCUUUAUAAAUAUUACUUUAACUGUUUAGUCUGUUUUUGAUGAUAUACAACAGACGUGACUUUGUACUUAUUCAUCCAGUCAUUGUGCGAUUGUGCAAGAUAAUUUGUGUACUUUUGUCUUUCAUUUUUGUCAAUGUGCUUUGUCUUUAUGCCUUUUUUGUGUUUCUUUGAUACAUAUGACGUGGCUCCGUACUUCAUUCCGUCAUUAUGUUAUUAUGCUCUUGUAAAUUUGUGUAUCUAUGUCUUUCAUUUAACGAAUUUGCUUUGUCUUUAUGCCUUAAGUGCUAUUUUGUUACAUAUUUGUUUGUUUUAUAGUGAUUAAGAUAGUAGCACAGUGUUGACUGCUGUACCACUAUUUUUGGAAUUUUUUCAUAUUAUGUCUGAUAAUUUUGUUCACACAUCGUAGUCAAUAUAAUGGAAUUUGAUGUGACUGACAUACUUGUAAGUGAGAGGUUUUGCUAGCUAUGAAACCAGUCCGUUUCUGUGUGUGUUACAUUUUAAUGUUGUGUCGUUGUUCUCCUCUUAUAUUUAAUGCGUUUCCCUCAGUUUUGGUUUGUUACCCCGAUUUUGUUUUUUGCCCAUAGAUUUACGAAUUUUGAACAGCGGUAUACUACUGUUGCCUUUAUUAAUCCAUCAUUUUCUAUAUAAGACAAUACCUGUACCAAGUCAGGAAUACGAAAAUUGUUAUCCGUUCGUCCGAUGUAUUGAGCUUUUGAAUUUGCCAUUUUGACUUCGGAGUUUUUGUGAUUUUAAUUUUUAAGUGUACAUCAUACAUUGACCUACAUCUAUAAUUUGACCAAGAGGUAUCGUUGAGAAUAAAACAUGAAACGAGAUGAUUUCAGCUUCGCAAUUGUGUUCAUAUUUGGGUAGCAACAUUCCAGCAGCGCCUACAGAUAUAGUAUGUGUCUCCCAGUUGAUACAAUAUUCAAGUACGUCAUAUAUGUAUCGUAAACAGUUACUGUAAUACAGUUGAAUAGGUAUUUUGCAAUUGUUCUCACUUAGUAAACAUAAAUAUGACUUUGUUGUAUUUCUGUCUUUAAUUUUUAUGAUACUAUUUUCGACGUAACAUUUCAGAUUUAACGUUAUAUCAACCAACCAGUAUGUAUUGCCAAAUUGUAAUACAUGCAUACUUUAAGCAAUACGAAAUUUAAGUUAUUAGACAGUGGAAUUAAAGCAAUAUGCUAAAGUAACUUUGAAAUUUAAGAUUGUUGUUUAUUUUCAAUAAGCAUUUAGAUGUCUGACAUAUAAUGUCUUAAAUGUUUCACAAUUCAGAUGAUAUGAAUCACUAUCCAUUAUGAUGAUUAUUCGGUUCGGCCAAUUUAACACGUUCCUUAUUCUUAAGCUCCAAGUUACAAAUACUGUAGAAAGUAGAAAUAUUUGGAUUAAAUAACGAAGGUUCAAACUUCUUCGAAAAUCCUUUUUCUUUUAAUUUAUCAAAAUGUAUAUGAAUAAAGGUAGUAAACCGCUGUUCAAAAUUCAUAAAUCGAUAGAGAAAAAUCAUAUCCGGGUUACAAACUUAAACUGAUGGAAACGUAUCAAAUAUAAGAGAACUACGACGCAACAGAGACACAACACCGACAUGUAACACACAAAAACAUUAAUUAUAGGUGAAAAAUGGUUAACAAACGUGUAUUUUUAAUUAAAAAUGUAUCAUCAAUCACCUUAAAGCACGAAGUAUGUUCUUAUAGUAUUAAUUGAUGUUGUAUUUGACAAUGCGUGUAUCUUUCGUACUGGAAAUGACUGUAGCUGUUUAAACAUAAAAUUGUGUCUGCACGAAAUAAAGGCAACAGUAGUAAACCGUUGUUCAAAAGUCAUAAAUCUAUUGAGAGAAAACACAUCCGGAAUAUAAACUAAAAACCGAGGGAACAUGUCAACUAUAUGAGGAAAACAAAAGGAUCAAAAAAGAGGGACAAAAGAUACCAAAGGGACAGUCAAACUCAUAAAUUUAAAACAACUGAUAACGCCAUGGCUAAAAAUGAAAAAGACAAACAAACAACAGCACACACGAUCAACAGAUCCAAUGAAGUGCAACAACAAAAAGAACCUGCAUACAUGAUAACGCACUAUUUAAUUACACUGAAAUUUAAAGUUAUUCUAACGUAGAGUUUUAUUUAUACAUCGGUUUAAAAAUUGAAUUAGAACCUUGUAGACGUAUAGUUAUAUUUGUAAUUUUUUAUUUCGUAAUCAUCUGUGGUUAAAUAUGUUAGCAGUCAAUUUUGACCGAUCCCAACCUUUGCUGCAACGAUCGUUAGCAUUGAAUAUGAUGUAUAUUUAUCAUAUUUGGCAUAUUAAUGUCAGCAACAAAUACCUUAUUGAUUUUAAAGGUUAGAGGUUUACAGUUAGACUGAUACAAGGUCAAAGUGGUCAAUUCUGAAUAAUUAGUUGAUAUAUAAAUCAAAUGCUGGUAAGUGCAUUGUUCUAAAUAUUCAUUCAGAUUCAUUACAAUUACAAUUAAUGAUUUUUCAUUAAUUUUAAACAUAUAUCUUUGGUUUCCGAUUUGUAUUUUAUUAUUUUCAUUUGGUUCUUUUAGGAGGAGGAAAAGCUGAAAUUCAUUAAAACACCAACAGAUCAGCUCAUUGAGCCUGGAGAACGUAUCAUAUUAGAAUGCCAAGUCAACGAUGACACAUCUGAUUACAUGUGGUUUGUAUAGUUUCUUAAAAUUACACGUCAGCGGCUCCAUUCACAAAAAAAUCUUAAGAGUUAUAAUACUAGUAGGUCAUACACAUUUCAGUAUAACUUACGAUCAAUUUUUAUCGUAAGAUUUCAUAUAAUGUUGUUAAAACCGCAAUGUGACACCGGACGUUUUGAAUGACUAAGUUCGUGUAGGGCAUUUGAAAAAGGACUAAUAAAUUGCCUAUGAACGACUUGUAAAGAACAGAUUCUUUAAGCCAUUAAUUUUACGCUUAGAAUUGGCGAUAAAAUUGUAAAAUAUGAAGUUUUUAAUACAUCAAUGUCAGUUCAAACGAACAAUAUAAAAGUUAUAGUUUGAACUAGAGGAAAUCAAAACGUAAUGCGAUCAAAUGUUAUGCAAUUUUAAAGUCAUGUUUAGUACAGUUCUGUGGCAACACGAUUCAAAGUACAAGUGCGUUUAAAAGUUUAGAAAUUGUUAGAUAUGCCAUUCGGUAUUGUGUUAACUUAAAACAGACUUUGUCAAGGUAACUAAGGUCAGACCCCGUUUUAAGUGGUUACUUUAAACUAAGUCUUUCGCUUUCUAUGGUGUGAUUGUAUAAUGUUGUUUAUAUAUUGAUCUAUUUUCGUUUCGUUUCUUGGCAUGUCAUUGUCAGUUUUUUUUAUCGACUUUUGAUUUUGAUUCUUUCGCUUCUCUGUUUCAGGCAAUAGCAAAUUGUUUUGAAAUUUGGUAUUUUAAUGUGAUGGGAGUUCAUAUAGGAGGGAAGUCCCUAUCGAGAUAUGUGAUUAGCUUAGUUGAACCAAUUAUUACUUUAUUCUGGAGUUUAACAUAGAAAAUAUAAUGAACAUGAUAGGUCUUAAUUUUCAGCUUUUCGCGAUAAGAUCAUGUCUCGCAACCAGUAGUCAAACAAAACAUUAUAUCGACGAAUUCUAAGUUUUUCCCAAAAAUAGGCAUGGUUUGUGAACCAAUUUUAGUUAUUAAGUCCAUACGCUCCAUUGUGCGAGUUAUAUUCUAACUUUGUAAAAAUAAAUACUAUUAGAAUAUAUAGAUAUAUAAUGUUUAUUGGUCGGCAUAUACAAAACAAUUUUAAAACGUACCUUAUGGUAUGGGUUUAGCUCACUGUCUGAGCAGGACCGUACGGUAAGCAGGGCCAUAUAUUCCUGACUUGGUACACGCAUAUUCUGAAGAAAAUCACUAAAUCACAUUGAUUUACUAUUAUUGAUUGUAACAGAGAUGAAAAAAAUUGAAAACAACAUGUUUAAUUAUUUCUUGCGUCCGACGCGCUUUUCUGGAUUUACUACUAUCAGGAACGCUCAAAGUCAAACGUUUGAAAUCCGAAGAUGUAUAAGAAAAGUUAUUUUCUAUUCCUAAUAAUAACUAGUUGAUGCGAAAACCGUAGAAAAGUACAUAAUACAAUUGUAAACUGUUAUUUUUUGUAGGUUUUAUGAAGACCUAAUGCUACAAACUGAGAAAAACAGUGUUACUGUACUCCCCGGAGGAGUUCUAGAUAUUUUUGAAUUCAGUAGAACUUUAGAAGGACUAUAUAAAUGUCUAGCCAGUACAUCAUCGGACUUUUUAGAACAUGAAUUUAGACUAUCCAUUGUAGAACCGUGCGAUUUAUGUAAGUAAUUAUUGCAGUAACAUUAUUUAUUAGUAAUUAUUUCAUUCGCACUAUAAGUGAUCCUUUUUAAUUUCAAACUUUGCGUUUAUUCAAAUAAUAUUUAGGUAAAGUUUCCAGGGCAGUAUGUCGUGCAUAUCAUAACGGUUUGUUACAACACUUCGAGAGAACUAUUUCAAAAAUAUUGUUUUGCAUACACUUCAACUUCGGACUUGAAUUGCCUUUUAAGGUAGAUAGGGUGUCUUCCUCCAUCUUGGAUUUUGAAAUACCAGAAAACAAGGUCUAUAUCUUUGAUAAAAUGUGCAAAUUUUGAGAUAAGUAGGUAAUUCAUGUGCAAGAUUUUUCAUUAUAAUAUAGAAAAAUGCAAUGUUUUAUCAUAUUUAUGGUUGUAUUUUACCAUAAACCGAAUGCUUUUGUUUGAUUCGAUUUUUUCCAACUUUGCCAAAUAAGGAAAGAUAACUCAAAUGCAAGGGCAGAUAAUUCAGAUUAUGUUAUUUUUUUCAAUAGAAUGUGUUGGGAAUUUACCCAUUUAUUAUGUAGCAAGAAAACGAGUUCGAUGACCCCCAUUUUUCUUUUUCUUAUCUGAAAGAAUAAUAUUACAGCCAUCUUCUCAUGUUUUAUCUAAAAAUUCUAUGUUGUAGUUUUCGUUUUAAUGAGGAAAAUUGGGUUUUUCAUGCAUAUUCUAUAUUAAAUCUGACAAUUUUGCACAACCUGUAGUGUGAAAAUUAGUCCGGUGACUAUUCUUUUAAUUAAUGUUUUGAAACAAGCAGGUUAUAAACUACAUUAUGGUAAAUUAUCAAAAACAUCUAUGGAUUAUAAUUUAGACACCCCAUCUACCUUAACUUUUUUAUUCAAGCGUCCAUAAUGAGUCUUUUGUACAUGUAUAUGCUUUGUUUCUUUGAUGAUCUUUUGGACAGCUUAAUAAGGCAACAUUAAUUUACCGAUGUCCAAAACACUCGACAGAAUGAGUAGACAAUUUCGGAAAACAAACAAAAACUGACGGACUCAAAUUUAUUCACUCAAAAAGACGCAAGACUGGGUGAAUUUACAGGUUAAAUGUCACUUGCUGUGAUAUUGAAAAUACCUUGAGUACUAAAUGGACAGUUACUAUCUAAAACAUUUUAAAACUUUAACUAGAAGAGGGAACUGGAAAGACAAAUAUCGUGCUGUAGGUUUAAUUUGAGAUAUUAGACUGCAAUAUUUGAACAGAGAUUUUGAAUUAAGUCAAUCAUAUUUCUUACGAUAUUCCAUUACUCCAAUCUCAUUUUACCACACAUGAACAAAUGUGAAAUUGCCAAUGUAUGCUUUACAUGUUUAUGACAUCAAUGUACCAUCACAACUAUUAUGUCUGUAUUUAAAGUCUCAGAUUAUGUCAUUUAAUUUUGAAAGAAUUGCAGAAUAUUUCUAUAUUAGCAAAUUUUUCAUUCCAUAAUUUAUUUUUACGUAUUUUUGUUUACGUCAGCGGUAACACGUUGAAAUGAAUUCACUAUAAUGAAGUCAACAUUCAUUUAAAGCCUGAACAAAUUUCAUCAAACAAUGGCUCCUACAUUACCGCACGUAAAGCAGAAAAGCUGAUUGAAAACUAGUGACAGCUUUACACUCCUGCAUAAAUUUGCGUCAUAUUAAAGAUAUUAAAUAAGCUUGCAUUAAAGUAAUUGACCACAUUAGAAACUGUUUGUCUGCAUAGCAAUGAAUAAUAACAGUAAAGUCAAAUGUAUUUUUGUUUUAAACGCAAAUUAAAGCCACGGGUGGAACACCUUUUUAAAAUUUUUCAUUAACAGUAAAUCUAUUGUUAGUAGACAUAAGAAGAUGUGGUAUUAGUUCCAAUACGACAACUCUCCACCCAAGUCACGAUUUGUAAAAAUAAACCCUUCGGGUCAAAGUACGGUCUUUAACACGGAGCGUUAGUCUUAUUAAACUCAUAUGAGAGAUUUAUUAUGUAAUUAUGGCUUAAGUCAAGUCUGGUUGACACAAAAUGUUAUAAAUGUAGAUGAUUUAUAACUGAUGUCAAACAGCGUGUUACUGAUGAUUUAUAUCUGAAGCAAUGUCAUUUUAGCUCACCUUGCCCAAAGUGCCCUAUGUGAGCUUAUGUCAUCACUUGGUGUCCGUCGCUGUCCGUCGUCUGUCGUCGUCUGUCGUUGUAAAUUAUUUUAAAAAGUCUUCUCCUCUGAAACUACUGGACCAAAUACCUUAAAAAAUCUUUGACUAAAUAUUACUUAGUGUAUUUUGUUCAUAAUGUGUAUUUGAAGUUUUGAUUCAUCGACAAACAUGGCCACCAUGGCUUAAAAUAGAACAUAAGGGUCAAAUGCAGUUUUAGUCUUAUAUUUCAAAAACUAAAGCUUUUAGAGCAAAUCUGACAUGCAGUAAAAUGUUCAAUUGGUCAAGAUCUACCAGCCCUGAAAUUUUCAAAACUAAUGGUUUUCUUGCUGUCACUAAAUUGGUAGUUUUAAAGAAAUGUUGCAUUUGUUUUUGUUAUUAUCUUGAAUAUUAUAAUAGAUAGAUAUCAUCUGUUUACAUCAAUAAUGUUCAGCAAAGUAAGAUCUACAAAAACGUGUGACCAAAAUUGUCAAUUAACCUCUUUAGGAGUUAUUGCCUUAUAACGACAAUUUUACAAAAUUUGUUCAUCAAGUUUUCUUAUAUUUAAAAAUCUUCUCCUCUUAAACUACUGGUCCAAAUACCUUCGCCAUAGCGAAAAACAGAACAUAGGGGUCAAAGAUUAGUAAUUUUUUCAUAGUUAUUUUUGUCAAGGGCUCUUCUGAUGUAUAAGUUAGUGUUGAUCAUAUUCGACCUUUUUAUUGUUUAUCAUUGAGAUCUAAUUUAAGUUCUUGGAAGAAAACAGAUCAGUCAUUUCAAAUUUGUUUCUUAUAUGUGGUAAAAGCAUGUAUUUUGACUUAUCGUGACAUUCUUUUUAAAUCAGGUAAAACAAAAAAACUUCAAACUAAAUAUGAAAAAAGUAAAAUCAUAAAAAUACUAAACAUACGGAAAGUCCCUAAUCAAAUGGCAAGAUUCAAAGCUUCAACAAAUAAAACGAAUGAACAACAACUGUCAUAUUCCUGACUUGAUACAAACAUUUCCUUAUGUAGAAAAUGGGGAAUUAAACCUGGUUUUAUUAAAUGAAUAAACGCUUUUCUUUAUAAUAUAUAUUAUUAUGUAGUCAUUCAUACCGCAUUGAACAAUGUUUGUAUUUUAGCUGUAGAAGUUCCCCCUAUGGAUACAGUGGUAGAAGAAUCUUCGGUCGUGUUGAUGUCAUGUUAUUCACAACAAGCCGUGAACGUUACUUGGUAUAAAGAUGCCAUCCUCAUAGCUGAUACUAUGAAAUAUGAGGUAAGUUGAAAAUGAAAACACACAAGGACAGUCUUUUUAUUGAACAAAUUUAAAUAUAGUUUUACCAAUGGUAUAUUUAGUACUAAAUAUUGGAUAAACUGAACCACUUCUAAACGUUCUCAGAUAAGACGAGUGCUUGGUUUCCACAAUAAGAAUACACCUGUGAAAUUAAUCUUUUGUUUAAACACUACAUUGUUUCUCAGGAAUGGAGAGUCAUUUCUUUGGUUCAUUUAUUUUUACUCGGACGUUUUGGCUCUUAACUUUUUUAUGGACACGUUCUGAGAAGUAUUUGGUUUUCUGUAUUUGUUAGGGCUGUUUGUUCUUUCGUUCUUUUUAUUUCUGUUCAUAAUACUGCCCCUUUUAAUAGACUUAGGAUUUUGAAUACGAUGUUUUGUGAAAAGUAUGUUAAGUCUUAUAUUGACCACUCAUACCAUUAGAUGUUCUUAUGAAAUAAGUAAUGCAUAUGCACAAUAACUACGUUUUAGGUUACAUUGCAGUUGCUGUCAUUACUUAUAUGCUUGAUAUGCUGUAGUUUCGCUAAAUUGUUACACUAUGCGUAAGGUAACAGUUCUCUAUGUUUAUUUUAUUUUUGGAAAAGUGUGAUUUUGUAAUAUACAAAUCUAUAUGCAGAAAAAAAUCUUAGAACUCAUUGGUGUGUUAAAUAAAGGCAACAAUAGAAUACCGCUGUUUAAAAGUCAUAAAUCGGUUGACAGAAAACAAAUCGGGGUUACAAACUAAAACUUAGGGAAACACAUCAACUUUAAGAGGAAAUGAGUAUAUAUUAUGAGAUUUAAAACACAGCAUGGAAAAUGCAGUAUUGUGAAGACUAGUAUGCUUUAGUAUUAUAAGUUGUUAGAUAUGUCAAUACAUGAGAAAGCAUGUGUAUCAUUUUCUUCUUCUGCAUUUAUUGUCUAGUAAUGUUUUUGGUCUAUGACUUUUGUCAGGGCUCGAUACCUGUACAUCCGACUAUCCGAUGUUUGGCUUCGUGUUUUUUGGACGCAUCAAAUGUGAAUAGUGUUAUUUUACCUUUUGUGUACUCUCAUAAAUUUAUUUCACUUUAUUUGCAACUAAUUCACCUUGAAGUUUGGAAUCUUGCUUUCGUCCUAUUGAACAGAAACAUUGGUUUGUUUCUUUCUUUUUCAGGAAUUGUAUCAAACAUUUAAAUUCAUUGACUCCAUAAUAUUUAGGUCAGAAAAAUGUCUAUAUUAUCAUUUUAAUAAAAUAAGUGCGUUACAUCUGGUUCCAAACUGAAUAAUCAAAAUACAAUUAUGUUCUUGUACUUGUUGUUCUUUUUAUCUAAUAUAACUCAAUAGAUACAACCUAGUCAAUGGUUUAUAAUUGUCACACUUUUGUUUAAUAUCAAAAAGGUUUGUAUAAAUACAAAGUUGUAACAUACAUCUUGUCAUACAUUUUGACAACGUAAGAAUAUUAUACGUAUCACUUGUUUUUCCUAUUAAAAUACUUUACUUCUAAAUAUGAUGGCUCUCCAUGCCUUUGUUUGUUAGGCGUUUUUGCGAAAUCUGUUUCUUUCAGUUUGAGUUGAUACCUAGAUGUGUAUCCUACUAAUGGAUUUUCAGAACUGCUCAUCCCUCUAUUUUAUGACAUUCCAUAUAAAACUAAUCUUACAAUGCAAAUUAAAGAGAUGUCUGAACGACAUAUAACUUGAUAGGUUUGCACAUUUAUGAAUUUUACCAUAGAAUUUAUUGCACAGUGGAACCACAGUAUAAAAGGCUACACACGUAGUGCAAAAACCAUCAUUAAUAAAAGAGCAUAUAUAUAUAUAUAUAUAUUGUUCGUGUCAUUUUGCACCAUAACAUUAACACUUUCAUCCGAAUGUAUUUGUUUUACGCUUUUAAUCAAUUUUCACGUUAUCUGGCUCUGUCUCUAAAACCCUUUUUAACACAUUACUACCAAGGCAGUGUUCACAAAUUGAUAUGGGUGCCGUUUAUAUCAUAUUUCAUCAUUAAUACAUGUAUACAAUCAAAUAAAGUCAGUAGAUUCCAUGAAAGGUGUUCAAAUCGUGCUUACAUUUUUUAAUAUUACAGUCUCGUUUUCACUUCCUAGUGUUUAUAGGUUUUAUAAUAGUUGAUAAGAUCAUGUUUUCUUAAAGGUCAUCAAAACAAAACGCAACAGUUGUUCCUUUCCCUGUGUCUUCUGUACUAUUAUUUGUCUGUUUGUCGUUUUAUUUUUAGCCAUGGCGUUGUAAAUUAAGUUUUAAUUUAUGAGUUUGACUCUCCCCCUGGUAUCUUUCGUCCCUCUUUCAUAUCAUUUUGCCGAGGAGAAAUCUGUAUAAAAAUUAUAGUUAUUCUUUUACAUAUUAAAUUAAAUGCAAUAAUAUGAAUUCGACCUAUGAGAAAAAAUCCACAGAUUAUGCGAAGUCCUGGAUUUUUAUCCAACGAUUUACAAUUUUUUAUGAUGAAUUGUUUAAAAUUUGAGCUUCAUUUACGAGUCUUAUGUAGACGAAACGAGCGUCCGGCGAACAAAAUUAUGCGUGGUGUGAAUCAGAUGUGUAUACUUAAAAAUUCUAAAGAUCUUUUAGAGUAAAUACAAUCUAACUCUCUUUCAUCUUGUGAUAAUAUUAAAACAUUUGACUUUUUUCACUUUAUACAAGUAUUCCACAUUCCAAACUAAAGGACAUAUUGAAAGAGUUGGUAUUGCUUUGUUUCAUUAAAAAGAAUGGUCAAAGAAGAUACAAGUAUCUUGUCUUAGGAAGGCUUAAAUCCUACUUUGUAAAGGAUCACUCUGAUUCACAAAAAAAAUUCUCUGAAACUGACAUUAUCAAGAUGCUUGAUUUCUUGAUUGACAACAUAUUUGAUACGUUCGGAGGACGUGUUUUUUAAACAGACUAUCGGCAUUCCAAUGGGAACGAAUUAUGCUCCUCUUUUUGCCGACUUGUUUCUUUAUUACUAUGAGGCUGACUUCACACAGGAGCUACUUAGGAAGAAAAAUAAGAAGUUAGCAAUAUCCUUUAACUCUACUUUCCGUUAUAUAGAUGAUGUUCUUUCACUAAAUAAUUCAAAAUUUAGUGACUAUGUUCAACUCAUCUAUCUCAUUGAACUAGAGAUAAAAGAUACAACAGAUACAGUUAAGUCGGCCUCAUAUCUUGACUUACAUCUAGAAAUGACAAUGAGGGUCGAUUGAAAACAAAACUUUACGACAAAAGAGAUGAUUUCAGCUUUUCAUUUCUAAGUAGCAACAUUCCAGCAGCACCUACAUACGGUGUAUAUAUCUCCCAAUUGAUACGAUAUUCCCGUGCUUGCAUUUCCUAUCAUGAUUUUCUUGAUAGAGGGCUGUUGCUCACAAGGAAGCUAUUAAAUCAAGAGUUCCAAAUGGUUGAAAUCAUCACUUCGUAAAUUUUACGGACGCCAUCACGAGUUGGUUGACCGUUAUGGAAUAACCGUUUCACAAAUGAUAUCGGAUAUGUACGUCUUAGCUGCAAUCCCCUUCCCUUUCAUAAAUGUGACCUACCGAAUUAGACUAUUUACCGGUUUGUUAUCUUAUAAGCAACACGACGGGUACCACAUAUGGAGCAGGAUGUGCUUAUCCUUCUGGAGCACCUGAGAUCACCCCUAGUUUUUGGCAUGAUUCGUGUUGUUUAUUCUUUAGUUUUCUAUGUUGUGUCAUGUGUACUAUUGUUUGUAUGUUUGUCCUUUUCAUGUUUAGCCAUGGCGUUGUCAGUUUAUUUUCGAUUAAUGAGUUUGACUGUCCCUCUGGUAUCUGUCGUCCCUCUUUUACGAGGUUUCAUAUAUCACAGAUAAAUUUAAAAAGUAUUUAAAAACUUUCAACCUCCUCAAGCGAAUUUCACCUUAGUGCGUUUGACUUCACCUUCUUGUAUGCCUUUUGGUCAUAUAGAUCAUUCAUAUAUCCUUGGCUUUUAAAUAUUUGAGUUUGAACGUUCCUGGUAAAGAUUUUUUUAGUAAAAUGUAGAAAUAUGAUAGACUUAAUGUAACAAGAAUAAUCUGUCAGUUUCUUAAUAUUUUGUCAUUUCCUAAACACUGUCACUUGAGCUGGGGAAAUCAGGCAGAGAUAUCGAUGGUUAAGGAAAAGUGCAUGCUUCCGAUUACCGUGUCUACCACACGUGCUUCUAAAAUAACUUUCAUCAGGUAUUUGGUAGAAAAAUAGCAUAUGAUUAACACUAUUUAUUUCUUACAGUGAAAUUGAUCUAAUUAUUUAAUCUGUCUAGACGUUUAUAUUUAUCUGAAUGAAAGUGAUCCUCGAAUGCACAGGAUUAACUUUGUAGAAUUCGAAAGUGUCGAUAGGGAUUCAUGUGCUGUUUAAAACAGAGCUGUCAAUAACUAAUUCCAUUACUGAGCCGCUUACAUAUUCAAAUUUUCAUGUUUCUUAUAUACAUUCAAGAAUUGUACUGCUUUAACCUUUUAUGUCAGCGGACAACAAUAGUUCUGUAACGUAGGUAAGACAGUUUACUUGCAACACUUGGAUCUUUGAUUGAUUUAUUGGUAAUCGUUUUAGCAUAAUUUCUGGAUCAUUGAAGAUAGAUACUGCAUGAGAGUCCUUAAAUACACAUUUGAUUUUACUCGAAUCUGGGUCAAAACUCUCAGGGAUUUCCCUCAUUCCGAUUUUUUUUAUCUUUUCUCAUUCACGUGUGUCCCCCGUAUAAUGCAUUUUUUAUAUCAUCUAUAUGUAUUUUAUUUUAAAAAAAAAAAAGAAUUCUUACUCAAUUUUUCUUCUUAUUAGGCAAAAGGUUAUAGUUAUAAAAAGUUAUAGUAUGCAACUUCUUUACGAUGUUGUAAAUAUCAGCAGAUGAGACCAUGGUUGUCAAUGUUGUUCUUUACAGAAAAUGCUUUAUACUAUAAUGAUUCAUUUUUUUUCAUACUAUAUAAUACCACGAAAACCCUCAAAAUGACUAAUGUAAACAAUUCAAACCAGAAAACUCGUUUGUUGGCGCCAAAUCCCCUCUCCUAGAACAUGCAUGUAACAGUACAUCACCAGAACUCGAGCAAAAUAUAAAAUCAGUUGAAAAGGGCUUUAAUCAUCGGAUCGAUAAAAAGGAGAAAAACGUAUAAGAAAAAUUUAUCGGAUGUGGCAAAAUAUGUAUAAUCCGCGAAAGAAAAAAAGCAAGUACAGAUAUGAGAUGACUCGCAGUUACUGACGAAUUGUCCAAAACCAAAGACAACUUAUAAAAAAAACUGUAUCUGCCACUUAAACAUCAACAAGUAGAAAUCCAGCAUUCGAUAUAUUUGGUUAAUGACGUUAUUCUCUGUCAGAGAAAACAUAACCUUGCUUUAUGAUGAUUGCUUUAUUGCAAAUCAUACCAUAUUUCUUGACUAUUCCAUGAUUUCAACAUAUAUGGUACUAGUGGUUCAUACUGAUGGGGAGUGGUCUGUCUGUUCUUUCAAUCGUUUGUUGUACAGAUUUUGUAUUUGCAACUUCACCUCAACUGUUUGAAAAAACUUUGUAAAACUUUCACAGAAUCAUUCCGACAUAAUGUACUAAUUCGCAUUUUUCUUUCAUUUCUUUGACUUGCUGAAUUUUGUAGUUUAUUUUGAGACGAACUUUCAUAUCUGCAAACUAUACUACACAUUAUAUUAUAUUUAUCCUCCUUAACAACUCAUUAUUUGAUGAAACUUUUACAGAAUCUUUGCCAUAUCAUGCCAAUGUGCACCUACUAUAUUGCUGUGUUUUUAGUCUGAAUUAUUGUUUUUUACUUUCAUUUAUAUGUGUCACGGUAAUUUUUAAUGCAUUUAAUGACAAUUAACUGUAAACCAAAUGAAAACCGUUACAUAUACAGAUUAAUGAAAACAACGUUAAGGAGCAGAAAUGCUGACGUCUUGGUUCUGUUAUAUACCUUUUAUAUAUAUGAAACAAAAAUGAAGGUGAAAAUAUAAACGCUUCAUUCAUCUAAAAAUGGAAUUACAGUACUUUUUAGUGCUUAAGUUUGAGUGAAGUUAUGUCGAUAAAUUUCUCAUUCUGAUUCUGCAUUUCCGAGAUAUUCGUUCAGAACUAUAUCUUUUCCAUAUAUCAGUGAUUAGACUGCUGGAAUCAUGACUUUAAUGAUUGUAAUUGCUCUGAUAGAUUGUCUGUUUCGUUUCUUAUUGUAGGCGGUAAUGAUGUACGUUUAAUCAAAGUCUCUUUAUUUUGUUUUAGAGUCAAUUAUUUGAAAGAAGGUGCACUCUUCUGGGAUAAAUUUGAAAUUAGUUUUAAAACCGUGUUCACCGAUAAAUUUAAUUCGGUUACGCAUAUCAAUAAAUCUAAAAAUAGAUACAAUCAAGAGAAAUUGUUAUUACUUGAACUAUAUCAAGUGUUUGCCCAAAACAAAGCUGUCGAUUCCUUAAAGAGGCACUAGCUACAUGUACGAGAUAUAAUGUAAAAUAUGAUAUUUUUGGGGGAUCAAAGAAUCAUUGAUGAAAGUGAAAUAGUGAAAUAUCAACUCGCUUUUAGCAGUAAGUUUCUUUGCAUUUUGUCAAAAUAAGCUAAGCCACAUUGAUGAUGAAUAGUCACUCGCAAGUGAAUAAUUCGACCUCAUUGAAACCGUAUUUAUGUAAAAUUCAAUUCGACCCCUUCGACAGGUAACGCAUGAAUUGUGCGUGUUUAUUGAAUGUCAACAUUGAAAGUGAAACAAAUGUAACAAAUCAUUUGAUUGACUGCUUCGAUCCACAAAAAAAAACAUUCUACUGUUAAAAACGAUGAUUAACAUAUAUUUUGAUUCUUUAUAUAGAAUUAAACAGAAAAAGAUACUUUGUGGUUUAUUUUGACAUGAAAUUUGACAUAUCUGCAAAAUUAUACUACCCAUUGUAUUAUGUUUCUCCUCCUAAAAAACUCAUAAUUUAUGUGUAUCUUAGAGUAUAUUUCUGUUUUUAUUGCUAAUGUAACCAUUGGAGGUCUUCGACGAUCAAACUUGAUAGUUAAUAAGAUGGUGUCUAAACUAAAAUACACAUAACAAAGCUACAUCUUAUCGAGUCCAUGCCCUGUAAAUUGUUUAUUUCAGACUUUUUAUAAUUUAGAUAAAUGUUUUACGUUGUUAUGAAUCGAAUAUGAAAUGUGAGUAAAAUCGGUGAACAUGAAUUCGACAGCUAGUACCCCUUUCAAGGUUCGUAUUGAUUUAUGAUGAUUGAAAUUAGUUAAAAUUAAACAAGAGAAAUAAGGCCGAUUUCCCUUGAUUUUACUCAACACAAGAGUCAGAUUCAAACAGUCUUUAUAUCUUUAAAAAAAACAACAAAGUGUGUCCUUAAAGGUCUUAACGCUAAAACGGCCGAUUUCUAAACAGAUCAUCAAAAAGUAAACGCCUGACGAUAGCACAACAUCUUUUUUUAAACAAUUUUGAGAGAUGUGUGGCUGAUUUUGAGUACUUCUUGAGUAUUUCUUCAUAUGACAUCGUUAAAUAAAACAAAUGUUAAACUAUUUAUUGUCAUUUGAUAAGUGACAUUCCGUUUUAAAUUUUCCUUGUAGUUCGGUAUAUUUGUUAUUUUACUUUUGAUAAACGAUGUCUUUCUUUUUUAAAUUAAACAAAAACAUUUAAAUUUUGCAAUUUCGUUUAAUACAAAUACUUUUACACACAAAUUCUGCAUUGAUUUGACUAAUAAGAUUACCAUAAAUAAAGGUCUUUUAGAUUUUUAAAUUGAAAGACUCGAAGAAUAUGAUAACAUUUUGCCAAUGAGUUGUGUACAUUAUUACAGUAACUUUUUAGAUUUGUGACAUACCUGAUUUAGAAUUCUUCACCGUUAGGCUGUUCUGACAGAUAUUCUUUUUCCGUUGAUCUUUUAAGAUAAAGCAUUCGUUCGCGCGACGCUAAACCUCUUGGUCGUAGUUAACAUUAUAUUGCAAUCGCUUAACCAAGACAAGAGAUUCAACCAGCACUGAUACCAAAAGAUCAAAAAUUUAUGACUUUAAAAGUUUUCUUAGUUGUUGCGUUCACUCAGAUGUUGAUGAAAACAAGUUACUGUCACAGUAAGAUCGAUCUACUGGCACUUCUAAUAAACUAUUCAUACAUAUUUUUUUUCAUUUCGAUAGGUAACUUUUUUUCUUAAUUGUGACAAAACAUCUUUUCUUGAAAGAAAAGGUAAUGUAAGACAGUUUUGCUCAUACAGUUCUAUCUAUAAAGUACAUUAGGCAUUCAAACUUUCAACUUGACAUAUUGAACUAAAAAUGUAUCACUUUUGAAAGUCUAUAUUUCCUGAACAAAAGAAUAAAAUGGACGUGUUUUGACUUUUGCUCUUCUAUAUUGCAAAUUUAUUAGGUAAUAAAUUAGUUAAAUUAUAUUGUUCGUUUCAAUUACUGACAAAGUUACAAUAAAGUUGAAGCGAGAACCAACAAUUUAAACAUCAUUCGUGCUAUUUUGCUAAGUUUAUAGUAAGCACUGGUAUCAAUAUUCACAAUUCUAGACAUUGCACGGCAACCAUCAUGCGAUGGCACGAUUCUUGUUGUAUUUUAUUGUCUUCGUUCUGUAGACAGUACACGUAAGCUCCCAUGCAAUCCAUUAAUGAUUAUGUCUGGCCUUAUAAUUAUGGUCUGUCCUUAUCCUUUUUUUCUAAUAAAUCAAACAUAAAAGCACAACGCAAUACUUUUGUUUCUGAUUCGUACAUUAGUAAAACAAAAACAAGUUAUAAAGAUACAAAAAUAAAAUAAUAUAUGAACAAGUUGUAUAUAUAUAACUGACACACACAAAAAAGCAGAAAUUUCAAUCAAAAUUGAAUUGUUCAGUGGGUUUGAAACAUUUAUUUUCGAUGCAGUCGAUGUAGUUUCUUAUUCUUUACGUUUGACCUUGAUUAUGCGAAACUAUGGCUUGGGAGUUGUCGCUAAUCUGUAACAGUCUGUUCUCCGAUUGCACUUCAGUUAAAAAAUAUAGUGAUCCACCACUUUUCGCGUGUAGCAAAAUUGUGAGUUUUAUUCCAAUGUAGUUUUUCUAAUCUAGUAUGUUUAUGAUAAUUAAAAUUUAAAAAGAAAUGAUAUUUGUUAUGAUUGUUAUUAUAUCAUGUAUUGAAGUGUCAUGGUUUUGGAAAUUUUACUUCGUUUUCUGUAUACGAGUGCUUUUCAAAUAAGUACUUCCCUAGUGGUAUGCUGUUGUAUUAGCAACUCGUCAUUACAGUUUCAAGAAAAUCAUAUGGGUAUUCCCUUUCGUCAUGCUACAGUGUAAUUUCUGUGUAAGAAUAAUAAAUGCUCUAACUUACAUUUAUUGCAAUGUUUUUCUAAACAGAGACUUAAAGCACUUAUUGACCAUUCAAAGGGAUGGUUACUAGUAAACGUUGUGUCCCAUUUAACUAUUAAUGCUAUUUAUGUUUAAAUUACUGACAACAACAAAAAGUUCGGCCAAAUGCAAGUGACAAAUUCUCAUAAAUAUUCAAUGGAUCAAGAUUCUCUUUUGCCAUGCAAAAUCGGAAGACAAGAUAAGCUACGAGAUGAUAUUGUAGGAAAUUAUUAACAGUAAGUCUGUCUGAAAAUAACUAAAGCUAUCCAUAUUUUUACAUCAAUUUAUGUAUACAGUUUUGUACUGUUUGUUUUACAAAUCUAUUAUAUAUACUUCUAGUAAAAACAGUAUUAAUUUAAAGUAGUACUUCCGUUAAAAGACUUUGUAUAAACAUCAAUUUGACUGCUGUUUAGAGAGAGCAAUUCACAGCAAUUAUGGCAUUAGGAAAUAUGACGAUGCAAAUAUGUGUUUAUUUAUCAGAAAACAUAAGACUUUAUUCAUUCCUAUACAAUUUACUUAGGUAAUAAGACAGUACUUACCUUACCAUAAUUGUUCACCAGCCGCCAUUUGAACCUUUGGCUGUAGAAACCAUUUAUAAACUUUCGUCAUCGGUAUCAAUUUUCCCAGUAUGAAUUGUUUGUAUAAAGGUGGAAUUAUAUUUCAUAGGUGAAUAGUUGAAGGAAACGUUCGUGUUUUGACAAUAAUUGUAUACAAAUUGGAGUUUGGGUUUGCAUGAAAAAAAGGGAUGAAGUCACAUUGAAAACCACAACAACCAGUUUCUCAAAAUACUGUGCUCACAAAUUUAACUCCUGGAAAUAUCAUUCAAGUAUCAAUUGAAUUCGAUCGUCUAGGUGCAAAUUUACGUUGAUGAUUUUUGUCAACAAAGACUCUCUGCUCGUAGUCCUGUUUAAUGAGUUUACUUUGUAGAAACAACUUUACAGUUUUUUGGUAUUUAGUAAAGGUUUGUACUUAGUUUUGGAUUUUAAAUAUUUUUUUGAGACAUUUGUUGUCGAAGUGAGCCUCUUUUGCAGUAAAAUUUGUACCGUAAAUGGUAUAACUUCCACUUGGUCGAUAUAUCUUCUCGAUAUAUGAACGUCCUGUAGAGUAUCACCAGCCCUGUAUACAGUACUUUAGUACUGGCAUAACAUACGGAUAUUAUUAUUUUGUAAAACCUAUUAUAACGUCUUUGAAAUUAUUGUAAAGUAAGCAAUGUAUAGCUCUGAUUUGUGUCCGUCUUUAGUUUAACUUUGGUCUUUUUUUGUGUUUUGUCUUUUCAGCUCUUCAACGUUAGCAUUAGUAUAGUCCGGCAGAUAGGUGCAAUAUAUGAAGGAAUUGUGCAUAUAUGUUUUGAUUUCAAAAAUUCUAUCUACCUGCCUGCUAUCAAACGCACCGUACAAACACCGUGUAUUUCGUUAGGUUGAACAACCUGUCGUAGUUGACUCGGUUGCCUUAAAGUUGUUCUCCUUUUUUACAAUUGCAUUUCUAGGCUUUAAUUUCCUACUAUUUUGAACAAUUUACACAUAAUUGAAUUUCAGCGGUUUUCAAGCAUCAAGAUCAAUAAACUAAAACCACGAUAAUUAAAAAAAUUACAUGUUUAUGUUUUAAAACUUUUCCUUAUAAAUAUACUAAGGGUCAAUAGAAACGCAACCCUAACAUGUAUUUUCAAGCUUAUAAAAAUUCUAACCGACAUUUCAAUUUUGGAAAUUGACCAAUCGUUUUAUGGUUUCUGUUUUUCAAUGAUAUGGACAACGAAUUCCACGAAUUAAAAGAGUUUUUUUUUCAAUUUUCAGAUUAAAAACGUAUAAACGUUUCUAUCAAAUACUUGAAUUUACACUUUGGAUGGAAAAUUCCUACAAUAGGGAACCCUGUAGUAAAUGUUAUCGCCAAGUAAUAAAGAUAAACAAUUUACCUUUGCAUUUGGUCAGAAACAUAAAAACCAUACAUGCACAUGUCUCUGGUUUGGUGUAGUAUGGCGACAUUUAGAAUGAAUUGUUUUAGCUUUAGCACCGAUGCUUAUACGACUUAUUGCAAAAUUGUGAAGUAUAAAAUGGUCGAUACGUGACCAAGCUCUUAAUAAAACUUGUACAUAAAUGCACGGCAAGAAGAAAAUAGGAUUCAAAAGGGGCUUAGACUAUGCUGUGUUGCGUUCCCAUCGGUAUUCAGUAUAUAACAAUUUCAUUUACAUUGUUUCACAGUUUAAAGCAUCACCGCACUUAAUGCUCGAAGGACAAUUGAUUGGAUACUUGUGGUGGUUUGUCACGACUUUUUUAAUAAGUUGUACAUGUAUUAUCAAUGUAAUGUCAACGAAGCCUUAGAAAAUUAAGACAUGCCUGACUUAAUGUAUUACAAUACACGAAAUAUAAUUAUAUUGUUAUUCCUACGAACAACAAAUUUCCAAAUAAUUUUAAAAAUAUUCCGUAGAGAUUAUGCACGUUGGAUGUAAUGAUUCAGUGAGAUGUUGAAAGAUAUAUUUUUAUUUUGCGCAUGCUCUUCGUGUCCUUAAUGUACUAGUAUUUGUUACCGCUGUAGGCGUACUCAUUUGCGUUUAAGUCUAGGGAAACAUGGUUAAUUUAUAAUUUAUAUUUUUUUUAUUAUGAAUUAGCUUUUAGUAUAGUGAGUGUUCUUAGACCAGAGUUCUCUUAGGUCAGUACAUUAUGUGUUUUGUUUUUUGAUAGUUGUUUUGUACACAGUAUCGGUCUGUUGGGAUAAGUCCAUUCUAAUUAAGAUUAGACUACUGUAAUGCUGUGCUAAUACACCACUGUCCCAUAUUAAUGGAUGUUUGACAGCUCACAAACAUGUUAACCCCACCACAUUAUGCAUAUGCUUGACCUAGGAGCCUGAAGUAUAGUUCUGGUGGAUGGUUUCCAUCUGUCAUAACUAAUAGUUAUUAAAUCGCUGAAUAUUAUUGGUUUGAAUCAAGCCGUUGGUCUCGGAUGUAUCGUAAUUUGUUAUCAGAUUUCCUUCAAAGCUUACUCUACUGGUACAGACUUGCUAUUAACCAUGGUAUGUGUCUGUGAACAGCAUUUUCUCUUUAUUAUAUUUUUCUUUUUUUAUCUUUAUUCUUUUUUUUUACAAAGGUAUUCUAAGAAUAAGUUCCGCCGUGAUCCAAAAGUUGUGUUGCACAAAAUGCAUCAUAUUACAAAGGAUUAACUACAAUAUUAGAUAUUCUUGCUAUAUAAAUGUAUUUCUAUUGGAUAUUGUCCUUUGGUCUUGACGCAAUGUUUACCGUUUUUUAAUAGUGCGAUGAUGCUUAAACAAUACUAAUGACACUGUAAUAGUGUUAAAAUAGAGUUAUGUUCAUCAAAGUAACACAUUAAAGGCAUGAUUUAAAUUGAAUUCUUACAUAUAAUUCAUAACCAAUCGGAAGCAAUCGUGUGCGAAAGAUCAUUAUGUUUUCAUCAGUACGGAGGAGAAAAAAUAUAUGAUUUGAUUUGAAUGUUCUUCAGUAUGUUAUUGUUGUCCUCAUGAUAUACGAUUUAAAAAAUACAAUAGUACCAUGUUAAUAAAGAGUUUACAAGAAGGGCGAAAGAUACCAGGGAGACAUUCAAACUCAUAGAUAGAAAAUAAACUGACAACGCCAUGGCUAAAAAUAAAAAGACAAACAGACAGAUAAUAGUACACAAGACACAACAUAGAAAACUAGACUAAGCAACACGAAUCCCACCAAAAACUUGGUGUGAUCUCGGGUGCUCCGGAAGGUAAACUGACCCUGCUCCACAUGUGGCGCCCGUCGUGUUGCUCAUGUUUUUAGAAACUCGGUAAUUAGUCGUAUUCGAUAGGUCACAUUCGUGAAAAGGGAACGGGAUGGUGGUUACGACUACACUGUACAGGUUUUUCUCAUUAUUGAAUAUCAUACGGUUGCCUAUAAUUAGAAUUGCAAAUGUAAACGAGGAAUAUGUCAAGGAGACAACAAACCGACCAACGAGCAGAAAACAGUUUAAUGCCACCAAUAGGUCUUCAACGCAGGGAGAAAAUCCCGCACCCGAAAGUAGGUUUUAUCUGGACCCUAAUCAAUAAUGAAUACAUUUACUAGUUGUUCUUACAUCUACUUUAUUUUAACUCGUGUGAAUAUUUGUUUUUUUGGCAAUUAUACCACAUAUCCUUAUUUUUAUGUUUACAAACAAUAUUCAAUAUUAAAUAAACAGUUAAGAAUUCAGUCUUGACAAACACCUUUUUUUUUUUAUUCAAAUUAAUGUAUCGUUUCCUUUCUCCCUUAUUGUUGGCAAUUGCUUGGUUUUUUUGUUAAUACAAUUCAAUUCAAUUCUUUAUUACUUUAAGCACAUCAUGCUUAUCAGUUCAAUAAAUACAAAUAUAUUUUUUAUAACACAACAUGACAUAAUACACCAGAGAAGCAAAUAAAUAUCAAGUAUUGACCAAUAACAGUUCGGUCCUAUGAUUAAGUGCAUUAAACAAGAAUUUACACAUAUUACGCUAAUCUUUUACAUUUUCAGUGCUGAGAAGAAAUAAGACAGGAAUGUUUUCAUUUCUAAUGUUUUCCAAUUAUGUAAUUUCCAGGCUUUGUCCCUUAGAAAGUGAACAUGGUAAUAUCCGUGAUAUUGCAUAAACUGAAAAUGAUUAUUACUUUAUUCAUGUUUGUAAUUACUAUAAAACAUGUUUUUAAAAAAGAACAUGAAAGGUAAAUGCUGGUGUUUAUUCCCAAUCAGGGUUAAUUAACAGUCUUCUAUUCAAAUUACUUUCCUGAAACAAGUUUAAAAAAAAACUUUACAGUCUUCAUUUAAAAUAAUUAUAAUUGUUUCAUCUCGUUUGUACAAUGAACGAUAAUAAAUACUAAAAAUCCGGUAUUUGGAUGCAUUACAAAUUAGUAUCAUCACAACACAACAUAACGGAACAUAAUAAACUAUUCAUUUCCGGAAUUGAUUAAUUGAUUGAUUAAUUUAUUUCAUCAACUGAUUGAUUGAUUGAUUGAUUGAUUAAUUUAUUUCACCAUACAAGGGGUGUGGUGUUAAGAGAAUCUAUAUUAAAGGGGUUUUAUUUAUUAAGUUAUCAAUAAAAAAUAAAGUUAAUGUUUAAAAUUUCCCUUGCUAAAAACAAUAUCUCAUCCUACAUUUAAAUUUCACCAGACUCAUAACAAUUAUGAAAGGUACCAGGAUUAUAAUUUAAUACGACGGACGCGCGUUUCGUCUACAUAAGACUCAUCAGUGACGCUCAGAUCAAAAUAGUUAAAAAGCCAAACAAGUACAAAGUUGAAAAGCAUUGAGGACCUAAAAUUCCUAAAAGUUGUCCCAAAUACGGCUAUGGUAAUCUAUUCCUGGGAUAAUAAAAUCCUUAGUUUUUUCAAAAUAUUCAAAGUUUUGUAACAGGAAAUUUAUAAAAAUGACCAUAUAAUUGAUAUUCAUGUCAACACCGAAGUGCUGACUACUGGGUUAGUGAUACCCUCGGGGACGAAACGUCAACCAGCAGUGACAUCGACCCAGUGGUGUAAACAGUUAGGUAGAUUCAGAUUCAAUAGUUUAUUAAGUAUCACCACAUACAACAUGAUUAAAACAAGAUACAAUUAUAAUAUUAAAUACACAGCAUUUUUAGCCAUGGUGUUGUCAGUUUGUUUUAGAUUUAUGAGUUUGACUGUCCCUUUGGUAUCUUUCGUCCCUCUUUUACCAAUGUGGUAAUUAAUAAUGUUUAUAAAUCUAGUUGUCAAAUUUUAAGAUAUCUUAUCUGAUGACCUAAUUAUUAGAAUUGGUGCCAAGGUUCAACAUGCUAACUGUUUUUAAAUAUUCUUUACCAAAUUCAAAGGCACUUCUUAAUUCUUUCUAUAAAUUUAUCAAAGAUAAAUUGAAUUUGCCUAGGCUUAAUCUAGAUAUCAACUAUUAUGUUUUCAUUUUAGACAUGCAUUGAGUAUUCAAAAACACUUAGUGAUCAUUUAUCAUUUUCAUAAAAAGAAGCAUUCCUUUGUUGGGAAAUAUCAGCACUUAUGGUAACUAAUAGUCGAUUUCAGACAAUGCAAGCGUAAACAUUGUAAUUACUGAGCCGUAUUUGGCACAACUUUUUAGCUUUUUGGAUCCUCAAUGUUCUUCAACUUUGUACUUGUUUGGCUUUAUAACUAUUUUGAUAUGAGCGUCACUGAUGAGUCAUAUUUGGACGAAACGCGCGUCUGGCGUAUAUAUUAAAUUUAGUCCUUGUAUCGAUGAUGAGUUUAUUUAUAAUCCAGGUACCUUUGAUAACUAUUGAAGGUCGUAUUUGAAAAAAAACAAUUUCAUUAGGGUAAGUUUCAAAUUCAAUUUUAGUAAUCCCCAAUAUUUAAAAACAGUAUUAAGUUAUUUCUGUCUUCUUUACAUAUUAUUUAAUCAUCCAAAUUUCAUUAUGAAAUAGUAAAUUGAAUAUAUCAUAUAUUUGACUUCGUCUUUUUUAUACAUCAUGUUUAUGAACGCAUGGUUAUUUUGAGUUUUAACUUAACAUAAAACGUUUGUUAGUCAUGAACAAUUUUGCAUAACUUAUGAUCAAUUUUAGUCGUAAGAUGUCUUUGUGAAAGGCAAACCUGUUACCUAUUUUUACUAGCCUAACUGUUUUCUAACUUGACCGGCAUUGCUAUUAGAUAGUUAAGAGGGUGUCCAUGGAAAAACCAGGCAGUGGAUGGCACAUGACAUAUUUUGUUUUCAAUUUUUUUUUUCAUCUAUUUCAUAUCACAAAUUCAUUCUUUCUCAAAGUUAAAUUUUUUUUUUAUUAACUGCAACAAGUAAAAAGAAAAAAAAUACAUAGAAAGCACUGAAAAUUCAUUGAAAAGGGGAUAUAACUCUUCAUUUUGUACACAGUUUUGUUGCGUUGUUAGUGAACUUUAAAAUCAUUUUCUGAGCCAUCCACUGUUGAUUCAAAAAUAUCUUUAACAUAUAUCUCCUUUGUAUGAUAUAAACAUUGCAUUGGAACCAAAAAUUCAGUGGGGAAAAAUUUAUUUUGUGCCAUCCAUAUCAUAGGAUUUGCCUGAUAUUUACUUGGACAGCCUCUUAAAAAUUCUCCAUAUCAAUUGCUUACUUUACUGGCAUUGAUGUUUGCAAACGGAACCCGCCUUACCAAUUGCUAAUUUGAAUGGCAUUGCUGUUUGCUUACUUAACUCGCCUUUCCAAUUGCUAAUUUGACUAACAUUGUUGUUUGUUAACUUAACUCGCCUUACCAAUUACUAUCUUUACUGGUAUUGAUGUUAGCUUACUUAACUCGCCUCACCAUUCGUAAACAUGACCGGCAUUGAUGUUUGCUAACUUAACUAGCCAAACCAAUUGUUAAUUUGACUGGACAUUGAUAUUGAUUAUAUCGAGCAAUCAAUUUUACUAAUUUGUUUAUUCUUUUUUAGUGGAUUGAAACUUUGCUUUAUCUAAAAUUAACAAGACAACUAAAGUUGAUAUCAGAUAUAAAUAUAACGACAUCGGCAAUAUAAAAAUAAGUUUCAGUAUGAAAUAAAACAUGCCAACGAAUUUGCAAAUAAAAGGAAUAUAAAAGGUGACCGAUUGAAUUUGAAUAAUCUCAUUUAAAAGAGGAAAAUCGUGGGAAGCAAUAAUAUUUAAAAGUAUAAAAACCAGAUUAAUUAGACAUAACUACCCUAACAUCCUGAGGUCAACGAGUUGCAAGCUUGACUAUGUAUUUGUUACAAUAACCUGAAAAUAUGAAUUAGAAUAUGUCAUAUGUGGAAUAUUCUGCGGUUGCAUGUUAAUAUCCUUGAAUAUAAUUGGAGAGCUAAAUGCCUUUUCGUAAUCUGUUUAACCAUGUCAAAAGUCUCUUCUUAGAAGAAUAUGUUUCACUCUAACGUAUGUGUGAUGUUAUGCCUAUGCGGUUAGUGACUUUGAAGAUCGGUACAAGAUAGGAUUAAACGGUUUAUUUUGCUGAAUCAUUAGCUAACAAAAUGAAAAGAAAGACUUCCGUGACUUAGUUUGAGACACAUUCAUUAAAAUAAGUCAAAUUAAAUAGUAGAAGAUUCAAUUUGGGUUUCAUGUUCAUGCUUAAGCUAGCAAUGGGUUAUAAUGUACGAUUAUAGGUAGAUGCACUGUUUCACUUUCAUAUAACUAUUUGUAAUGGUUUAAAUGUAUAUAUUAAUUGAAAAAAAAGCAACAUAACAAAUAAAGUAUAGGUUAAGAUCAAAUACAAUGAAAAGUAGUAAAAUCGUCUUUUCCUGCAUUUUGAGGUUCACCAAAUGUCAACUGAUAAAUUUAUUUUUACAAUAUGAACCUUAAAGUUAGCGUUAAUAACUGAGGGUAUCACCAACCCAGUAGUCAGCACUUAUGUGCUGACAUGAAUUGUCAUUGAUAUGGUCAUACUUAUAAAUUAACUGUUUACAAAACUUUUGAAGUUUUGAAUACUUUAGGCGUUUCUAUCUCAUGAAUAGAUAAACUUAGCUGUAUUUGGCAAUUUUUUUAGGAAAUUUGGUCCUCAAUGCUCUUCAAGUUCGUACUUUAUUUGGCCUUUUUAACUUUUUUGGAUUCGAGCGUCAUGAUGAGUCUUUUAUAGAGGAAAUGGGCGUCUGCCGUAAAUACAAAAUUUAAUCCAGGUAUCUAUGAUGAGUUAAUUAAUAGGUAUUGAAAACGUAAGUUAUCAAAUAAUGAAGUAUGCAAAUUAUAUGGAAAUGACAUUUUUUUCAAAAUGGUACAUAUAAAAAAUUACUCGAUCUCCAUUUGAAACUCUUGAAAGAGAAUCAAAUAAAGGUUUCAAAAGCAUCUAGAUUGAUAGAUUGAUCAAUAGUUUUUGCUUUACGACACCUCAUCAGCAAAAUUAUUAUAUCAUUCCGAACAAAGUGCCGGUUGAUUUGCAUUUUGCACUUAUAGCAAUAUCAAUGUACAUUGUAUACAAUUAUUUCUAUUUGGUAAUCAAUAAUUUAAAAGUAAAAAAGCAUAUAUGUAUAUCAUCUUCCCGAUAUUUAGAUGGAGGUUUACGUGUUCUGGUUUUAUGCAAAAGAUCGCCCGUGUUUUUACCUUUCAUAUUGAGAAAUGGUAUCCCCUAACUAGAGGCUCUCAAGAGCCUGUGUCGCUCACCUUGGUCUAUGUGCAUCAAUGGACACAGAUAAAUUCAAGACAAAAUGGUGUUUUGGUGAUGGUAAUGUGUUUGUAGAUCUUUCUUUACUAAACAUUCUUGUUGUUACAAUUAUCUCUAUCUAUAAUGAACUUGGCCCAGUAAUUACAGUGGAAAAUAUUUCCUAAAAAUUUACAAAUAUUUCCUAAAAAUUUACAAAUAUUUCCUAAAAAUUUACAAAAAUUUACAAAAAAUUAUGAAAACUGUUAACAAUUGACUAUAAAGGACAAUAACUCCUUAAGGGGUCAAUUGGCAAUUUUGGUCAUGUUGACUUAUUUGUAGAUCUUAUUUUGCUGAACAUUAUUGCUGUUUACAGUUUAUCUCUAUCUAUAAUAAUAUUAAAGAUAAUAACCAGAAUCUGCCAAUUUUUCUUAAAAUUACUAAUUCAGGGGCAGCAACCCAACAUCAGGUUGUCCGAUUUGUCUGAAAAUUUCAGGGUAGAUAGAUCUUGACCUGAUAAACAAUUUAACCUCGUGUCAGAUUUGCUCUAAAUGCUUUGGUUUCAGAGAUAUAAGCCAAAAUCUACAAUUCACCCCUAUGUUCUAUUUUUAGCCAUGGUGGCCAUCUUGGUUGGUUGGCCGGGUCACGCCACAUCUUCUUUAAUUGAGAUACCCCAAUAAUGAUAGUGGCCAAGUUUGGUUAAAAUUGGCCCAGUCGUUUCAGAGGAGAAGAUUUUUGUAAAAGAUUACAAAAAUUUACGAAAAAUUGGUCAAAAUUGACUAUAAAGGGCAAUAACCCCUAAAAUGGGUCAACUGAUCAUUUUGGUCAUGUUGACUUAUUUGUAGAUCAUACUUUGCUGAACAUUAUUGCUGUUCACAAUUUAUCUCUUUCUAUAAUAAUAUUCAAGAUAAUAGCCCAAAAACGGUAUGUGUUCCUUAAAAUUGCCAAUUCCUGGGCAGCAACCCAACAACGGGUUGUCCGAUUCGUCUGAAAAUUUCAGGGCAGAUAGAUCUUGACUUGAUAAACAAUUUAACUGCGUCAGAUUUUCUCUAAAUGCUUCGGUUUCAGAGUUAUAAUCCAAAAUCUACAUUUUACCCCUAUGUUCUAUUUUUAGCCGUCGCGGCCAUCUUAGUUGGUUGGCCGGGUCACCGGACACAUUUUUUAAACUAGAUACCCCAAUGAUGUUUGUGGCCAAGUUUGGUUAAAUUUGGCCCAGUAGUUUCAGAGGAGAAGAAUUUUGUAAAAGUUAACGACGACGGACGACGGACGACGGACGACGGACGACGGACGCCAAGUGAUGAGAAAAGCUCACUUGGCCUUUUAGGCCAGGUGAGCUAAAAAGCCAAUCGCUUUCUAAAUUAGUUUGACUAUAAAUUAUGCUAUAAUAAAUUUACAACAAUGAAAAUAAAGGAUGUGGAAUAAACAUCAAUGACACAAAACCAGUAUAUGCACAACAAACAUAAUACACAUCUCAUAAAGGUAAGGGAGUCGUACCAAAUAUCAAUGCUUUUCAUGAAACUACUUUUAAUAUUUAACUUUAAAUAGCAUGUUACUUGUCUGUCUACGGUAAUGUUUCUUUUUUGGACAAUACCUAUUUCAUAUUGAAGGAUUUUCAUUCGAACUUGAUCGCACUCUUACGGGUUGCAUGUUUUUGCAACUAAUGGUUAACCAAAAGACUUGAUUGUUAUACGUUCUUUAAGGAAAUACAUAUAAUGUCUUGCAAUAAUAUGCACCAUUACAUGACGCUCCUUGACAAACUGAUUUUUUUUUUUGCUCUGAAAUUGAAAAAUAGUGUUAUAGGGAAACAUAAUGAUUCUAAGAUCAAACUUUGUGUGAAUUAAUUACAUUUUGUGCAUGUCUCGUUCAUAUAUGCUGUAACCAAAACUACCCAAUGAAAUGAUAGAAAAGUAUGAGUUCAUACAGAGAAGGUUUUGCUAUAAUAUAACAAAUUCCAAAAUUUAGAUAUUUAUUCUUUGACAACAUUUUACUAAAAGUUUAUUGUUAUACAUUAUCUGUAAAAUAGGAAGUUUCAUAGGCAGAACCAGUGUUUCUUUCAUUUAUAGUAUGAAAAUUUUUAUUGAAGUUAUGUAACAAAUGGGCAUUUCGUCAUACAUGCAUAAAGACAAUAACUGUUUAGUGUCUUUAAAUAUCAGCUGUAUUUGUACGAGGCUAGGAAACAAGGUGUAUGCGAGCUUUUAGCGAGGCUUUACCAAAUAGCUGUAUUUGACUAUUGCAUCGAUUUGUUCCUUUGAGGCGAGUAGUAAUAUCACAAUACAUAAAGAAUCAUCGCUCAAUGUGAAUAAUUAUCUAUUUUAACAUAACAACUAAUUUCAACAGUAAAAAUAAAUAACAAAACAUUGUCAAAUUUGAAACAGAAGUGUACGAGUUGUCCUACGCUUCAGACUUGACUUUCACUAAACAUGCAUGCUGAAAUUGACAUGGUUGAUUUUGUUACACAAUCAUACACAUUCAAGUUUUGAAAUCGACAAUCGUCAUCGUCAUUGGAAUACAACUGGAAUACACAUUCUGAGGUCACACAGGUUCAAACAAUACUCAGUCCGGCAGUGGGCGGAGCUUUAAAGCGAUAUUUAUACUACAUUUUAGAUUUUAGUGCAACAUCGUUCGAAUGAGGAAUGCUUUGACUAUGUUUUCUAUCAGUUUCAUUCGAAUUGAGAUAAAAAUGUUGUAUUUUAAUCCUGACAGUACGGUUAUUAUAAAACUAUAAUUGUUAAGACAAUGAUCGUCCUAACCCUGUAUGUAAUAUUUGCCACUGGACACUAAGUAAACAUCAAUAAAUCAAUCAAGACAAUGAACGUAACGACAAAGAUAAAUAUGGAAAAUAGUUUUUUGACCUUAUUAUGUUUAUAUUACUGUAAUUACGCGUGUUUUAAUAUAUAAAUACCCACAACAACCGUUUCAUGAAUAACAAUACGAAAAAUGGGGGAUUUGUCCUUUGUUUGCUGUCGUCAAUACUAUCAAACCUGCUGUUUUUAUGACAAUCAUAUGUAGAAAUUAGAGCUCGUUUUCUUUUAUUAUGUUUAAUGAAAAUCAAUGACAAACAAGAUAUUGACUUAAUUAAUCAGGCUGAGAAACGUAUAAAAUUCACUUUCAUAACUACUAGAACACACCCGUGAUAUCGCGGAUCCGUGACUGAAUUAAAGUAUAUAACUAUGCGCAAGCCUUAUUUUAGUAUUAGUAUUGUCAUCUGAUAAAGUCAUGCCGAUUAUAAGAUACACAGUUUUCUCUGCUUUCAAAUCUUUCUGUUUGAACCCGUCGAACUGGAACUUAUCAAUUAUUGAUAAUAUUAAUUAUUUGGAAAACAAAAGGUCCUGGAAUGGAGUAUUUUUUAAUCAACAGCAUUGUCCUAUAUUAGUUAUAAAUAAAGUUGAAUUCUUUGAUUCGCUGUUUUACGUCAUGCCCGCUAACAAAUUGAAAACUGUACCUAUAUAUACGCCUUAUUUUAAGUCCAGAUUUUUAGGAUUCGUAUUGUUAUCUUAGAAAGUCUAACUGCUUAAAAUACUACAAUAGGUAACAAUUUGACAAUAAAGUAGUGUCAACCCUGUGAUUAUGACCCGUGUAAUACUAUAUAGCAUAUUAAUCCUGUAUACACCGUUUGGUGGUGCGCCUGUCAGAUGCGGAACGUACAGAUAAGGUAAUCGGUCACAGGUGAAUAUACUAUUGAUAUCGAUAUCGGACUCGACCAGGAACUUCUUAAUUAUUGGCAAUAUUAAUUACGUGGAAAAUAAAAGGGCCUGGAGUGGUGUAAUUUUUAAUCUACACCUUUGUACUAUAUUAGUUAUAUAUAUAAAGUUGAAUUUUUUGAUUCGUCGUUUUUACGGCUGACAAAUUGGACCUCGUAAUUGUAGUAUUAUAGUUGAUGAUAUUCUCGUGUUCAUUUCCAUGCGUCUAUUCACGUUUGUGAACUUUCUCAAAAAUCUAUCACGAGAUGUAAGAUGAGUUGUGUUUACAAUGGUUAUUGACAGAUCUGUGGACAGUACCAUUCCAACGAACGAAGAGACAAGAAAUUUCAUUAAAGCUAUGAAAUAUGUAAUUAUAUAUUUCAGUUUUACACGGGAAACUCUACAUAAGUUUUUACGACAAAAGGGUCGACGAUUUUUCGUUCCUACGUUUGGGGUGCCGAGUCGUCUAAGUUUUCGAUUUACUGUAUCAAGAUCCUAUCAACACUGAAGUUAUGACUUCGAAUCCUGCACGAGGCAUGUGCGCUUGACUCCAAUCUUCAUUAACUGGGAUAGUCAAAUUUCGUACCGAAGGUCGGUUGUUCUUUCCUGACACUCCGACUUCCUCCACCAAUAAAAACUGACAACCACGAAAUAGCACAAUAGUGUGUGUAGUGGCGUUAAAUACAAAUCAAUCAAUCGUUCCCAAUUGUUACUUUUUUCUUUUUGAAUGGUGGUAUAACUUUGGCACCCUCUUACUGUCUUAACAUGUCACAAUUCGUUCAAUGUCUGGAUAUUUCAAUGAACGUAAUCAAUGUAUUACUGGUCAAUUAUUAAGUCAGGGGUUUCUUUAUGUGUAUUACCACAAAUCAUCUAAAACCUUUACUUAAUUCUUUCAUAGAUAAACAUAUUUGGUUUGGAAGUUUGGUUGUAACUUCAUGUUUUUCUGCUUUGUAUCGAUCUGAUGAGUUAAGCCCUUUUCAAAUAAUUUUUAAAGUAUAAUCUCAUGUUGUAAUGUUACAACACUCAUGUCAUCGUCAGCCAGUAUGUAUGCAUCACUUGUGUUUACAAAAAAGUUAAAUUAUAAAGACUCCGAGAAAAAUUCAAAAAGGCAAGUGCCUAAUCAAAUGGCAAAAUUAAAAGCCCUAACACAGCAAACAGCGAAUGAGUGAUGAUGGAAACCUGGUUUUUAAGCUAGCUAAACCGCUCACUAGUAUGACAGCUGCAUCAAAAUCCGGUUAUAUUGACAACGAUGUGUGAACAAACCAAACAGACAUAAUAGGUAAAAAAUGUCAAAAAAGAGGUAAAUCAUUCACGUUGUGUAAUAAUCUUAAUCACCUAAUAAACAAACAAAUAUGUAAAAAGAAGCACAAAAUGGCAAAUAGACCAAGCAUAUUAGCCAAAAUUAAAGACAGGUAUACACAAAUUUACCAUAGUACAAUAACACAAGCACAGAGCCAUGUCAUAUACGUAUCAAAGAAACAUAAACAAAAAAGCAUAUAUAUUAUAUAGACAAAGCAAUUCUCGAAAAAAUUAAAGACAAAUGUUACAUACAAUAGCACAAUAACGGGAUGAAUAAAUACAGAGCAACGUUAUAUAUAUCAAAAAACACAUCAAAAGGCAUAUAGACAAAGCACAUUAGCUAAAUUGAAAGAAAUCGAAUACAAGUACUAUCAUCGAACGAUAACAUAAUGACGGGAUGUUGGAUUCAUUACGUUGUAGUUUCUAUAUAACAUUUAUCUAUGUUAAAAGAAAGAUAAUUCAAAAAGAUACCUUUCUUUCUUUUAAGUAUGCUCCAGAUUCAUGUGUUUCUUCUCGUCAAAUUUAAUUUUCAUUGCUUAAAUGACAUAGUCCUUUCCGCAAUGUUAUUACGUGAGAUAAAUUGGCAUUUAGUAAGUAAUUGCAAUUUUCCUCAUGGUAUGAUCUUAUAAAAGUUCUCUUUGUUAUUCGACGAUUCACGGCCAAAAGAAAUUUUAUAAGAAUGUGGACUAAUAAUGAGUUUUUACUAUUAUCUAACUGUACCUUAAACUAAGGCUGUAUCCCUUUCAGGUAAGUUCGUUGUCACGUUUGUGUCUUUUGGUUUUUUCUUUUUUUUCUUGCUUUUUUACCUUUGGGUCACACGGAUGCCUUUUUACAGGCUUGGCUCAUUGCUUAUAAUAAUCAUAUGGUCUCUAUUGGAUUAUUGUAUAAAUUGUCAAUUAUAUCCAAUCUUUUAUUUGAAGUAACUCCAGACAUUAUGGGAAUCAUGUCAUGUUUCUUUGUCGUUUUUUUUAUUUAUUGUUGUGGUUUUUUUUUUAUAAAAUGAGCCCCAAAAAAUCAGUUACAUUUAUAUGGAAAUAAAUUAAAUCAAUAUAAUACUUCUGUUUCAGACGUUGAGCGAAGGACAAUAUUUAGCAGUGUCAAAUGUGGUACCUACUGACGCGGGAGAAUAUACAUGUCAGGUUACUAGUAAUGACGGUUGUCAUGUCGAACGAUCUGCCCAAUUAUCAGUGAUUCCGGCAUCAGGAUUCAAUUCCUGUAAGUAUUUUCAGCUGUUCCUCAUGUGUGUUAACCUUUUCUAUCCGAUUGCGUUUCUUUUUGUUUUCAUAGUAAAAAACAAAUAUGGUCUUAAUUUAUUCAGAUUGUUGAUUGUGACCAUUAUCUGGCAAAAGUAGAACUAGACCCCUUGGGUUCACAUCAAGCAAUGCAUGGAUUUCACUGGUGUUUAUUCAUUUCAAAAAAAGCAGCUGAACUUACAUUUAUUGCUUAUACGCUUGUCUUCUAAAAGUUUUGUCAAUUACAUCCAUGAUAGGUCUUUACCGUUAAUUUCGUUUCAAGAUCCAGAAUAUCGAAAUACAUAAAUUCAAAAUAGGUUUCAGCUUGCAAAUUGUUACUUUGAAUAAUAUUACAAUUUAUUUUCGUUCAGUGUAUGUAUGUAUAAUUCCUAACUGGUUUCUUCUUCAUUUUCAGACUGUGCGAGAGAUGUUUUGGUUCACAAUCCGCGUGUUAGAAUGGUAGGGAGAAUAACACUCGGUUCCUCUGUAGACAAGGCUUCAGCACCAUGGCAUGCAGUUUUACGAAUGCGUAGUCAGGUAUGAUGGUUAACAAUUUGUUGAUUUACUUCUUCUUAACUUUCAAGUAUGUUGUGUAUGGUACGUAAGAGUUGAUUAUGUUAACAAUUAGUUCUUUCACACAUUAAAGCAGGAAUUAAACAUUGAACUAUUUACAUUGGUUUCAUUAAUUGAAAAUACUUGGACGAGGAUGAAGUUUGAAAAGGGUGUUUGGAGCAAUAAAUUUGGCAACGUGUAAUGAUCUAUUCUUAAUAAAGUUUCAAAAUUACCUGAAUUAAUCUUAUUUUCAUUUCAGGAUAAGACGUUCUGUGGUGCCAAUCUCAUAUCGAGUUCAUGGCUCAUAACAGCAGCCCAUUGUAUUCGUCAUUUUCAUAUCGAAUUUAAAGAAAUGUUUGCCAAAGAAAAGGUCGAUAUCUUCUUGGGAACAAAUAGUUGUAAAGGCGAAAGUGGUGUUAAAUACGGCAUAAAAUCUUACGUUGUUCAUCCAAAGUUUGGAGCACGCGCUGUUUACGAUAAUGACGUAGCUUUAAUUGAAUUGGACAGAUCGGUCACGUUUACGGAGAAUAUACAACCAGUCUGUUUACAACCAUCGUCUAUCAUUAACAAUAAUUACUUAACUCAUAAACUCGGUCAUAAAAUAGGACGAGUGGUAGGAUGCGGGCAAUAUAGCGAGUUCAGGAAAGCAGCACCGGAAUACCUCAGGGAGGUGUACGUACCAUAUGUAAAUCGUGAAGAUUGUGCUUCUGUAAAUAUUGGCCAAGGCAAUUUUACUGAUAGCAUGUUUUGUGCUGGUUACUCUAGAAGGAAUAUGGGAGACGCUUGCUUUGGUGAUAGUGGUGGAUCCCUUACUAUGAGACUGUCAGAAAACCACCCUUGGGUGUUGGUCGGAAUUGUUUCAUGGGGAGUUGGAUGCGAUAGGAGUAAUCACUAUGGUUACUAUACACAUGUUGCAGCUUUUGAAAACUGGAUACAAAAUUACACGAUCUCUGAUCGAGAUCCUUAGUACUUUGCUUUACAACUGUAAAACUGUAUUUGUUACUAGUAUUGUCAGAUGACAUGACCAUUAUGAAAAUAAAAGUAUAGCUAAAAUCAAAAGUUUGCGAUUUAUAACUUAUAAAUAGAUGUAUAAAAUUCAUACACCAAUGUGUAUUGCAAAUACUGAAAUUCUACAAAAUGGACAUAAGAACACACCUAACAACCAUAUACUAAUAUGUGUCCCCAAAACAUAAAAAAGUGUAUAGUUGUGUUGCAGUUCACUGAGAUGUAUAUGUUGUCUAAUAAUUAAGUUAUAUUACAAUAUCCCUUGCUCAUCAUUUUAGAUCUUAUGUGUAUCAUGUUAUUUGGAAUAUUCAUGGAAGUAUUAUAUUGACUCUCAUUGUACAUUUUAUCGCAGAUUUCAUCGCAUUGAAACUCAGCGAUCCCUAUUAACAGAUCUAACUAAUAAAUAAUCUUUUCAAAAUUUAUUAAGGUAGCACAAUACAAAGAUUUGUGUACUUCCAACCACUAACCUUUAAAAUGCUGUAACUUUCUUAUGACUGUAUAAAAAAUAAUAAAAGAUGUAUAUAUAGAUAGAUAAAAGAAUAAUCUUUAAAAUGAAUGCAAUAUUUUUAUUAUGUAAUCAUUAUGUAAUCAAUUAUUAUGUAAUCAUUAUGAAAUCAAUUAUUAUGUAAUUAGUUGCAAAAUCUCGGUCAGUUCACUUGAAUGAAUUUAACUCUAUCAUCUCUUUAACUAUACAGAAAAUUUUAACGAAAUCUUAAUCAACACAUCAUGGGCUUCAAAAGGAUGUCUCAAAUUGUCCCUAUGGUAUUCCAUUCUCUCAUAAAUCUCUAAUUAGUGUGAACAUCCUAACCACAUAAAAGAAGAUAAUGUUUAAUUAGGUGUAAAAUUUGUUCUAUACAUUCUAUCUGAAAUCUGAGACACCCUUAUGUAGAUAAUAGCCAUAGGAACAACAUAUAAUAAAAUCAACUCUCUAGGAAUACUUAUGCAGAAGCUAAUUUCAAUUGAAAGUGGAAAUUUUGGGGAAAAUAUUUUAGACACAGUUAACCAUUAGUGGUUACAUACUUGUAGCAUAAUACUAACAUUGCAUUAAUUUGAAAUGGUAAUCUGUUAGCUAUCUAUAACUACCACUUUUAUAAAUUUUCAAGCAUUAUUAAGAAAGCUACAGCAUUUUAAAACUUGGGAGUUGGAGUUAUAAAAUCUUUGUAUUUUGCUACCUUAAACGAAAAUACUAUAUUGGAAAUAAGUGAAGACGCAGACCCUUAUAUAUUUUAUUGCAGGAGAGAUGAAUGAUACUUAUCAUCCUAUUUUAAGAAAACUUGAAUGUGCCACAUCAGAAAACGUAGCACUAUGGUUGACAAUACUGUUGUUGGUAAAGAAAAGAGUAUGUAUUUGCCAUCUUCGUGGCAAAAAAAAAGACAAAAAAAACAUCGAAGGAACAAGGCAUUUUGACUAAUUCUGAUCAUUAUAUAUGCUACACUAUAGCAAAAUCCCAGUUAACGCUUUAACAAAAUAUAAUGACCCUAAGGCCUAAUAAGGAGUUGAACACAAUAAAUAAUGAAUGUAGUUUGGGAUUUCUGUACCUUAUAUUCAUUCUGUACAUGAAGACAACAUAUCAUAUAUUUUGGUAAUCAUAAAACAUGUAACAUGGAAUAAGUAUACUUAAAAGGUUGUGUUGAAACAAGAUAAUAGGUUGAGAAAAUGAUAAUUCUUGUUCAAUACUACGAUUUGCCGUCUACAAACCAACAUUCCUUUAACACAGUAUGAGAUUGAAUAACACACCAAUAGUUAAGAGUUAUGUUCUUCUGUCAUAGGAGUUGACGAAAGUUUCUCAAAUCUCUUUCAGUAUUGUUUAAUUUUUCAUUUAAGAUAUGAAUUCUUGAAUAAAAUUUGAAAUACACUACGAUAUCAUAUUUUUCUUGACGUUAUGAUUAUUUCAAUAACUCAUACUCGAGUCAAACGUAGAUAUACUUUUCGGAUUUGUUUUUUGUGGCGACAUAUUGUAAGAACUUCUAAAUCCACCUGGCAAUGUAUGAGGUCUUUCAAACAUGAAUUCAGUGUCGAUUUUAUAGCCACCAUUUUGAACUCCAUUUUUCUUCACAUCAUAUUUUAACUUUGAAAUUUUGUGUAGUUUCGGUACAAAUACUUUCAAAACGACCACUGUUGCGCACGCAAGAAUUCCAGUGCAAAUUGUUAGUUCUACAUAGUCAUGUGAAAUUAUAAAUGUUACAGCUACCCAAGCUGCCCAUAAAACAAUGUUUAUCCAGCUGCUAAUGAGAAUAAAGAUAGCCUCGCCCAGAUUUUUCUUCUCUUUUCUUACAGUCAAAGCGUACAACGAACAGAUCACUAUUAAUAAUAUGUCAUAAAUUAAAUACAUUACAAACACAUUUUGUCAAAUUUACAAGCAUACAUUUCUUCAUCAUCCAUUAACCUUGUUUCCAUGAACUGGCCUUUAAGAGCAACAUAUUGGACAGAUAUGGCUAUUUGCACACCACUUACAAAUGUCACCGUCAAAAACUGAUUUAAAUUUGAAAUUUCACUUCCUAAUCCAAUUAAUUGAUAGGAUCUCAGUGACAUUAGUUUGGCCAAGCAUGUUGCAUAAACUUACGCAUAGCUUAUUCCUGGUAGCAGAUAUCUUGCAGUGCACCCCAUUUCACUUGGUGUAAACAGAAAUGGAAAAACGGACAAAUACAGUGCUAUAAUUGAUAACAGUAGAAGAAUUCCAAGUCCUAUGUACCGUUUAUUCAGGCACCCGAUACAUGUUUUGUAAAUUACGUAUACAAUAAAUAACAUGGAUGCCCCGACUCCACCAAAAGCAAUUGCAAGUACAAUUAUCGUCCAUAAUUUCCGGUUGAAUUUCGCAGACGACGAAUAAAAAAUCAUAUCUGGGUCUUGGUAAGGCUCCGGCUUUUCUGUUGCUUCGUCUGUGUUGUUAAGAUUCGUGCAUAAACACGUGCCGAUUUUGAAUGUCAAUUGUUCUAUGACAAUCAUAGCUCCUCUACCAGAUCAUCAAAUUAUGAUACAGUUUACACACAUGGAGAUUGAGGAAUCAGACAACUGCUCAUUUGAUAGAGUUUCACUUUUUCUCGACUCUUAUUCAGGUAAAAAUAAAGUAAUAAAAAUGUCCGUUUGAGUAGCUAUUUAGAAACUUUUUAAUUUUUUUAAGAAAAAUAUAUCAAAUUAAUUCAAAACACGUUUUCAUUUUCUGAUGUUCUUAUUCUGAUUUGAAACGAUACAAAAUUGUAACGUAUUAUAUAUCGAAAUCAUAGUUGAUUCCCUUUUAUCUGGUGCAAAUUUGCUACCUUUCGUCAUAGUUAUAAUUUUGGGGACACUAUAUGUUUCUAGCCUUAUUGCGAUGCAGAAAAAAAACAAACAUUGCUCCUGUCAAAACAUGGAUGAGAGAUUCGAACCACACAUAAUCAUAAAUCAAAAAUAAGUUGUUAAAGGACUAAAAUUAAGCUGUAAUGAAUAUCAAUCAUAACGAUUUGUAUUUGUAUAAUUGAUAUAACAGGAUUUCUUUUUCCAUAACUGAUUCUUGAAGUCGUCUUAAUAUAUUAGCGGGGUUUUUUUCUUCACAAUUAUCAAAAAUAAAAGGAAAUGGGUGUUGUUGUUUUCUUGUUUUUGGUUUGUGUUUUGAUUUUUGUUGGUUUUUUUCUGAAAAUUUUGUACCACACAAUUAUUGUUGAACAAUACUGUUUACAGUGACAAAAGCAGGUAAACAUAAUUAGCAGUAUUUCCUAAGGCACUGACAACAUAGUUUUUAAAUUAUGAUUUAUUCAUUAAAGUUGGUUUAUUCGUGUUGACAUGCAAUUCUUCAAUCUUAAUUUGCAAGUUGACAUGAUCAAGUCAAAAUAUUGAAAUAUUUGUAAAGUAUUAACAAAUUUGGGAUACUUUUUAUACUAUUUUGAUCUCGAAGAUUUGUUAAUUGAUUAAAACUUAACCCUCUUAGUGCGUAGCUAAAUUUCAAAACAUUGUCCAGAAACGGGUCAAUUUCAGUAAAAAAUACCAAAAACAGUAAAUUGUUAUUUUCAGUCUUGUAGAAAAGCAUGUUAACUCAAAUAACUUGAAGAAUUACCGUAACAUAAGUAUAAGAUGUUUAAUUUUUGUUUCAAAAAAAUACGCUUAAUUUAUAAGCACAUGACGUAAACGUCAUAAUGAUGCCAUCACGUCCACCGCUCUUAAUGAAAAGUUCGCGCUAUCAAUUAGUCAAGCACUUGUAGCAGUGUUGGGAAGAAACAGUUCAGUUUUUUGCAAAACAUAGCCACUAAUACUUACUAAAUUUCAAGUACAGAUAUUACUUAUUUCGAGUAUGGUCAUCUUAGCUCAAAGAUCACAAUAUUUCAUUGGAUAAAAGCACAUAUAUGCAAAAAAUGAUAGGCAUUGCGUAUUCCAAGUGCAUUCAACAAACCAUGAUAUGACAUAUAUAUACAACAUGGCAAAUUAAUGCUUAAAUAAAACAAACUGCAAAAAGUAUAGAGAAAAUUUAUUAUAUAGCUCGCUAUCUUUAACUGCAAGGUCUAUUUUAUUGUAUUAUGUUUUCCAAUCAUAUAUGUAGACUAACUGACACUAAAAACAUGUUUUCGAAUAAAUUGUGCGUUUUCUCAUGUAAUAGACCGUACGCGUUGCCUAUAAAUUACAAUUGCCUACUUACAUCACUUCAUUUGCAAUCUUUUGGCUGGAUGAGUUAGUUCGUUAUUGCACAUCAUACCAGCAUCUGACAUCUCCUUUUUUACUUAUUCAAAUCGCUAUAUCUCAUAUAUUUACAAAAUAAUUGGUGGCAAUCAGCCAUUUAUUUUGAUUGUCAUUAAAUUAUGAACCUGAUUUUGAUAACUUUAAGCUUAUGAGACCAAUUUUUCUAAAACUUAAAAAAUAAAUUCUACCUGAGGUGUUUUAUAGUAGCCAGACAUCUUAAGAGGAAAUGCGCCACAAUAUUCUGAUGUUAUCCCCCGCCAAAAUUUAGCAGAAACUAUUCAGUUGCUAGUGCUUAUGUAAACUUCCGUAUCACCCCCGUUUCAAUAAGCAAGUGCAUGUGCCAACUUAAUUUAUGAUUCGUAAGGCAAGUUAAAGCUCUCAUAUUUAGGCAUCUAUACACCAUCAAAAGCAGUAUGUAAUGCUUUUCAAAGUCAAAGACGAAAUGAGCCAAGUUAUAAAAAAACAUACUUGAGUUAAAUAGUGCUGUGUUAUUAGACGUCACAGAUUGCCUUCAAGGCUGAUAUAAUGUUUAUAAAGGUAGUAUGCUGCUCCAACACAAAAUAUCGCCACACCUUAUAAAACAAAACCAUUUAUUGGCUUAACUAUACGCCAAUUAAUUUUAAGCCUUAAUUCUUAACAAAGACAACAUUAUAGGAUAAUGGACGUGCUUUACACAUGACACUUUAUAAUCUUUUUUUAAUAGUAAAUGUAAAGAAUAGCCAAAAUUAUGUUCAAUGAGCUUUUGAAUGUAAAUUUUCGCUUAUGUAAUGCUAUACUGUAAAAAUAUGAAUCUGUCGCCCGUAAAUAUCCUCAUCUAGGAUGCACGUCGAUCGCUCUUUUUCCCUUUCGUGUAGCAUGGAUGCGAUGCACGAUGCUGUGUCAUCACUGAACAUAAUUUCUUGUGUUUACUACUGUUAUCUUUCUGUGUUUAUACUGAUGUUCAGGUGUCGUUUUUAGAGUAGCUAAGUUCUCGUUUUUAUAUAUAAUCAUUAAGACGUUGUUUUUAAUUCCGCUUUAUUUUUUUCACUAGAAUUGCUCUAGGGCCCUUUAUAGCCUUGCUGUUCGUGCUAAAGGUUCAUGACCUCCUGCUUAAAGCAUUAGUACUUUGACUAUCAGUGCCGUUAUUGUAUUCAAAUUGUGCACGUCGCGGAUGGAGCAGUGUGUUAACUUCAUAUGGCACUCAUACACACUACUUCUCUAUAUCUAUUCAUAUCAUAUUUCAUUUCGUCAUAUCAUUAUCCAUAUACACAAGUAUGAUGCUGACGAUUAACAAAAUCCAAUCAAACACUAACAUAUCUUUUACCUGCAUGCUUACUAAUUACCACCCAUCAAAAUACACCUUCCGUGCGCUGCGUUAUGUAAUAUACUUUGCACUAACCUGCUAUAUUUUCAUCUCAUGCGGUGUUAGGGAAAUCCUGGAUUUAUCCAAGUCAGGGAUUUCUGCGUAUGAUAUCCAUCAACUGGCACUUGCGCAUGGUUGCGUCCUAUAAAGUAUAUUUUUACGUUAUGCUAUUUUUCUGCUUAUCUUAUUCUUUAGGUUCGCGCCCUUCUAUAUUUUCGUAUUAUAAAUAACUGCCUAAUUUCUUUGCAUUAGGCUCAUUGACUUCAAUGUGUAAUAUUGUCAUACUAUAUUGUAAACAUCAAUUAUGUAUCAUAUCUAUAGAAUAAAUAUUAUAGAAAGCGCCCUCUCGAACUUAAUAUGCGUACUUCAAUACGUAAUUUUUACACAAUAUUAGAAAAGAUAUUUUAAUGACAUACUUUCGAUUUACUUACCAUCCCCAAACUUAUAUACCACGAUGAAGUAUUACUAAGGAAACAAACUAUAGAAUUAUUGCCUUUAAAGCACGCGUAUUCCAGUAAUCAGGCAAGCGAGGUUAUAAUAUAACCUACCUUGAUAUCAGCAUGAUUUAGAUCAUUAUAAUCAGUUUUUAAAAGAUGUUACUCAUAUCAAAUUUAAAACAUACGAUAAGCUUAGUUACUGUCAUUGCCAAUAAAUGUAUAAGAAAUUUCAAAUUGCCCCGUUAAAUCUGUGAUGCGCCAAACUCUGACUCUUGCUAUUGCGUAUAUAAUACAGUACCAAUGUUGUUUGUAACUUCGCAGACAAUCCCCAAUCUACUGCGUAUAUUAAAAUUUCUAAUGAUAUGCAAAGCAACACUAUGUAUCUGAGAAAUGGUAUGAAAGGCAGGAUACAAAAAAACCUAUAAACACAAACUAGCAUAUAAAUUUAUGCACAUAACAUUUUCAGUCAGCAACAUAUUUCGAAAUGAGUAAUACAAUACACUCAGUCAACAAAAAUGGAGCGAAAAAAUAAGCCAUAGCUACACUCUCUUGAUUUUUACGUCCAAAUUCAUGAGCUCUGUAAUUCAGUGGUUGUCGGUUGCACAUUGGAUCUGUUGUACUAGUCACAUUACGUUUUUCAUAAACUGAAUGUUAUAAAAAUUAUGCUGAUUAGUUUUCAUUGUUAGUUUAUACAAUUUUUGUCAUUGUCGCGCGGCCCGUCUUUAGCCUGACUUUACGCGUAAAGGCUACUUCUCAUUAUAUGGGCUGACCUAUCCCUUAGCUCUAAGCAGCGUCCCGUUUUCAAUCAAACUCACCAGUAUGUAUCUAUUCAUAUAUUGCAACAUAAACACUAAAGUAAAAUAUCGCUAGAUAAUGCAUAAAAAUACAUUAAAAAUACAGCAAUGCCUAUUUUAUUACAAUUAUUAACAAUAUCGAUGUCAGUAACAUUAAUUGUAGACGUAUUUAUUUAUUAAAUACCACAUUAGACUUUCGCGUUGUUUAAUUAAUUUGCUUAUAUAAGAAGUAGAAAACCAAGGCAAUCAUUAAGUUCAAGACUUAGUAUAUAUGUGUCCCUCCAUAUCUUAAAGAGUUAAGGACAUUUGUUUAAAAUAUUUAUGUAUUAUUGGGUACAAGCACUAACACCAAUUAGCAAAUAGUUUUGUUUGUAUUGCUUAAUGAUCAGUUGUUGAUGUUGGUUUUUUUCCCUUCUGUUUCUUACUAUGAUUCUUUUUUUAUUUAUCAUUGAAUAAUGCAUAAAAAAUAUGUACAUUCUAAAAAGUUGAUAGCGACUAUUCAUGCGUCUAAAUCGAAUUAGGCGGCAGCCUUACAUUUGCAUUUUAGUAUGGCAUACUGGAAGCGAGCUAGGAUGCAAAUUGAAAAAAAAUAGUCAGGACGAGAGUUUUGCCCAUGCAUAACAACCAACGCAGAAUGCAAGAACCAUCUAGCCCAAAAAAAAAAGGCAGGGAUGACUCAAUUUAAAGCCGUAAAAAUAAAGCAGGACACCGAAUAAGAGUGAAAAAAUCAAAAGCCGCCAGGACAGAAGAUUACAGUCACUAAAAAAAAAAAAAAAAUGCAGGGGACAAAUAUUUUUCAUCCUAGCCGCCCCUAAAAAUCAAAUAGGCGUAGCUCCCUAUACGACAUCGAAUGACGUCAACAUAAUAUAUAGACGUAAUGAUGUAGACGCUCUCUAUGAAAAGAUAGACUAAAAUGAAAAAACAAACAACAGAAAGAAUAAAACCAACAAUCGAUGCAAUAAUAAUAAGUAUAAAAUAUGUAUUUUCAAUAAUUGAAGAAAAAGCUUUUUUCAGAAAUAUUUACAAAGGGAAAAAAACUAUACAUUUUUUAUACACAAAAGGCACAGCCAAUAUAUGUCCUUCCGUCAGUCAAAGCCAGGAGUACACAUCAAUGAUCCUUCCCCGCAAGCUAGAGCAGUUAAAAUGUUGCAAGAAAACUCAUACGGAAAUAGCAAAUUGGGCCCAAUGCUCGAAAGCGGUAAUGAGUUGUAUUAUAUUUCUAACCUAAGCCUAUUAUAAAUUCAUUACAAAGCAAUGAAGCUGAUAUAUUAAUUGAAAAUACAAAAGGCUACACAGACACAUUCGUAAAACGAUAGACGAUCAGUAUUUCACUUCCUUGUGUUCAAAGUAAUUAAACAUAAUGCUUAUUGAUGAGAAAUGCCCAUAGCAAUAACAAGCGUUCAUACAUAUCUCUACGCAUUUUACCAAGUUACGCUAACAAUCAUCAGAAAUAGAUAAAAAGAGAACCAACCAACAUAAAUGCAAUCUGCACCGCUGAGAAUACUUUCACUUAUGCUGUUCAUAUUCUAAUCAGAUCGAAUUACAAGCAAUUGAGAUCCGUUACAAGAAGUUUAAACAUAACACUUCGCAAUAGUAACGUCUACGUAAAGCUGCAACUUUUAUUGCUCUUAUAUUCGAGUUUCUUUGUAAGUAUGCAUACUUUACCUUCAUUUUAGUCUUACUAUUCUCUCCAUAAUCACAGAUGCGGUUUAAGGUUUUACACCGACAUGAUAAAGUUAACCCUCUUGCUAGCGACCGUUUUUUACAAUGUUGCAUUUCAUAUGCCGGAAAAUUACGACCAGGCUCAACGUCUGCCUGGCCAUCGUAACGAUGCCAGCAACACAGACUCAUCGACAUUAUAUUAUUGACGUUCACGACAAAAUCGACCACUCACAUUUAAGCGCCGACCAAUGGGAGAAAACAUUAACCCUGUUUAUUCUUCCCGUAUUUAAUUGAAAGAAUACACAUUGAUAAAGAGCUUGGCAUUUAAAUUUUAUACCAUGACAACUAUGUGUACCCACUCGGCUAACUAGCCGAGUUUGUCGACAAUGUAGUCCCUCCGCGCAGCAAGCAAGCCGUAAAGAAAGCACCCUUAGCGAAAUGACCAAAGUUGCUACAGAAUUAUAUUAUAAUAUUAUAUCAAAUGCUACCAGCGCUUGUAAUUUAAUAACAGAGACACGGCGUUUCGUCUAACAUAAUUACUCAUCAGCUGGCUACGCAGCUAGGUUUAUGCUCACUGGAUAUGAAAUAUCCUUAAGAUAUAUAUCGAAAUAUAAUUCAUGACCUUUGCAAACAGUAAAUAAAUAAAUAAUAAUGACCAUAUAAUUAUUAUUCAUGUCAACACCGAAGUGCUGACUACAGGGCUGGUGAUAACAUCGAGGAAGAAAUGUCCACCAGCAGUGGUAUCCACCCAGUGGUGUAAAUAGUUAUCAAAAGUACCAGGCUAAUAAUUUAAUACCCCAGACGAGCGUUUCGUCUACAUGAGACUCACCAGUGACGCUCAGUCUAAAUAGUAAUCGUUGGAUGCACAAAUAAACAUAGAUUGAAGUAAUCGACGAAGAACUGAACAAGCAGUCAGUUUAUCUAUAUUUUCAUACCUUACAUAAGACAUUUAAAAAGUAGAAAAAAGUCUCAUGUAAAUUUUCACGAAGAUGCAUUGGUCAAACAUAUGGAUUUCAAUGACAAACACAUAUCUAUACACAAUGUCAAGCUCCUAAUGAUUCCGUGUAUGUUCUAAAUGUCACGGAGUCUAUCAAAGAUCUGUUAUCAACACACGUUUCUCCUUCAAUUGUUAGCUCAGUUGAUAUUUGGUUGGGUUAUUAUCCAAUUGACUUAUACUCAAGAUCUGUUUUAUUCAUAUUUAUCAUAUACUUAGCAUUGAUAUGAUAGCUUUUGCAUAUGUGUAAUGGGCGGAAGUGCACAAGCCAUAUCUUCCCACCCGGGCUGAUAACCCAUAUCAGGUGCCUCUCGUGCACAAAACCCAUAUCAGUGCCUCUCGUGCAAGUUACUUCCGGUAAACCGGUAUCGGUUGUUUACUUUUACAUUGUGACGUCAGAUGUUUUUUAUGACGACGUCAAAUUUUACCGGAACUUUUGUGGGGAUAGUUUAAUACUUGCUAACAAAAUGCCAUUGACAAUUAUGAAUCAUUUUAUAGUACAACAUGAAUAGUAAUGAUCGUAAAACUCUUCCAAAUUUUCAAUGUUUCAAAAUGCCUCUUUAGGAAAUGUUACCAUAAAUAUAUAAGGAGUUAAUGAUGCUGUUGUUUGACAACUAUAGUAUAUUUGAUUCAUAAUUUUAAUUUUCUUAUAAAAUGUUGACUGUUUAGUUAUUGCAUAGUUUAUUUGCCUUACAUAAACACUAGUGCGAAGUAUAUGAUAAACGAUUAAUACAUGCCUUUUCCAUAUUAGCUGGUAUCAUCCUCGACCAUAUCAGCACCUCGACUCCGUUCGGGCGAUAUGGGUCUCGGGAUGAUACCACGGCUGAUAUGGAAAAGGCCAUGUAUUAAUCUCUAUAUAUAUACAUAGCAAAAUACCACAUGAAUUUCCCGUAUGAAAAUCCUAAUAUCAAUGUCGUGUUCUUGAAGUUUUAUGCCAUGUCAGUUUGUAACAAAUGCCGGCUGACUAUAAAGAACACAAAUCCUAUUGUUAAAGUUCAAUUAGUUGAUUAAAGAUCUGGUGAUAUGUCCAUGUUUAUCUUCAGUGUCUUUUAUAAAUGAUUGAUUCGAACAACUGAAUAUUUUUUUCCAGACUGAAUUCGUAGUGAUUCAGAAAAACUCUUUUAUAAAGCUUCUCAAUAUUCUAUAUAAAUGUUCCGUGACAAUAAACUUAAAUAUUCCAAACCAUAGCAACAACUUUAUUGCAUCAACAUUUUAAACUUUUGUAUAUCAGUAAAGUGAUUCUAAGUCAUAGAAAGUCAACUGACAACAAUACUGAACUCCGAGGAAAAUUCAAAACUGAAAUUCCCUAAUCAAAUAGCAAAAUCAAAUGAGAAAACACUUCAAAAGAAUGAACAACAACUGUCAUAUUCCGGACUUAGUACAGGCAUUUUCAAAUGUAGAAAAUGAUGGAUUAAACCAGGUUUUAUAGCCCUAAACCUCUAACUUGUAUGAAAGUCGCAUCAGAUUCCAUUAUAUUUAAAACGAUGCGUGAACGAAACAAACAUACUAAGUAAAAUUGUCAAAAUAUAGUUACAGCAGUCACAAUCUCAAUUAGAACAAAAAACAAACAAAUAUUUAACAAAGAAGCACAAAAAACAUCUAUCAAAUUUAACAACCAGAUUCAUUUAAGACAUAGAAUGAAAUUCAAAACAGUGUGGCUGUGGCCAUUGAUUGACACAUUAAAUUCAUCCAUUGACUGGGACAAUUUACGUGAACGUUUGUCUGUAACGACCACUGUUCACGACGUACCUACGAUAGACAUUUAAACCGUGGGGUCACCAAAGGUUUCUUAACGCCUUUAGUUAUAAAAUAAUUCGAAAAAUUAAUCAGGAAUAACCUUUAUGUUUUGAUUUAUAUGAUUGAUAUAAAUCAAAACAUCGUGUUAUUUCUCAUUAAUUUUUCGAAUUACUUUAUUAAGGUGUUGAGAACCUUUGGUGACCCCAUAGUUUAAGUGUCUUUAAAAAGUACAUAGUGAGCAUUGGUCGUUACAUACAAACGUUCACCUAAAUUGUCCUAGUCAGUGGAUGAAUUAAAUGUGUCAAUCAAUGGCAAGAGCCACACUGUUUUGAAUUUCAUUCUAUGUAUUUAAGAUCAACCCAUAAAGGAUUUAAAUAUUUGGAGACAUGUGAUUGCAUUCAAAUCAACUCUAGGGUAGAGUCGUAUGUUGUUAUACGUCAGAAUGUAAAAAUCACACAGGAAAAAAUAUAAAAUAAUUUUGUCGUUAAAAGUAUUUUCAAAAUUUUACAUGGGGAAUGGUGGUAUACAGGGUAGAAAAAUCAACGUGUUGUUAGAACCAACUUCAGAAAAUUACAGAAAUCUAAAAUUAUCCAGAAGUUCUUUAUAAUUUGUAAGAAUCCAAAUAUAUAGGUAAUACCACUACUCGGGUGAAAUAAUUUUGUCGUUCAAAGUAUUUGUCACCAUGAGAUCAAUAAGUUGAUCUUUUUUUCCAAAGUUAAGAAAUAAAUUUAAGACAUUGUGUUGCUUCAAAUACAAUUUAUUUUACUUCUUCAAAUUUUUGUUUAGAUUCACCAGAAAUUAUGCUAUGUGCACAAUCAGCAUCAGAUAAGUUGUACUUUUCAAGGGAUGGCUUACUGAAAAUAAGGUUUACAACAGACAGCUUAAUAACAUGGACAGG